GAAGAGUUCCUGCUGCCGUAUUGCCCCAAAUUGGAAUCACUACUGCCGCAAAAGAUGAGUUGCCUCACCUCUUUACAACAAUUGUGGGUUCAAAAUUGCCCUAAUCUGAAGGAUUUGCCCGACUGGAUACUCAAUCUCACUUCCCUUAGAAGUCUUCAAAUCAAUGAGUGCCUUGAAUUACAGUCCAUUCCAGAAGGGACGCCUCAGCUUACAUCUUUAGAAGAAUUAUCUGUUCAGAAUUGUCAUAAUUUGAGGGCUUUGCCAGAGUGGAUACUCAAUCUCACUUCCCUUAAAACACUUCGAAUUUGGGAGUGCCUUGAAUUACAGUACAUGCCAAAAGGGACACAUCAGCUUACCUCUUUAAAAGAAUUGUUCGUAGGGAAAUGCCCUAAUCUGAGGGCUUUGCCAGAUUGGAUACUCAAUCUCACUUCCCUUAAAACACUUCGAAUUUGGGAGUGCCUUGAAUUACAGUACAUGCCAAAAGGGACACAUCAGCUUACUUCUUUAAAAGAAUUGUUAGUAGGGAAAUGCCCUAAUCUGAGGGCUUUGCCUGACUGGAUACUCAAUCUCACUUCCCUUACAAAACUUCAUAUUCAGGAGUGCCUUGAAUUACAGUACAUGCCAGAAGGGACGCAUCAGCUUACCUCUUUGAAAGAAUUGUCCAUUGAAAAUUGCCCUCAUCUUAGGGCUUUGCCUGACUGGAUACUCAAUCUCACUUCUCUUGAAACACUUCAAAUUUGGAAUUGCCUUGAAUUACAGUACAUGCCAGUAGGGAUUUCUCGGCUUACAUUCUUAGAAGAAUUAUAUGCUGACCGCCAUAAUUUGAGGGCUUUGCAAGACUGGAUACUCAAUCUCACUUCCCUCAAAGAUCUUUAUAUUUGCGAGUGCCUUGCAUCACCGUACUUGCAAGAAAGGAUGCAUAACCUCACCUCUUUACAACGAAUGAUAGUUGAAUCUUGCCCUAAUCUAAGUUCUUCUAGACAUUCUCUCAAAACACUUCUAAUUCGGGGGUGCCCUGAUAUAUACUCCUGGAGAAUGAGGCAUUCUUUGUCCUCUUUAGAAGAAUUGAAUGUUCAAAAUUGCCCUAAUCUGGGGAAAUUGUUGUAUCGCAUAUCAUUUUUAAUCACUUGCCUCAAAACACUUACGAUUUGUAAGUGCCCUGAAUUACAAAACUUGCAAAUGGUGGAUCGCCUUACCUCUUUACAAGUAUUGUCAAUCAGUGAAUGUCCAAAAUUGUCGGAAAGAUGUGAAAAGGAAACCGGAAUCUUGUGGCCUCACAUUGCUCACAUCCCAUCUAUUAUAAUUGAUGGGCAACAGAUUCAGUGAUGAUCAUACAAUAUAUAGGUAACAAUAUUUUUCUGCACCUCUAUUUAUAUUUUCUCCCUGUACCUGAUAAUUCUUUUUUUUUCUUCCUGGAUUUGGAUGAUUCGUAAUUUGUUGUAUGCAUGUAAUCCAAGUUGACUAUGCGUGUAAUUUGUUUACUCUGCUACUUCUUUCUAAGUGGACUAACAAUAUUGAUUUUUUCUUAUAUAGACAAAUUUAAAAAAAUUACAGCAGUAUGAAUCUACUGAAGUUAUCAAAUUAUUCUGAUUUUUCACUUUGUUAUAUCUAAAUGUCUAUUUUCACCUUUUUCAAUGAUGUUAAUCUGUGUUCAGAGGAUAUUGUUUAGGUUGACCAAAAGUUUGGGUUUUCUGUAAGAGGUUGUCAACAGCUUUUUGUGCAGUGUUGAUGUAAUUGUUCAGUUAUCUUAUCACUAAAGUUAGAAUGCCAAAAGGAGUCUUUAACAUAAGCAUAAAAGGGAGUUGUGGACAGAUUAUUGUCAGUUGUUUCACUUCCCCUGUUUUUAUUCAUUGAUCAAUGCAAAAUUAUCUUUUAUACAAUGAGGCAGCCUUGGAUGUUUGUGUCAUAUCUUUUUAGAAGCAAAACCAAAAUUUAAUGUGAAACACUGGUGAAAUAAGCUGAGAUUUUAUAGGCACUUGCUUUUGUAAGGAAUAUGUUAACAUUAUUUCUUUAUUUUUUACUACGUGUUUAUAAUGGGAUGAUGACAUUUUUUCCAUUGUUUGAAGCAGGAAGAUUUCAUCUUGCCAAUUUCCUUCCAAAGCAGACUGUUGUUGAAUUGAAACCAAGAGAAAUUUCUAUUGGUAAACUUUACCACUUAUUUGGUUUGUUUUACCAAUUUCAUUUACUUUCUAUAAGGAAUCCAUUAACACCCAACUUCUUACUUCUUUCUGCGUGUCUUUAUUGGGAUUAUGGACUUUUUCUGAUAGAUUGAGAGAGUACGAAUUGAUUUCAACUUGCCAAUGCCAUUGUGAAGAAGAGUACUACAAUCCAUGGAUUGGAAGCUUUACUCUCAACAGCGCCAUCACUAUCUAUGUUACAGUUUGAUGGCAAUUCUAUGUGAGAGUUAAAUUUUACUUUUGAGUGUUUGAAUUCAAUAAAGGCUAGCUCGUGAAAAUAAUUUAACAACUUGACCUCUGGUGGCUUUGUAGAUGACAGAAAUUGCACAGCAUGCAACUCUUUCACCUUUUCUUCCCAAGAAGUAAGUGAUCUUGAAUUUAAGGUAAAUUAGCUUAUCACUUAAUGCUCUAUAGAAUUUACUGUGCAUAGAAUGUUGAAUAUUUUUUCAUUGCUAUAACGUUAUAAAAUUUUCAUUUUCUAUAGAAAAAUAAGAGGUAUCAUGACUAGCUCACCAACUCCCUUUCGAGGCAUUCUUGAAAUGCAGGUAUAUUCCCAAAGCAUAUCUAUUGCAGAAGUGAUGACUCCAUAUUAUAGUUUCUUUAGUUUUUGUUCUUGAUCUUUUGCAUAUCUUUAGUUUUUUAGACUAGUUAUUUGUGAAUGAAGGCAAACAACACUUGCUAAGUAGCGGCUCGAGUGAUUGGGAGAAUAGUAUGGAGUUGAGCUGUUUGGAAAACCCCUUUGCUUCUUUCAAAAUCAAUGUCAAUAGUUCCAUAUUGGCCGUUCUUUGAGGUCUUUGAACAGUGGCUUCAAUUCUAGUCUGUAGGCCUUUACUUAAUUAACCCAAACUGUUAAGGGGACCUAAAUACAAAUGUUCUUUCCAAUGUAUAUGGAGAAGACUUUUGGGAUACUGUUCUGGGAUUUACUAUUUGCUACAUUUGGGUGCUGCAAAGUGUCAAAGAAUUGUCAAUCAAAGAAUGUCCCCAAUUGUUGAAAAAAUGUAAAAAAGAGACUGAAAUCUAGUGGCCUCACAUUGCUCUCAUCCUGUCUAUUUAUAUUGAUGGCCAACAGAUUCAAUGAUGAUCAUACAGUACAGGUAACCAUAUUUUUCUUCUCCUCUGUUUAUAUUUUCUCUCUUUAUCUUUUAUUUCCUUCUUUUUUUCUUCCUGGAUUUGAAUGAUUUGUACUUUGUUCUAUACAUGUAAUCCAAGUUGGUAUACCGAUUGCCUAUACUUUGUACAGAUAGCAUACUUAUUGUGAAAGCAUUAAAUUUCAUACUCUUGUACGGAUAAAUUUAAAAAAACAGUAUUAUAAACGUACUUAAGUUACUUAAUUAUUCUGAUUUUUAGUUGUUAUAUCAAUUCCCAACUUCUUCUGUUUAACAUAAACAUAAAAUGGAGUUAUGGACAGAUUAUUGUCAGUUGUUUCACUUUCCCUGUUUUGUGCAUUGAUCAAUGCAAAAUCAUCUCUUAUACAAUGAGGCAACGUUGGAUGUUUGUGUCGUAUCUUUUCAGAAGCAAAACCAAAAUUAAAUAGAAAAGGAUCGCAGGACAGAUAGCUUCUAUCAUAGAGAUUCUAAAUAAUUGAAUAACUGAUGAAAUAAGCUGAGAUGUGAGAGUGAGUAUUCCUGAAAAUUUCAACUAAAAGUUUGUUAGAAUAUCCAGUCAAGACUCCGGAGCUGAAAGCUAGUAAUAAUAGAAACAAAUGUGAAAGUCUGCUUGUACAUUUCCUGCCAUAUUUGUUGUGAUGAGGAGAUAUUGCUAUAGGUAAUAUUUUCGCCUCUUCUUCUUGAUGUUGGCACUUGCUUUUGUAAAGAAUAUAUUAACAUCAGUUCUUUCUUUUUGUAUGUGUUAAUAAUGGGAUGAUGACAUGUUUUCAUUGUUUGAAGUAGGACGAUUUUAUCUUGCUAAUUUCCUUCCAGAGCAAACAGUUGUUGAAAUUUCUAUUGGUAAACUUUACCACUUAUUCGGUUUGUCUUACCAAUUUUAUAUGCUUUCUAUAAGGAAUCUAUUAACACCUAACUUCAUACUUCUUUUUGCAUGUCUUUAUUAGGAUUAUAGACUUUUUCUGAUAGUUUGAGAGAGAACAUGCGGAUUUCAACAUGCCGAUGCCAUUGUGAAGUAGAGUACUAGAAUCGGUAGAUCGAAGGCUUUACUCUCAACAGUGUUAUCACUAUCUAUGUUACAGUUUGAUGGCAAGUCUAUGUGAGAGUUAAAUUUUGCUUUGGGUGUUCAAAUUCAAUAAAGACUAACUGAUGAAAAUAAUUGAAUAGCUUGACGUCUGGUUUCCUUUUAGGUAAAAAAGACUGCACAACAUGCAACUCUUUCACCUUCUUUUCUCAAGAAGUGAGCCUUGGUCUAAUGAUCUUGAAUUCAAGGUUAAUUGGCUUUUCAUUUAUUGCUAUGUUAUAUAUGAGGAAUGUGCUUUGUAUAGAAUCCUCAAUAUUUUUGCAUUGCUCUAACAUUUAAGAUUUUUGUUUUCUAUAGAAAAGAAAGAGAUGCCAAUGACUUGCCUGCCAACUCCCUUCCGGCCAUUUUUGAAAUACAGGUAUUCUCAAAGCAUUUUUUAUGAGGAAUGACUUGCUUUUGUAAAGAAUAUAUUAACAUCGGUUCUUUCUUGUUUGUACGUUAAUGGGAUGAUGACAUUUUUCAUUAUUUGAAGCAGGAUGAUUAUAUCAUGCUAAUUUCCUUCCAGAGCAGACUGUUGUUAAAUUGAAACCAAGAGAAAUUUCUAUUGGUAAAAUUUACCACUUAUUUGGUUUGUUUUAUCAAUUUUAUUUACUUUCUAUAAGGUAUCCAUUAACACCCAACUUCUUACUUCUUUCUGCAUGUCUUUAUUGGGAUUAUGGACUUUUUCUGAUAGAUUGAGAGAGUAAAUAUUGAUUUCAACUUACAAAUGCCAUUGUGAAGAAGAGUGCUACAAUCCAUGGAUUGGAAGCUUUACUCUCAACAGCGUCAUCACUAUCUAUGUUACAGUUUGAUGGAAAUUCUAUGUGAGAGUUAAAUCUACAUUGAGUAUUUGAAUUCAAUAAAGGAUAACUCAUGAAAAUAAUUUAACAGCUUAACCUCUGGUGUCCUUUUAGAUUACAACGAUUGCACAGCAUGCAACUCUUUCACCUUUUCUUCCCAAGAAGUGAGCCUUGGUCUAACGAGCUUGAAUUUAAGGUAAAUUAACUUAUCACUUAUUGCUCUAUAUAAUUUACUGUGCAUAGAAUGUUGAAUAUUUUUUCGCUGCUAUAACGUUAUAAGAUUUUCAUUUUCCAUAGAAAAAUAAGAGGUGUCAUGACUUGGUCACCAACUCCCUUUUAAGGCAUUCUUGAAAUGCAGGUAUAUUCUUGAAGCAUAUCUAUUGCAAAAGUGAUGACUAUAUAUUAUAGUUUCUUUAGUUUUUGUUCUUGAUUUUUUGCAUAUCUUGUUCCUUAAUGCUUGCUUAUAACAAUGGAUUUUUGGACUAGUUAUCUGUGAAUGAUGGCAAACAACACUUGCUAAGUAGUGGCUUGAGUGAUUGGGAGAAUAGUCUGGAGCCGAUCUGGUUGGAAACCCCCUUUGCUUCUUUCAAAAUCAAUGUCAAUAGUUCCAUAUUGGCCAUUCUUGGAGGUCUUUAAACAGUGGCUUCAAUUCUAGUCUGUGGGCCUCUACUCAAUUAACCCAAACUAUUAAGGGGACCUAAAUAGAAAUGUUCUUUCCAAUGUAUAUAGAGAAGACUUUUGCGAUACUGUUCUGGGAUUUACUAUUUGCUACAUUUGGGUGCUGUUAAGUGUCAAAGAAUUCUCAAUCAAAGAACGUUCCCAAUUGCAGGAAAGAUGUAAAAAGAAGACCAGAAUCCAGUGGCCUCAUAUUGCUCUCAUCCUGACUAUUUAUAUUGAUGGCCAACAGAUUCAAUGAUGAUCACACAAUGCAGGUAACCAUAUUUUUCUUUACCUCUGUUUAUAUUUUCUCCCUUUAUUUGAUAAUUCCUUUUUUUUUUCUUCUUGGAUUUGAAUGAUUCGUUCUUUGUUCAAUACAUGGAAUCCAAGUUGGUAUACUGAUUCGCCUACACUGUGUACAGAUAGCAUACUUAUUGUGAAAGCAUUAAUUUCCUUCCAGAGCAGACAGUUGUUGAAUUGAAACCAAGAGAAAUUUUUAAAUAUAUUUAUCUGAAAUAUGUUUAAUGUUUGUUUAACAUUAAAUUGAAAUUUAAUGUUGAAUUGAAAUUUCUAAAUAAAUUUAACAGCAUUAAUUUGACUUUGGAAGAUGCUAGUAUAAGGCCUUUGCAACAAACAUUGAAGAUGACGAUGACCGAGGCUAACAAGACAUCAGAAGAAGCAUCAUCAUCAUCAAGGAGCACAUGUCAUUCAUAUUCUUCGGCUACCCUUCCUCUCUCCAUUUUGAAGCGUCUGAGACUUAAAGGCAUUAAGGAUUUAGAAGAUCUGCUAGAAGAGUUCCUACUGCCGUAUUGCCCUAAAUUGGAAUUGUUACUGCCGCAAAAGAUGAGUUGCCUCACCUUUUUACAACAAUUAUGGGUUGAAAAUUGCCCUAAUUUGAGGGCUUUGCCCGACUGGAUACUCAAUCUCACUUCCCUUAGCAGUCUUCGAAUUAAGGAGUGCCUUGAAUUACAGUCCAUUUCGGAAGGGACGCCUCAGCUUACAUCUUUAGAAGAAUUAUCUGUUCAGAAUUGUCAUAAUUUGAGGGCUUUGCCAGAGUGGAUACUCAAUCUCACUUCCCUUAAAACACUUCAAAUUUGGGGGUGCGUUGAAUUACAGCACAUGCCAAAAGGGACGCAUCAGCUUACCUCUUUAAAAGAAUUGUGGGUAGGGAAAUGCCUUAAUCUGAGGGCUUUGCCAAGCUGGAUACUUAAUCUCACUUCCCUUAAAACACUUGGAAUUUAGGAGUGCCUUGAAUUACAGUACAUGCCAGAAGGGACGCAUCAGCUUACCUCUUUAAAAGAAUUGUCCGUAGGCAAUUGCCCUAAUUUGAGGGCUUUGCCGGAUUGGAUACUCAAUCUCACUUCCCUUACAAACCUUCUAAUUAAGGGGUGCUUUGAAUUACAGUCCACGCCAAAAGGGACGCAUCAGCUUACCUCUUUAAAAGAAUUGUCCAUUGAAAAUUGCCCUCAUCUUAGGGCUUUGCCUGACUGGAUACUCAAUCUCACUUCUCUUGAAACACUUCAAAUUUGGAAUUGCCUUGAAUUACAGUACAUGCCAGAAGGGACGCAUUGGCUUGCAUCUUUAGAAGAAUUAAUUGUUUACUGCCAUAAUUUGAGGGCUUUUCCAGACUGGAUACUUGAAUCUCACUUCCCCAAAGAUCUUUAUAUUUGCGAGUGCCUUGAAUCACCGUACUUGCAAGAAAGGAUGCAUAACCUCACCUCUUUACAACGAAUGAUAGUGGAAUCUUGCCCUAAUCUGAGUUCUUCUAGACAUUCUCUCAAAACACUUCUAAGUCGGGGGUGCCCUGAUUUAUACUCCUGGAGAAUGACGCAUUCUUGGUCCUCUUUAGAAGAAUUGAAUGUUCAAAAUUGCCCUAAUCUAAGGAAAUUGUUGGAUCGCAUACCAUUUUUAAUCCCUUGCCUCAAAACACUUAAGAUUUGUAAGUGCCCUGAAUUACAAGAAUUGCAAAGGAUGGAUCGCCUUACCUCUUUACAAGUAUUGUCAAUCAGUGAAUGUCCAAAAUUGUCGGAAAGAUGUGAAAAGGAAACCGGAAUCCUGUGGCAUCACAUUGCUCACAUCCCAUCUAUUAUAAUUGAUGGGCAACAGAUUCAAUGAUGAUCAUACAAUAUAUAGGUAACUAUAUUUUUCCUCACCUCUAUUUAUAUUUUCUCCCUGUACUUGAUAAUUCUCUUCUUUUCUUCCUGGAUUUGGAUGAUUCGUAAUUUUUUGUAUGCAUGUAAUCCAAGUCGACUAUGCAGAAGUGGAUUUAAUCUACUUCUUUCUAAGUGGACUAACAAUAUUGAUUUUUUUUUCUUUUCUUACUUUGAAUUUUAUUUUUGUUAAGUUAAAUAUUACUACUAUGAAAUGUGACCAAAACUUGAUGUCAAAACUCUGCCAGUAUUUCACUGCCAUUAGGAACUUUUUUCUUGUUUUAAUCUCUCAUUCUUCAAUUAUAAUCCUAAGCAUUUAGGAUCUCACUAGCUCUAGCUGGAACCCUUGUACAGAAAAUCAUAUUUAUAGUCAAAGCAAUAAAUUUUAUACUCUUAUAUAGACAAAUUUUAAAAAAUUACAGCAGUAUGAAUGUACUCAAGUUAUCAAAUUAUUCUGAUUUUUCACUUGUUAAACCUAAAUGUCUAUUUUCACCUAUUUCAAUGAUGUUAAUCUGUGUUUGGAGGAUAUUGUUUAGGUUGACCAAAAGUUUGGGUUUUCUGUAAGAGCUUGUCAAAAGCUUUUUGUGAAGUGUUGAUGUAAUUGUUCAGUUAUCUUAUCACUAGAGUUAGAAUGCCAAAAAGAGUCUUUAACAUAGGCAUAAAAUGGAGUUGGGGACAGAUUAUUGUCAGUUGUUUCACUUCCCCUGUUUUUAUUCAUUGAUCAAUGCAAAACCAUCUCUUAUACAAUGAGGCAAUCUUGGAUGUUUUUGUCAUAUCUUUCAGAAGCAAAACCAAAAUUUAAUGUGAAACACUGGUAAAAUAAGAUGAGAUUUUGUAGGCACUUGCUUUUGUAAGGAAUAUGUUAACAUUAUUUCUUUCUUUUUUUCUACGUGUUUAUAGGGGGAUGAUGACAUGUUUUCAUUAUUUGAAGCAGGACGAUUCAUCUUGCUAAUUUCCUUCCAGAGCAGACAGUUGUUGAAUUGAAACCAAGAGAAAUUUCUAUUGGUAAAAUUUACCACUUUUUCGGUUUGUCUUACCAAUUUCAUAUGCUUUCUAUAAGGAAUCUAUUAACACAUAACUUCAUACUUCCUUUUGCAUGUCUUUAUUAGGAUUAUGGACUUUUUCUGAUAGUUUUAGAGAGAACAUACGGUUUUCAACGUGCCGAUGCCAUUGUGAAGUAGAGUUCUAGAAUCGGUGGAUCGGAGGCUUUACUCUCAACAGUGUCAUCACUAUCUAUGUUACAGUUUGAUGGCAAUUCUAUGUGAGAGUUAAAUUUUGCUUUGAGUGUUCAAAUUCAAUAAAGACUAACUGAUGAAAAUAAUUGAACAGCUUGACCUCUGGUUUCUUUCUAGGUAAAAAAGACUGCACAACAUGCAACUCUUUCACCUUCUUUUCUCAAGAAGUGAACCUUGGUCUAAUGAUCUUGAAUUCGGUUAAUUGGGUUUUCAUUUAUUGCUUGUUAUAUAUGAGGAAUGUGCUUUGUAUAGAAUCCUCAAUAUUUUUGCAUUGCUCUAACAUUUAAGAUUUUUGUUUUCCAUAGAGAAAGAAGAGAUGCCAAUGACUUGCCUGCCAACUCCCUUCCAGCCAUUUUUGAAAUGCAGGUAUUCUCAAAGCAUUAUCCAUUGCAUACAUGAUUCUAUAGGUUAAAGUUUCUUUAGUUUUUGUUCUUAUUUUUUUGCAUAUCUUUAUCCUCAGUGCUUCUUUAUAACAAUGGGUUUUUUGACUAGUUAGCUGUGAAUGGAGUCAACCAACACUUGCUAAGUAGUGGUUCGAGUGAUUGGGAAAACUGCCUGGAGAGCUGAGCUGGUUGGAAAACCCUUUUGCUUCUUUCAAAAUCAAUGUCAAAGUUCCAUCUUGGCCAUUCUUGGAGGUCUUUGAGCAGUGGCUUGAAUUCUAGUCUUUAGGCCUUUACUUAAUUAACCCAAACCGUUAAAGGGACCUAAACACAAAGGUUCUUUCAUAAUGUAGAUAUGGAGAAGACUUUUGGGAUACUACUAUGGGAUUUAAUAUUUGCCACGUUUGGGUGCUGCAACUACUGUAACCUCCUGCAUCAUAGUAAAAUCUCUUUCACCUUCGACCGUGGAUGUAGGUUAUUAAGCCGAACCACGUAAUUUUUCGUGUGUUUUAUUAUGUUAGAUUGUUUGCUUGUUAUUUAUCAUAAAAUUUGGUUCCACAUCUAUAUUUUUUACUAUGUUAUUCAUCAAAGGUAUUGCUUUUUUGACAAGAUAAUGUUAAAGAGUUGUCUUAAAAUCUCUUCAAUCCACCAACAAUGAAUAUAGGUUCAGAUAAAUCACGUAAAUUUUUUAUGUUUUUAUUAUACGUGAUUGUUUAUUUUGUUAUUUACUAUCAAAUUUGGGUUGCUUCGUUCACUAUGACAUUGUAAAAGGCAUUGGUUUAUCCCAAAAUGUAUUAAGUGAAGCUAUCAUAAAUGUUUCAAUUUUAAUUGAUUAAGAAAAGUUAUAAGUUUGAAGUUUCUCAUUUCCAAAAUGGAUUAAUUUUUUGAUAAAUGUCACUACAACUUUGUAAUUGGUAUUAAUUAAAAAUAUUUCCUACCUAAAAUUUGCCAUUAAUUAUAAAUGUUUUGUUUUAAUAAAACACAAAAAGUAAAUAAUCCUCAAUCAUACUUUAUAUUAUAUAACUCGACAUAAGCCAAGGAUCCAUAAAUAUAAUUUUAUAUAAACAGUAAUUUAAUUGUCACUGCAAUAAAAACAUAUAGAAACAGUAAUUCAUCCCUUCAAACGUAUGGUGGUGAAUGCCUUGCUGUCCAACUACUAUAAAGUAAAAGUAGUGGAGUAAUGGAGAUGGAGAUUCCAUAAUAAAGUGUGUUAUCCCCAGAUUUUCUUUUUUAUAAUUUUUUUGAGCUUAGCUUUUCUAAAUGCUGAUGAUCAUUUUUUUAAAGUGGAUUUUUCUCCUUGAAAUGAUGGAUUUAAUUACUUGUUUCCUCCUAAUAAUCACCUCUGAAUAGUAGCUAAAUUUUAUAAUGUAAUUAAUGAUAGUUAUACCGUACCUUUAAUCAAAACGAGAGUGGUGCCCGUAACUACGCUAUGAAAAAGCUUACAGGAAAUAUAAAUUAUGUUAGAAUGGACUUCAAUUUAGUAUCUUCAAAAGAGUUUAUAGAAAAAGCUAUAUUAUAUUAGUCAAUUAUAUAAAUGUAUGGUUUUUGCUGGUAGAAGAAAAGAUAAACCGAUAUUAAUUGAAGAUAAUUAUUUACUUUGGUUUCAAUCACUAAAAGUUGCUCCUAAAUAUAUGGUUUUAAAACAGUACUUAACCAAAGAAGAUAAUAAUCCUAUCAAACAUCCAAUAUUUUUUUCCAUUAAAAAUAUAUUGUUUAAACAAAAUGAAUAGCAUUUGUGAGUUGAAGGUUUUCAUUUUUGUUAGAUGAUAUAUAUCAACUUUCUAGAUACAGGACUUGCACUUUGUUACAUGUUAAGGGAAUAUAAAUUGUUAUACAAUUAUCAUAUAUGUUUAACUAUGGUGACAAUUUGCUCUUCCUUUUGCCGUAUACAUUUGUUUCCAUUUCUUUGAUUUCUGUUGUUGUAUUAUAUUGUAUAAAUUGCAUGGUAGAGGAAAAUAUAAACUAUAAUUAAUUAAAAAUAGUUAUUUGCUUUGGUUUCAAUUACCGAAAACCUGCACUUACAUAUAUAGUUAUAAAACAGUACUUAUCCAAAGAAGACAAUAAUUCUAUCAAAAAUUAUUAAAUGUAUAAUUAAAUAUUAAGAAAUGAGAGAGUAUAUAACCUUCACUAUUGGCAUAUUAAGAUAAAUAGUUGUAGAAUAUAUGACAACACUAUAAUGUAAAAAUCUUAUCAAUAUAAAAUAGUUACUAAAUUCUGGUAGUAUCUAUUUUUUAUAUCUAAAAUAAAUGGUUAAAGGUUAUCAAAUUCAAUUGAUUUAUUUAUUCAAUGAUGACCGUGUGCUAUGUAUAUUGAGAAAUGAGUAGACCUUCUUGGUUUUUAUGUUUUGUUCAAUGGAUUUGAUGGAUAUUUAUUGAAAUUUAAACAUUAAUGUACAAAAGAAAUGUCUAAAUACUAUAGAUUUUCAUUCAUGCAGAAUAAGAGAAUAUAAACAAAAAAUAAUAUUAAAUUGCAAUUGAUAAAUAUUAAAUGAAUCUAUCCUCUAAGCAUUAAAAGUUAAAAAUUAUUGUUUUCAAGUAUUUCUACUAAAAUAAAUAAAAGUAAAAAAAAAAAAACCUUUCAAAUGUAAAAAAUAAUGUAGUUUUGACAUAAAGUAUACAAAAAAAAAUUAAUUCAAUUGAGAAUGAUAGGUGUCAAUCAAUUGACUCAAUCAGAUAUCCUACUUAAAAUAGUACUUAUUUAAAGAAGACAAUAAUCAUAUCAAAGAUUGUUAGAUGCAUAAUAAAAUAUUAAGAAAUGAAAGAAUAUAUAACCUAUAUUAUUAGUAGAUUAAGAUAAACCGUUGUAGAAUAUAGAACAACAGUAUAAUGUAAAAAUCCUUUCAAUAUAAAAUAAUUACUAAUUUCUAAUAGUAUCUAUCUUUUAUAUAUAAAAUGAAUGGCUAAAGGUUGUUAAAUUCAAUUGAUUUGUUUAUUAAAUGAUAACUAUGUGCUAUGUAUAUUUAGAAAUGAAUAGACCUUGACUUUUUUAUUUUGUUUAAUGGAUUGAAUGGAUAUUUAUUUGAAUUUAAACAUUCAUGUAUAAAAGAGAUAUGUAAAUACUCUGGAUUCAGGUUUAUACAAAAUAAGAGAAUAUAAAAAAAAUAAUAUUAAAUUACAAUUGAUAAAUAAUAAAUGAAUCUAUCCGCUAAACAUUAGAAGUUUAAAAUUACUUUUUUCUAGUAUUUUUUACUGAAAUAAAUAAAAAAAACUUUUCAAAUGUCAAAAAAAGAGUAGUUUUGACAUAAGGUGUGCAAAAAAAAAAUUAGUUCAAUUAAGAAUGACAGGUGUCAACCAAUUGAUCCAAUUAGUUACCUUACUUUUAUAUAUAUUAUAGAUAUAUAACAUGUUCUAAUAAUUUAAGGUUUUGGAGUCUGAGAUAUUAAUAUUACUUGUUAAAUACAGUAAUUCUUUUUUAGAAAAAAAAGAAAAGAAAGAAAAGAUGAGGCCAAUAGUUCCAUAAGGCCAAUAAUUCCUUUUUUUUUCUUCCUGCAUUUGGAUGAUUCAUAUUUUGUUCUACGCAUGUAAUCCAAGUCGGUAAAAUGAUUCGCCUAUAUAGAAGUGGAUUUAAUCCAAACUCUGCUACUUCUUGCUAAUUAAGUGGACUAACAAUAUUGAUUUUUUUUCUUUGAAUUGCCCUUUUGUAAGUUAAAUAUUACUAAUAGUUGUGUGAAAUGACUGUGAAAUCUCACCAAAACUUGAUGUCAAAACUCUGUCAAUAUUUCACAGCAAUUGGAAACUUUUUCCUUGUUUUAAUCUCCCAUUCUUCAAUUACAAUCUUCAAUUUUAAGCAUUUAGGAUCUCACUUGCUCUAGAUGGAACCCUUGACAGAUAGCAUACUUUGUAGUCGAAGCAUAAAAUUUUAUACUCUUGUACAUAUCUCCAUUCAAUACUCUUGAGCUGAAAGCUAGUAAUAAUAGAAAAUAAAGUAAAAAGUCUGCCCGUACACUCCUGGUGAUUUUUUUUUCUCAGCCAAAAGCGAAAGGAUAUAUUAAUGAUUGAUAAAUGUACAAAAUGGUGAGCAAAGAGACGGCUCAAAGCAGCAACAAAACAAAAAAAGCUGUAACAAAAUAGCUGGAGAACAGAAUAGACUCAGGGCAAAUAAAGAUGAAACAUGAAUUCAAAAAGUGACGAGAGAGGGCAGAAAAAUGCUGGUAGGAUCUCAAGCAUCAGUCUGCGAUCAAGCAGCAGUGACAUACAGUGCAUAACAGAGCAGUAUUACUACAUAGCACACGGGCAAAGGAGGAGAUUAAAGAGACGAGGAGAAAUUGCUGUAGGUAAAAUUUCCUCCCCUUCUUCUCAAAGUAUAACUAUUGCCAUGAUGAAUGUAGACUUUUGAGAUACUGUUCUAGGAUUUACUAUUUGCUACAUUUGGGUGCUACAACUACUGUAACCUCAUCUUCCUACAUUGUAGUAAAAUCUCUUCUACUCUUUAUAUCUAUGGAUGUAAGUAAUUAAGUCGAACGACGUAAAUUUUUGUGUAUUUGAUUAUGUUGAAUUGUUGGCUUGCUAGUUAACAUCAAAUUUGGUUUUCUUUAGUAUUUUAUAGUUUUUACUUGGUUAUUUGUCAAAGGUAUAACUAUUAGGUAGAACCUAUUUUCAUAUUUUAGCUAACAAAUAUUCUAAAAAAAACUUAUCAAAUUUACCAUAUUAAAUAAUAUUUUCAAUCAAUAUGUUGAAAAUCUUAUAUUGAAAUAGUAUCUUGACAAGUAUUUUUAAGACAAUAGUUAAUAAAAUAUAUUUUAUACUUAUUUAUUUGGAAGAUACAACUCUAAUUGUUAGUAUUUCAACCCUGACUCACUGCAAAAUUUUGGCACUUUCACUCAAUGUUUUCCAGUCGCUAGAUUUGCAAGUCUAAGAUUAAUUAUGAACACACACCUUUGCAUUUUGCAUUGCACAUUCCUACCAAAAUUAUGAAGUACCAUAAUUUGAGGGUUUUGUUAGACUGGAUACCCAAUCUCAUCACUUCCCUCAUAGGUCUUCACAUUUGCGAGUGCCUUGAAUUACCGGACUUGCAAGAAGGGAUGCAUAGCCUUACCUCUUUAAAAUGGUUGUUGAUUUACAAUUGCACUAAACUAAGUUCUUCGGGAUUGGGUUAUGUCACUUCUAAUUCAUGUGCGCCAUGAUUUGCAUUCCUUGCAACUAAUGCAAUGGAUGGACAUCAUACCUAGUUUCACUUCUCUCAAAACACUUAAGAUUUGUAAGUGCCCUGAAUUACAAGACUUGCAAGGGAUGGAUCAUCUUACCUCUUUACAAGUAUUGUCAAUCAAUGAAUGUCCCCAAUUGUUGGAAAUAUGUCAAAAGCAGACCCGAAUCCUUUGGCCUCACAUCGCUCACAUCCCAUCUAUUAUAAUUGACGGGCAAUAGGGUCAAUGGUGAUCAUACAAUGUAGGUAACUAUAUUUUUCUUCACCUCUAUUAUAUUUUCUCCCUUUACCUGAUAAUUCUUUUUUUUUCUUUUUUUCCUGAAUUUGGGUUUGGACUAAUAAUAUUGAUAUUUUUUUCUUUUCAUACUUUGAAUUUUUAAAUAUUAAUAAAUAUUUAAACUGCCAGCAUAACUUGAUGUCAAGGCUCUGCCAGUAUUUAACAGCAAUUGGGAACUCUUUCCUUGUUUCAAUCUCACAUUCUUCAUUUAUAAUCUUAAGUCUUAAGCAUUUUGGAUCUUACUAGCUCUAUAUGGAACCCUUAUACAGAUAGCAUACUUAUAGUAGUCAAAGCAUUAAAUUCUAUACUCUUAUACAGACAAUAUUUUUAGAAAAAAAAUACAGUAGUAUAAAUGUAGCUAAGUAAUCAAAUUAUUCUGUUUCUCACCUUUCGAUAUCAAUUCCUAACAAUCUUUUAGAUGUUUCCUCUCACCUUUUUCAGUACUGUUAAUCUGUGUCUGGAGGAGAUUGAUGCAACUCAGAUAUUCUUAAUAGUUAAACUUCUUCUAUUUAACAUAUGCAAAAAAUGGAGUUCAUGAACAAAUUAUUGUAAGUAGUUUCACUUCCCCCGUUUUUAUAUGUUUGUGUUUUUCAUUGAAAAUUACCGUUUUUAUAACUUUGGAUGUUCUUGCCAUACCCUUUCAGAAGCAAAACCAGAAUUAAAUGGACAAGGAUCAUGAGACAAAUUACUUCUAUCACAGAGAUUCGAAGUAACUGAAACACUGGUGAAAUGAACUGAGAUGUGAGAGUGAGAAUCGUUCUUCUUUUUACAGAUUUAUAUAUAUAUCUUCUUUUUUGUCUAUCUUCUCUUCAAGGAAAUGACUAAUAUUAUAACCUCUUCCUUUCAUCAAGCAGACGGAAUGAAGUAUUAACCAAUAUUGUUUUUUCCCAAGUAUCCCUGAGGAUUUGCAACUACAAGUUUGUUGGGAAACCCCUUUGCUUCUUUCAAAAUCAAUAAUGCUUCCAUGUUGGCCAUUCUUGGAGGUCUGUGUGCAUUGGCUUCAAUCCUAGUCUUUAGACUUUCACUACAAUAACGCAAACUGCUAAGGGGACCUAAAAACAAAGGUUCUUUCAUAGUGUACAUGGGGAAUACCUUUGGGAUACUGUUCCGAGAUUUCCUUUGGCUACAUUUGGGUGCUGCAACUACUGCAACCUCAUCUUCCCACAUGGUAAUAAAAUCCUUCUACUCUUAUGUCCAUGGAUGUAGGCAAUUAAGCUGAACCACGUAAAUUCUUGUGAGUUUUAUUAUGCUGGAUUAAUUGUUUGCUUGCUUUUUGUCAUCAAAUUUAAUUUGCUUUGGUAUUUAUAUUUUUCAGUAGGUUGUUUGUCAAAGGUAUAGUAUAACCCAUUUUCAUAUUCCAGCUAACAAAGUAGUCUAAAAUAAUUUAUCAAACUUUUUUUUUUGCAGCAAUUUUAUCAAACUUAUCUUAUUAAGUAAUAUGUUCAAUCAAUAUAUCGAAAAUCUUAUAUUAAAAUAAUAUCUUAACAAGUGUUCUUAAGACACUCGAUAAUAAAAUAUUUCAUUUGGAAGAUGAAACUCUAAUUGUUAGUAUUUCAACCUUGACUCAAUCCAAACCUUGGGCACUUUCACUCAUUGUCUUCCACUAGCUAGAUUUCACUCAUUGAAUUUUUGUAUUAUUACUUUUAUUGCUAUUCAAUUCAUGUAAGCAAGCUUUCAACUGUAUUUUGGACUAGAAGGAGACAUGAAGUAUAAAGGCCUACUUUUUCUCAAGAAGCUUCUCUAACAACUCCGGUAUCACUUCAAAAAUAUCUCCCUCAAUAAAUUGAACCAUCAAGAUGAAGCAAAAUAUAAUUGUACAUGUUCCUUUUGCAUUAAGACUUAUUUUGUAUUGAAUUCUCAGUUUUUGUUUUUUUUUUCCCUUGGAUUCUAAGUUUUCAAACAGUGCAGAAAGUGCCAUGCAUGAAGAUUAUUAGAAAGAAAAAUCAAACAAUGCCUCCAAGUGUAGAUUGUAAAGCUAGAAUCUUUCAGACUUAAAACCUACACUUGCCUUGAGUUCCCUGGUCUGUGUUUGAACCCACAGAAGAAGCUGCAGAGUUUCAUGUCUUCCAUUUUUUGCUGAAAGCAUAUGGCUGAGAAUAUAAUGUUCAAAGAAAUUAAAUUCACAUUGGUCUAUUUGUUUCCUAGCAGGCUCCUUUAGAUAAGAUCUCUUUGGUGGUCAAUAAAGUAUAGCAGGAUGAAAGUUAUUGGAAAAGAGUUAAUAUGAAAACAAGAAUCUAAUCAGUCAUAAAAUUAAUAAAAACUCUGUUCCUAAAAUUAAAAAUCAAAAUUUGGGGAAUACUACUAGAAUUCCAUUUUCCACUAGUUUUUAUUUGAGUUCAACAAUAUAAAUAUAUUUUCUCUGCUUUGUUAAUUAACUACUUUUCCUUACUUUUGUUUGAUCUCUUAAAUUACUUUUGUUUGAUCCUUGUUAGCUACUUUUCCUUUCCUUAAAUUGAGAUAAGCUUCAAUAAAACAUAUUAUAUUCUCCAUAUAUAAUUUUUUUAUAUGCUCAAUUUGUAUUAACAUUUAUGAAUUUGACUUCUUAUUUGUUAAGAUGGCAAAUAAAAUUAAUUAAUUUGUACUUUACUUCUUUCUCAAGUUGGGAGUCAUAAAGAAGUUUUUCAGGUUCACAGUGAGUAUUCUUUCUCAAGUAUAAAGAAAUUCCACCUGGAGGAUUUAUCUAAAGUGCGGAUUAUAUGGAAGGAUGUCACCCAAGUUGUAACUCUUGAAAACUUUACAAUUCCGAAAGUGAUAGAUUGCAUGAGGUUAAUUCAUACAUUUUCACUUAUGACUGCUCGAAGUUUAUCAUAGUUGGUCUCGCUAAUUAUAAAAAAAAUGUGAUGCAUUGGACCAAAUCAUUACUGAGGAUCAACUUUGUUCAUCAUCAAAUGGUGAUCUCCAACCUAUAAGGUUUCCUAAUUUGACCAGAAUUUUAGUUUAAUAUUGCAAAGAGUUGAAAGUCUCUUUCUUCUUGGAUCUGCUUAUUGUCUUCCAAAACAUGAAUAUUUAACAGAUGAAGGGAACUCUAAAUUGGAGCAAGUAUUUGAACUAGAAGAUGAAGCAAAAGCGAUAGCUGAAAAGGAGAUAAAGUUUGAUCAAUUAAAAUGGUUAUCACUUGAAGAACUGUCAGGCCUCAUUGACUUAUGCCCAAGGGGAUAUCGCUUUGUAUAAUCGGCUUUGUGGUCUUUAACAGCAAAAGAAUGUCCCAAGAUGACUACAGGUUUCUUCAUUGAUUCAAAGAGAUAUGUGCACGCCAAAACAGAGGUGUACACCCUGAAAACUUUAAUCCUAUCUAUUUUUUUAUUUGGUAUUUAUUAUUGAUUAGUGAAUUAAGUACAAGCUUUUAUUUGGUAUGUGUAAAGGCAAUUCGAGUCUUUAAUGAUAUUAUAGGCAUAAUCUUCAAAAUCUUUACUUAAAUUAAUUAAAUGAUUGAGUAGUACACUGCAAUCAAAAAGUUGGUCUAGAAUAUCACUUUUAGUGAAUGAUUCCAUCACCUUUUAUGAAUUUUUGACCUAAAAUUGCUUAUAAAUUGUAAUAUGCCUUUUUCUUCUUUUGUCCUCAUAACAUGAGACAUCAAUGCUUUUGUUUUACAUUUCACUGCUUCAAUUUUUUCAAAAGACACUGCAAUUGGUUGAGCAAGUUGUCACUAAGGGUCUACCACUGCUCAGAAUGUAGUUCACACUAAGUCCAAUAUUUACUUAAAGAAAAAACAGGAGGUUUGAUAUAUGUGCUCUUCCCUGGUGAAGGUGUUUGCUUAAUGAGUUGUCAAGCGAAGGGAUCCCAUGCUUUGAAUAAUUUACCCAAUCAAUGUUAUGUUGCUGCUCUCUGUGUUUACAAUAAGUAGAAGAACAAGAGUGAAAUUCCUCUGUUUUUUAUCCUUAUGUUUGUAUUUUAAAAUAUUUAGUGAGUAAGUUGUGCAAGUAUGUUAUGCAGCAAUCAAUACAUGGGAUAUUAAACCUUAAUUUCCAUGUACAAACCAGGCAGAUUUUUAUUUUGUAAAGGUUCCAAGUGAUUUAUCGAAAUAUUGAGAGUUUGAUUUAUUGAAAUAUUGAGGUAUAAUUAUUUUUUUUAAAUAAUAACAGUCUACCAUUUGACUCAAUAAUGGUUGCCUGUUUUUCCCUAGCCUCAUAACAAGAAAAUAUAAAAAAAACUGAUAAUAGAUUUACUUUAUGGCACUUGUGGAUAAGGUGGACGAAACAGAGGAUAAUGUUGUUACAUAAUUACUGAACAAAUGAGGAUAAUGUGAAAUUUAACAGCUGGUUUGUUUGAGUGAAAUUGAACUAGUCUAAGAAAACAUGGUUUUUCUGUGUGUUAAGUUGAUUUGCAGUUAGUUGGGGUUGGGAUUAUUGAAAGAAUCAAUUUAGUGUUGGUUACUGGUUACGGAUAUAAAAUGAAAGUAUUCUCAUUUCUGAAAUUUGCUAGCUACUGCUGCUGCUACAUGUUAGCAACAUACAAGUAUUCUCAUUUCUUUCCUUCAUCUUUCAUCUACUUUAAUUGUUCUUGGGUGGUUCAUUCUCAUUACUACUCCAAGGCCAUCACCUCAAAGACUAUGUGAUAAAAGUUGGAAGGAGCAUCAACUAUAAUAAUGGUAAAAGGCUUUGGCCCCUGUUUUUAAUGAUAUUUUCUUUUGGUUUUUAAUUAUUUGAUUUCCAUCAAGUUGGCUAACAAUCAAUUAAUUAACCAAGUAAAUGCCUUCGUUAUAUUUUACUCAUGUAUAUGGCUGAGAUUAGGCUACUACUUCGUAGACAAAGUGUCAAAUGAAAUCAAAUUUAAUAUAAAAGGAGAUUGCAUUUCCAUAGACAAAAAGUGAACCAUGACUUAGGCCAGGAAUUGUACUGCUAGCUGCUUUGUCCCUUGCAUACUUUCUUUCAAGCGAGCUGCUGAUUUUUCAUAAGGAAAAAAGAGUAACUACUUGAAGAAAGGAAGGUUUAUUAAGGGGAUAAUGAUGUUCUUCAUCUGCUGAGCUUUUGUUUCAUACGGAAGUUGUCGAAUUAAAGAAAGGGCCAACAUAUAACUUUACUUGUGAAUUUCUUAUGAUAACAAUGUUUUGGACGAGUCAAAUAUAUACAAAAAGAAUUAGCCCCAUUAGUUCAAGGUUUACGAUAAGUGCUUCUUUUUCUUGAAAAAGAAAAAAGAUUACUGAUCUCAUUGGUUCAACGUUUUACAAAACCAUAUAGAGAUUUCCAGUGUUUCUCAUACUCUUUUUCACAUCUCUACAAUUCUGUGAAACUUUUACAAAAAUUUCGGAUUUCAAAAAAAUUAUCUCUUACAUAAGAUCAUAUAAAGAUUGCAUCUCUAUCUUAAUUUUAAAAGUUAAGACCCAUUCCAUAUCUAUAAAACCAUAUUACUUUGUCACUAUGAAUUCCAACCCAUUAAAAACUCUUAAUCAUUAAGUAUAUUUGCCCAUUAAAUAAACUUAAUCAUCAAAUAAUUUUUGACUAAUGAAAUUUUACUGAUUGCAAAUUAAAAUUUGAAUAAAAUAUCUAACACAUUCACAUGCAAUUGUCCCUAGCAGUAAACAAAAAUCCUCAAAUCUGUAAACAUUAUAUAAUAAUGUUGAUAGCACAUGCUGGUCAAAGAGCUUUUAGCUCGAGGGAGCAAUAAACAUUGGAGUCUCGAGCACCACCCACAACCAAGGAAGGAAAAAACAAGGGGGACAGACCAACUAUUGAAAAGCCAACUGAAAAACAAUAAACAAAACAAAUUAGCUUUCUCAAUGUAUAGCAUUAGCUUUCGCAUAUCAAAGAAAAGAGAAUCUUACAUGGAUAGUGUGAGUCAAGUUGCUAAUAUUGUUCCAUUGUUCGUAAUAUGAAUAUUAGUGUUCCAAAUUUCCUACACCUACUCUUACUACUUUGUCUUCAUAGAGUUUCUGAAGGGAUCUCUUGCUGUCAAUAGUUUAGCCAACUAAUGUUAUGUUGCUUUCUAUUGCACUUUUAUUGUACAAUAAUUAAAAGAACAAGAGUGAAAUUCCUCUGUACCUUAAUUUUUAAUUUUGUAUUUUAAAUCCUCAGUGAAUAAGUUGUGCAAAUGUGUUAUGCUGGAAUAAAGAUAUGGAAAAUUAAACUUUAAUGUACAAACCACACAAAUUUUUAUUUUAUGAAGGUUCCCAACUAUUUAUUGAAAUAUUGAGAGUUUGAUUGCUACUCCAACUAUAAGAUCUAUAAACUUAACAAUAGCAUCAUUUUCUUUCCAUGCACAUUUGAUUUGCAAGCAUUACCAAACAAGCUUCCCAAGCAUGCAUGAAUGACAUCGAUCUUCUUAGAAUCUCUCAUUCGAUAAACAAAAUACUAUAAUCUGAACUGAAACUUUCUUUUUUAUUCUCUUUCGUUGAUCAAGCUGAAGCGAAUUUGAAUAGCACAUUCUUUUUUAUAUCGACCCUUUAAAUAAACUUAACCAUCUAAUAAUUUUUAACCAAUAAAAUUUUAGCAAUGUUCAGUUAAAAUUUGGAUAAAAUAACUAUCACAUUCACAUGCAAUUGUCCCUAGUAAACAAAUAUCCUCAUAUCUAUAAAAAUUAUAUGCAAUGUUGAUAGCACAUGCUGGCCACAGUGCUUUUAGAGGGAGCAUUUAACUUUUGUCUCAAGCACCACCCACAUCCAAGGAAGAAAACCGUAAAUAAAACAAACUUUCUCAACGUAUAGCAUUGGCUUUCGCAUUUUAGCUGGAUUAUCAAAGAAAAGAGACUCUUAAAUGGGAACUGUGAGCCAAGUUACCACUAUUUUUCCAUUGAUCCUAAUUUGAAUAUUAGUGUUCCAAAUUUCCUGUACCUACUCUUACUACAUUGUCGUCAUAGAGUUUCUGAAGGGAUCUCAUGCUUCCAAUAGUUUAGCCAAUUAAUGUUAUGUUGCUCUACCCCAACCGAAUUUGCUUAUGUUAUGGGAGUCUAUUGCGAUCUAAGCAAGAGACUCCAACUGACAUUAUGAUUGUGAGGUUAAUAAAUUUUCUUUUCAAAAAAAAAAAUUAUGUUACUCUCUAUUACAAGUAAUGCUUAAUUGCAAAAGAAUCAUAAUUAAAUGAGGAUCCAGUGUUUAUUCUUAAGAACAUUUACAAAAUAAUAAUAGUAAUUUUUACUAACAAAGAGAGUCAAAUGUUUUCUUAUAAACCAAUCAAGUAGAUGAUAAAUAAAUGCUGAAAAUAAUUGAAAAAAUGACAAAAAGAAAGGGAUCAAUAAUUCAAAAGUGCAUCAAUGAUUCCAUGUCCCAUUUGCAUAGAGUACAAAGAAAAAAUUAAAGGUGUGAAUUUAAUUACCUUUCGAAUAAUGGUAAUUUUUUUUAGGGAAAAUUUGUACUUAUUAUGUUUAAGAUAUCAAACAUGAAGCCAAUUUUACAUUAGUUAAAAUUUCCUUUAGUAAAAUAUUUUCAUCUUUUUUUUUUCUUUGAGAGAGAAUUAGUUGAUAAUGAUUCUUCAAUGACAUUAAACUCUUCACUAAUGGAGACAGCAAUAUUGUAUUCAAUUCAAACAUGAAUCAGAAAACUUUGGAAAAGCUCGGAGAAUUUCCCUUUUACUUUACUAAAGUUGGUUUCCACAUUAAACUUAAUUCUUUGAAGGCAAGAACCAAGAAAAGUCCUACUUCCACAUUGAUGUUUCUUUGUUAACUUUAAAAAGGAGACAUUUUUUUGUCAUCACAAGGAAAAAACAAAUGACGGCACUUUCUCCAACAUUUUUUAGCUUAGUUUUUCCAAUGCUGGUGUUUUUUUAAUUGAAAUUUCUCCUUGAGAAUACCAAGUCCUUGCUGCAACUUUUCUCGAAAAAGAAAAUAAAAUGAUUCCAUGUCCAGUAGCAAAAGCUUUACUUGGGGUUUCGGAUUAUUGAAAGAAGCAAUUUAGUGUUGGUCGCUGGUUUGAUGAGAUGGAAUAUUGCAUUACAAAAGGAAAACAAACUGUCUGAUUAAACAACAGGAAAGUGCUGCCUAGAUUUGAUAGAAUUUAGAAUCAAAAGUAGUGGAAAACAAGAGGCAUUUCAGGUCAAGGGUCUUCCAUUUUUCAACUAAAACCCAAGAACGUAGGAAGAAUAUAUUUGACUUAUUUGAGUCCUAAAAGGGUCUUGCUCAAAUUUAAGUUAAUUUGGAGAAGUUUUUGAAGUUAAGUAAUAAUUGGAUGGAAACAACUUAAAGCGGUCACUCAAUGUGAAUAAAGCUUAUUUAAAAUUAAUGAAGAAAUCAACUACGAAGGAAAUCACUACAUCGAGUUGACUAACAAUCAAUUCACCAAGUAAAUGGCCUUGUUUUAUUUCACUUAUCAUGCAUAUGGGUGAGAUUAGGCUACUACUUGUUAAAGAAAGUGUUGAAUGAAAUCAAUUGAUUAUUAAUCUAUUUAUUCGUAAAAAGAUAAUGCAUUUCCAUAGACAAAAAGCGAACCAUGCUUCACGCCUGGAAGGAAAAAGAGUAAGUAAUUGACGAAAUGAGGAUAAAACAUAGAAAAGCUUCACUGUCCCACAUCUAGAAAACCUUCUCUUAUUACUUUCUCGUCAUAGAGUUUUCAUUUGAGCAUCUUCUUCUAUCAUCUCCACAUCUACGAGCUACACUGUCCCAAGAAUUUGUAUGAUUUCUGCAUUCUCUUCUUUUAACUCGACAAAACCUAUUCUUCCACUUUAUUUUCCUUCACUUUCCCACUUUUCUUUCAACUCAAAGAACAAAAGUAUCUCUGUAGUGUGUUGUUUAACUCUGCAAAAAAAAAAAAAAAACAAAACAAAACAGUUGAUCUCUUGAAUUACUUUUGCUUGAUCCUUGUUAGCUACUUUUCCUUUUCUUAAUUUUGGUUUCCCAAUCUCCGGAGUUGGUGAAGUAAUUCCAUUACAAUUGAGGUAAGCUUCUGUUAAACAUAUUAUAUUCUCCAUAUUUAAUUUUUUUAUGGGCUCAAUUUCUCUUAUCAUUCAUGAAUUUGACUUCUUAUUUUUGUAGUUUGCAAGUAAAAUUAAGUAAUUUGUACUUUUCUUCUUUACUUCAUAAUCCUAUGAUAUUUAGUAAUAUACUUUGUGCAGCAUUUUAGCAUGAAAUAGUUUUAAUAUUAUGACUUUAAAAUAUGGAAAAUAUAUCAAUAAACCUAUGCUGAAAUUUCAUUCUAAAUUUUUUACUUUAUUAUAAAUUUUCAUAUUUUUUCCAUUUUUUACCGACGUUUAUGGAUAUUUUGGAAAAUAUUUUAUGGAAUAAUGAUACUAUGCUUUUACUUUAAUAUGAAAAUAUAUUUUUAAUUGAUAUACACAUGACCAGUGACAAGAAUUUCUACAACUGAAGCAUUUUUAAUUUCCAAGUUGGUCCGUAAACAAUUGGUUCCCUUGUGAUCCACAUUUUCAUAAAGGUAAGGUACUUUGCAAACAUUUGGUAAUUGUUUUUGUCUCUCUGUAAAACUUUUUACUCAUUAAAAUUAAAACUAGGUAGAUUUUUAUUUUGUGAAAGUGCCAAGUGAUCAUUAAAACAUUUGUCAAUUUAAACAUACCCAAUUAUGAUUAAUGGUGUUCAAUCAGUUUGAUUAAAGUUUUAGUUCAAUAAGUUAUGGAUAUAUUUAGAUUCAAUUUAGCUUAUUGAUGGAUAAGUGAGGGUAACAGAACAUUUAACCCAGUUAAUUUUUUUAUUUAUUAAUUUAGAUCACAUCUUUUAAUUUAUUUUGAUCCAAUUAGAUUCUCCUUUUGAUCUACUUGUCUCUAUCUUUGGGUCUUAAUAAUUUACACAAUUGAAUUUUCAUUUUUUUUUAUGGUUGCAAUUGCACCUUUUAUUUUUUGGUAAAAAAGGGAUAGUGCGAACCGUGACUUCAGGUGUCUUGGGCAUAACCUCAAGCCACCCCUAUAUUCCCACUUGAAAGACAGAGGAAAAAACAAAGCUUAGAAAUGGAAGAAUCAUUUCCCAUGACCGGUGGAGAUGGCCCCAACAGUUAUGCAAAGAAUUCCAAACGUCAGGUACUUCUUUAGUUACCCUGUAUAUCCUUAUUUGUUGUAAAUCCUUACUUGGCCACCUCUUAUAAGUUUUACAAACUUUUCAUUUGAUCCUUAACUACUUUAUUUAUUUUUAUAUAUAUAAAUUUUUUGAGCACAUUUCUAAUUACCCAUUACAUAAGUAUACACUACGAAAAAUUCAAUAAGCUAUUUUUAUUAGUUUUAAUUUUGGAAAUGGUGGAAAUGAAAUCUUAAUUUCUUUUGGUUUUUGGCAUGAUUGUUCUUUACUUUGGCUAUCUAGAACAAAAUUAAAUAUUAUAAAACACUAAUUUCUAUGCAAAUAAGUUUUAAUUCAAUUUAUUUAUUUUAAAAAUAUAAGCAUAAAAGUGAAAUAAAGAUAAUAAAUUUUAAUAUAAACUAUACCAAAAUAUUUUUUUAUUUAAUAAAAAAUUUAAAAAUUUUAGUAUAAAAUAUAAAUUUUCUUUUUUAAAUUCCGUGAAAGUGAAAUAGAAAUAAUAAAAAUUGGACAAAAAGAGUAUUAUCAUCAGUUUUGAAACUUGUAUUCUUUUAAAUAUGUAUAUCUGUGUUCAAUGAAUGUUCUCUUUAAUUCAAAUUAGUAAAUGACAAACAAAGAGAAUUAUAAUUGUCUGAAAUUGUACAAGAGACAAUCUUAUUUUCUUUAGCUCCUCAGGUUUGGAGUCGAUUACAUUGUUUUUAGUCUGUUGAUUACCUCAAAAUUUUGGGAGUGUCAAUCCUCAUUGGUUAGCAACAGUGUUGAAAGAAUUAGACCAGAUUGACCAAUCAGACUGGUUGAACCAGUAGUUUACCUGGUCUGAUUAGAGGGCUCAAACUGCUAAAACUUCAGUUUCUAUCUUCAAAAGUUCUUGUCUUACCUUGAUUGUUAAUUAAAAACUCUAAUCAUUUAGUAACAUGUCAUUUUUUUUUUCAUAUUUAACAUACAUUUAAUGUUAAAAUUCUAUUUUUUUUUUUUAAAAAAAAAAAGUUGUANUUUCAUUUAUUUUUUUUUUUUUUUAAAAAAAGGGGGUUGGAUUGAACUGGCUAAAUCAAUUGAAAUAAGAAUCAAUGGCACCAUUGGUGUAAUUCUCGAUCUGAGUUUUUAAACAUUGGUUAGAAAUAUUUGGCCUGUAAUUAGCAUUGUAAUUAAUAUAAUACAAAAUUAUAGUACCGAAUUGUUGAUUUUAAUUUGUGGGAAUUAGAAAACAUGUAUGAUGUGACUUUUUCUUUAUUGUGCAACUCCUUUGAUAUACAUUAUUAUAAGAUAAUCUCUUCUCAUAUCUAGUAAAUCUCCUCUUAAUUUGUAAUAUCUGAUUUCAAAAUUUUUAAGUUGAAAUUUUUUUUAUUAAAAUGUCUUUCGAGAGGCUAAACAUGUAAUAUGAUAUUGUCAAAAUGGAUUAUUUUGGGAACCUAGCUAACUCCUUUCAAUUUUUUUUUCUUUUCAUAUUCUUCUUAAAUUUAGAAAGGAGCAGCAGAUAAGGCGAAAUCAGUAUUAGUUGAAGCAAUUAUUGAAAAGCUUGAAGUAGAAGAUACACCUUCCAUUGCAAGCACAUUUCGAAUUGCCGAUUUAGGCUGUUCAACGGGACCUAACACAUUCUUUUCCGUGAAUACAAUUAUAGAAGCCGUAACCCACAAGUACAAAACCAAAGGGCAUACUAGCCUGCCUGACUUCCAAGUACACUUCAAUGAUCAUGUUUCCAAUGAUUUCAACAUGCUUUUUAACAGUCUUCCUCCAGGCCGUCAGUACUUUGUAUCGGGAGUUCCAGGUUCCUUUCAUAGCAGAUUGUUUCCAAAAGCAAGUCUCCAUUUUGUCUACUCUGCCUAUGCUCUUCAAUGGCUUUCAAGGGUACCGCAGGAGUUAAGUGACAUUAAUUCACCUGCAUAUAAUCGUGGGAGGAUAUUUUAUUCAAAUGCACCAAACGAAGUUGGCAAGGCUUAUACAGCUCAGUAUGUAAUGGACAUGGAGCGUUUCUUAGCUGCUCGAGCAAAAGAGAUAGUCCCUGGAGGAUUAAUGGCCCUUCUGAUUCCAGGACGCCCAGAUGGGACACUUCCAGCAGAAUCAUCAAUCGGCCCCUUCUUCCAGCCCCUGGAAUCUUGCCUCGUGGAUAUGGCAAAUGAGGUAAUUAGUACAAGCACAAUAUUGAAACAUCAUGAAGAUAGAUCAAAUUUUCAUUCUGCAACUACACGCGAAAUGCUAUAAAGCAAUAUAUAUAUAUAUAUUAAAAGAUAAAAAGAAGUAUUUUAAUAUAUAUUAAAAGAACCAAUAAUUAAAAUAUGUACGUCCAUUAUAACAUAAUUGGUCUAAAGAGAAGUAAAAUCAUCCAUUUUGUUAUUUAUAAAAAUUAAAUAUUUUAUAUAUAAUCUUUCAAAAAUAUUAUUUGUUUUUGUUUUCCAAUGAUUUUUUUUUUAUUUUUCUUCUAGAUUACCAAAAAGUAAAUAGCAAAAACACCAACCCAACUUCUAGUACUUUCUAGAAUAGGCGAAUAUUUACACUUUUUUACAGCAUCGUUGAGUUAGAGCUAUGAAUUUUUGUCGUGCGCUAUUAAAAAUGCUUUUAACAACAUUUUUUGCAUACUUUUAUUAAUAUUUUUUUUAUAAAUUUAUGACUAUACUAUACAAGUUUCUAACAGUAUUAUUAAUAAUAAAUAUAGUUAUAGACAUCGUAUAAACUAGUAGACGGUACAUUUUUAUUAUUAUUGUUGAAAAUAAGAAAAAUAAAGUAAAAAAUUUAUAUAAUUACACUUUUUAAAUUUUUGUUAUGUAAAAAAGAUAUGUUAGUUCAGAGGAAUGUAAUUAAAGUAUAAAUUUAUUGUAGUAACUCAAGCAAUGGUUGUCCUAUGCAGGGAAUAAUUAAUAAAGCUAAAAUCGAUUCAUUCAACUUGCCUAUGUACAGCCCAUCCCCUGAAGAGCUAAGACAACUCAUACAGAAAAAUGGGAGUUUUAGCAUAGCGAGAUUGGAAAGCAACACAGAUGCGGGGAGCAAACGGUUGUGUGGAGCAGGUGAGUGUAGAUCUGGGUUAGAGAACAUCAUCGCAGGACACUUUGGGAGUAAUAUAGUAGAAGAAUUAUUUGAGCGAUACGCCAAGAAAAUUGCAGGAUGCCCUCCCCUUGACACUGGUGACACAAGUGGAAUUGGAUUAUGCAUCAUCCUCAAACGCAACCACUGAUGAGAAAUCUGCUCUCUGCUUGCUUCAUCUAUUUCACUUCUAUGCACGAUUGAUUUAAUUCAAGCUGCUCCUUUGGGCCAUAUUCAUACAUCCUUUGCCUUGUUUUUUUUUUUUUCUCGUUUCUGGUUUUUCUUUUGUUGCAACUUUGCUAAGACAAGCACACAAUAUUAGAGAUGUACUGUACUUCUGUGAUUUAUAAUAUAGGCUUCUUUUUCUUAUACUUUUCUGCAAUUUACUUGUUAUUCAUUUGCUAUUUACUUUUUUAACAAAUAAUUAGAUUAAUAGUCAUAUAAAUAUGGGUAAAGAAUUUUUUUUUAACAUAUGAUCUUUAGCUUAUAUAAUGAGAGAUAAUUCUCUCCCGUAUAACUUAUUGCUCUAACUGCUUUAUUCUCAGGUUUCAUUUCAUGUUCUUAAUUUUUAAGAUAUCUCGAACCACAUAGAGAGCUAUAAGUGUUACAUCUUAGGUUUAUCUUUCAAGCACAUUUUCAGAGAGGUUAAUUUUAUUGCAAAUGAAUUUGCAAAAGUAGGAAUUUUCUGAAUUUAUCAGAAUUAUUAAUUUGUUUCCAAUUUAAGUUUAAGUUAUAUCUGUAAGAUUUAAGCAAUAAUACCACUGUUCCUAGACAAAUGAAACAUAUCUGAAGCCACAUGGAGAGCUAUAAUUGCUACAUCUCAAGUCUAUCUUUCAAGCACAUUCUUAGAGAGAUUAAUUUUCUUGCAAUUGGAUUUACAUAAGUAGAAAUUUCUUGAAUUAGAAAUUUCUACGAUAUUUUAUAACUGAUAGAUUAUCGCAUUUUUUUUCGUGUUUUCUCUUGUUUCAGUUUGUACAACUUUAACUCUCCAUCCUAUAUAUUUCCAAUAUAAUUAUCUUACUUACCUUUAAAAAAAAUUGUUAUUUUGACAUUCCGGCCACUCAUCUUUUAUGUUUUAAGCAUCAUUACAAUUUCAAAAGAAUCUUUGGUCAUAGACAUACUCUCAAGGCCAAAAUCAACUAAGUCAAUCUACCUAGAGUGCCCCUCAAUUUGGGUAUAUCCUACGAGCCUUCUAGCUUUUAACUGUAGAGGGCACUGUUGUCGCACUUUGCUAGCAUGUCUGGUAGAAUUAGUGUGGUAAAUGCCAGAAAUUUCAGGUAUGAAAGAUGAAGAAAAACGGCUCAAGGGUUAAAGGAAUUUGUCUGGUCAUAUUUGUAUUGAUAGUCAGAGUAUUACAAGGCAAUAUAUAUAUAUAUAUGUGUGUACAGGUAUUGAAUUGAUUGUGGAAAAGCAUAAAGUUAGUCUCUAACUAACUAAUAAUUACAAUCUAACUAAUUUUUAAAAAACUUAAAUCAAACUACUGCGUUUUGAACUCUCCUGGCCUUUUAUUGAGACGGGGAGUUUUGGUCCUCUAUUUCUACCUUCUUUUUCCCAGUCAAGGACUUCAGUCUUCUUCUUCAUUUCUUGUCUGUGUUUCUAUCUCUUGGGAAAGCUUAUUUCACACUGCUGAUUCAAUCAAUGUUUGAUACUCCCCCUCAAGAUGAACUGUCUAUGUUAUGAACAUUCAUCUUGCUCAUCAAGAAGUGGAAUUGUCUCCGUUGGGGUGCCUUGGUGAAGAUGUCAGAUAGUUGUGACUGUGUUGAGAUGUAUAGGGGAUUAAUUAAUCCUGUCAUUACCUGUCAUUACCUUUUUUUGUAACAUUUUUAUGGUUUGCUUAUGUGAUUGGAUCUUGUCUUCUACUGUCAACAGACAUAUUGAGGUUUUUUAGUCUGAUAUGAUAAUGUAGAACUCUGCUAUUAUCUUCUAAAGAGAUUUUACAUAUUGUAGUUUUAAUAUGGAUGUUUAACUCAUUGAGCAAGAUCUGGUUUUAUCAAAUUAUUUUGUGAGUUGAAAUUAUGGAUUAGAAGCACAUAAUGCUGUCAGUUUGUUUACAGAACUUGGUUUCUGUUUGAUAAACUAAAAUUUUAAUGGUGAAAAAUUAUGUAAUAUUCAAUUACUUUACUUUUCUUUAUACUCUAUUCUGCGUAAUUGUACACUAAUUUCUAAUUAGGCUUCAACUACUUAAAUGCUUGAUAUUUGAAUUGUUGAUCUAUCUUGCUCCUUGCAUGGUAUAAAUCUUAAUAGGAUCAGAUGAUGAUAGCAUGCUGCUUUAUGUUAGUAAAGUUUAUAUUGCCAUGUUAGAAUCUUGCUUAAUUUGCCGAGCAUAUAAUUUACACUUUAAAACCAGUUAUAUUUUAUUGUUUAUUUUUGCCUGAACCUGCAGAUGUUCAGUUCCUACCAAUAUCUGGUCUUGUUGGUACUAACAUGAAAACAAGAGUAGAUAAGAGUACAUGUCCUUGGUGGAAUGGUCCCUGCCCAUUUGAAGCCCUCGAUUCUGCUGAAGUUCCUCUCAGAGAUCCAAAAGGUCCAUUUAGGUAGUAGUCCGGAGCCUAUCUUACAUAACAGGAUUCACUGCCCACACAACUUUUAUGUUUGAUUCUAGUUCCUGCCAUGUACUAGUAGCGUGUAAAUUUUAAUUCUUGGUCACUUAUAUGACACAUCUAAUGAUUUGUUAUUGACUCUAUAGGAUGCCUAUAAUUGACAAAUUCAAAGACAUGGGAACUGUUGUUAUGGGAAAGGUAGAAUCUGGAAGUGUGCGUGAGGGUGAUUCAUCAUUGGUUAUGCCAAACAAGGUGCUUGAUCUUCACAAUUUUUCCAUUUUAUUUAUGCGUAUAUGGUUUUUUAUUUUUAAUUUAUGGGGUCUGAGGAUUUUAUGCAUGGAUUGCGGGCUCAGGUGAAAGUUCUAGCUGUGUAUUGUGAUGAAAAUAAGGUUAGGUGUGCAGGACCUGGUGAAAGCUUACGGGUUAGAUUAUCUGGGAUUGAAGAAGAGGACAUAUUAUCGGGUUUUAUCUUGUCAAGUGUUGGUAAGUUUUUCUCAAUGGAGUUCUUCAUUAACCUUUACAAUCCUUUUUUCUAAUUCUACUUGUUUGUCUUUUAUAUUAAUAGUAAAUUGUAUUAGUUUUGCCUUAUUUUCGGGGUUUAAUGUUUGUUUUUCCUGCUUGCAGUAAAACCGAUAGCUGCUGUCACUGAAUUUACAGCCCAGCUGUAGAUCCUUGAGUUGCUUGAAAAUGUAUGCAUGAAUGUCAUUUUCAGUUAUCCUUAUUUAAUAAAAUCUAUACAUUUAAAGUAUAAUGUCCUAAUUAUUUGCUGUCUUGUUGAAUGUUGUUUAGGCUAUUUUUACAGCUGGAUAUAAGGCUGUGUUGCAUAUUCAUUCUGUUGUUGAGGAGUGCGAGAUAGUGGAGCUACUACAGCAGAUUGAUCCAAAGACAAAGAAACCCAUGAAAAAGAAAGUUCUUUUUGUGAAGAAUGGUGCUGUUGUUGUGUGUCGCAUUCAGGUUCGGACUCUUACUUUCUUUUAAAUAAACCAAAUUGGGGGUAUUGCUUUUUUGUACAGUUCAAUGCACUAAGUUAAACAUGUUUAGUAGCUCUGAGGGAGAUAUAAUUUUUUAGGGUACGAUCUGGAAAAUUGGCUGCAUUGUUGUAGGUAGUUUGAAAUCAAACUGAAUAAAUUGCUAGAUUGACCAAGGUGAGAAAGCAGUUGGAAAGCACUUGUUGGUGAGUUGUUUUAUCACAGGAGUAGAAGUGGAAAUAGUGGGAUAGCACUAUAAACUAAUGGUGAACCACUAACACCUCCUUUUUUGGGGCUCCACAUAUGGGAAAAAUUCUCUGAUAAAUCAGAAACAGGUAGCUGGAGCUAUGUUUCUGAGUUGGUUGAACUUGUACUUAUAACGUGGUUGUCUACUCUCUCCGAUGUGAGCACAUGUGCAUGCACAUUCUGUUUUCAGUGUAUGUUGUCUGUGUAGUGGAGAGGAGGCUGGAAAGGCCAAUCCGUAUGUUACAUACGUCAAUCAAUUAUUAACUGAAGUAAAAGAUGUUUCAGAAUGGAAGACAAUGGCUGAAUUAGUCUCUGUUUUUUCGGGGUUGAGAAAAUACUGUGUUCUUUUGCUUCUCAGGUGAACAACUUGAUUUGCAUUGAGAAGUUCUCAGAUUUUCCACAACUUGGGAGAUUCACUCUUCGUACUGAAGGUAAUGGAGACAGGCUCUUUUCAUUGCCAAUAAAUUAUUGUUCUUAAUGGCUGUGGGUCACAUGAAUUGUCAUGUCUGCAGGAAAAACCGUUGCAGUUGGAAAAGUCACUGAUCUUUCUUCAAGUAGUGGUGCUUAAUACAAUUUUGUUCUUAGAGGUGAGAAUUUAAACAUUGAAGGUUAUUUCUGCUCCUCUAUGUGAAGUUCCUUUUGGGAUCGCUGUUAUUCUCCUGCACCAUAUAUUUAAUGCAAGAGAUAACAAACCACCGAGAACAGUAUGAAAAGAGAAACAGAGUUUUGAGUUGAUCAUCAAUUGGUGAUCUUUCAAUUUAGUCUUCUAACAUAAAAUUGUAGUUGAAUAACAUUUGGUCCUUUUGGGGAUGGAGGGUUGGGAUUUUUCACCAAAAUAUUGCCUUAUUGUUGCAUCACGUACUUUUAUUGUUGUUGGAGAAUGGCUUUUGUUAUCGCUAUGCUAGUUGGUAGCACCUUUGAAGAGUUGGGGGGAUUUUGUUGUGGAAGCAUUACGCGGUUGAAAGUAGUUUACUCACAGUAUACCAUGCCAUCCGAUUCCUUUUCUCUUUUUUUUUUUUCUCUGCUAUGGUAAUAGAGGUUAAGCAGGAAAUGGGACUAGACUUUGUUUUAGGUAAUAGAGAGAGGCUGGACGCGGUUGCAGCAGAUAUUUCUAAGUUUAACUUGAGUCUGAGAGUUGUAGAAGAUAAGAAAGUUAAUUGUACUAACAGGCAGACUGCCUCGAAGGUGAGAUCGGAAAUAAUAGGGAGAGAGAAAGAUAUAAAUGACAUUAUAAAAUCAUUGUUGCACGAUCAAAAUGAUAAUCAUGGUGACAGCAUCUCCCUUGUUGCCAUUGUUGGAUUCGGAGGAUACUUGUACAGAAAUUUUUUUACUUUUAAAAAUACAACAGUAUAAAUGUACCCAAGUUAUCAAAUUUUUCUGAUUUUUCACCUUGUUAUAUCAAUUCCCAACAAUCUUUUAGAUGUUUCCUCUCUACUUUUUCAGUGAUGCUAAUGUGUGCUUGGAGGAGAUUCAUGCGACUAAGAUAUUCUCAAUAGUUAAAUUUCUUCUAUUACCAUAUGCAAAAAAUGGAGUUCAUGAACAAAUUAUUGUAAGUAGCUUCGCGUCCCCCGUUUUUAUAGGUUGAUGAAUACAAUAUCAUCUCUUAUACAAUGGGACAACUUUGGACGUUCUUGUCAUACCCUUUCAGAUGCAAAACCAGAAUUAAAUGGACAAGGAUCAUGAGCUAGAUUGCUUCUAUUACAGAGAUUCUAAGUAACUGAAACACUGGUGAAAUGAGCUGAGAUGUGAGAGUGAGAAUGCUUCUUCUUUUUACAGAUUAAUAUAUAUCUUCUUUUUUCUAUCUUCUCUUCAAGGAAAUGACUAAUAUUACAACCUCUUCCUUUCAACAAGCAGAUGGAAUGAAGUAUUAACCUUAUAAUAUUGUUUUUUCCCGAGUAUCCCUGAGGAUUUGCAACUACAAGUUUGUUAAAGGGCCUAUCUCCACAAGACUCUUGAGCUAGAAGCUAGUAAUAAUAGAAAAUAAUGUGAAAGUCUGCUUGUACAUUUCCUGCUUUUGUGAAGAAGAGAUAUUGUUACAGGUAAUGUUUCCUCCUUUUCUAGCUGUAGGAACUAGCUUUUGUAAGGAUUAUAUUAACAUAAUUUCUUUUAAUUUUUUUACGUGUUUAUAAUGGUGAUGACAUUUUUUCUUUGUUUGAAAGAGGACGAUUUCAUCUUGCUAAUUUCCUUCCAAAGUAGAACAGCUGUCGAAUUGAAACCAAGAGAAGUUUUAAUUGGUAAAAAUUUACCACUUAUUCAUUUUGUCUUACCAAUUUCAUUUGCUGGCUAUAAGAAAUUCAUACUUCUUUCUGCAUGUCUUUUUUUGGAUUAUAGAUUUUUUCUGAUAGAUCGAGAGAGUAAGAAUUGAUUUCACCUUGCCAAUGCCAUUGUGAGGAAGAGUAUUACAAUCGAUGGAUGGAAGCUUUUACUCCCAACAACGUCAUCACAUAAUAAUUUGAAGGCGUGAGUAUCUAUGUUACAGUUUGAUGGCAAUUCUAUGUGAGAUAUAAAUUUUGCUUUGAGUAUUAAUAUUUUUUUUUUGAAAGGUGAUUUUAUUCAUCCUCUGUACCGGAAUCGCAUUUCAAAUCUCUUGCCUGAUAGACCAAAGACUCCCUUGGCAUUAAGAACCCGGUAAGGGUAAAAGUAGUACAAAAACACAGAAAACACCAUCCAAGACUUGAUGGCAGCUCCAAGAGAUCAAAAGACAAGAGUCACAAAGCCCUGAAACAAAAAGAAGGGCAGCACAAUAGGUCUCUAACCUAAAAAAAGAAAAGGGCUAGAUCCUAAUCAAAAUGAUUUUUUGAUAACCUGCAACAUGUAUUCAAUGUUAUGAAUAUUAGAUAGUAGUAAAAUUUGAGACACUGUUGGUCACUUUCAUCAACUUGCAAGACAGCCUAAGACCUAAUUAAGGAAUAUGGCAUAAAAAAUUGGCUCCACGAACUCAACUUCUCCGGACCCAGCAACUUAAUAACUAAGUCCUAAUAUAUUCAAAGUGCAUUUGCUGUCAUUUUAGAACUGUACAAAAAUAAAACAUAAAUAACUUUUGAGUAUUUAAAUUCAAUAAAGGCUAGCUCAUGAAAAUAAUUGAACAGCUUAACCUCUGGUUUCUUUUUAGAUAACAUUGAGUACACAGCAUGCAACUCUUUCACCUUUUCUUCCCAAGAAGUGAGCCUCGGUCUAACGAUCUUGAAUUCAAGGUGAAUUGGCUUUUCAUUUUUUGCUCUAUUAUAUAUGAGGAAUUUGCUGUGUAUGGAAUCUUCAAUAUUUUUUCAUUGCUCUAACGUUUAAGAUUUUCAUUUUCCAUAUAUAGAAAAAGAAGAGGUGCCAAUGACUUGCCCACCAACUCCCUUCUGAGCAUUUUUGAAAAGCAGGUAUUCUCAAAAGCAUAUCUAUUGCAAAAAUGAUGACUAUAUAUUAUAGCUUCUUUAGUUUUUGUUCUUGACUUUUUGCAUAUCUUUGUCCUCAAUGCUUCUUUAUAACAACGGUUUUUUUUACUAGUUAUCUGUGAGUGGAGUCAAACAACACUUGCUAAGUAAUGGCUCGAGUGAUCGGAAGAAGUGCGUUGAGCUAAGCUCGUUGUAAAACCCCUUUGCUUCUUUCAAAAUAUCAAUAAUGCUUCCAUCUUGGCCAUUCUUGGAGGUAUUUGUGUAGUGGCUUCAAUCCUAGUCUUUAGACCUUGACUAUAGUAACCUAAACUGUGAAGGGACCUAAAUACAAAGGUUCUUCCAUAAUGUAUAUGGAGAAGACUUUUGGGAUAUUGUUCCGAGAUUUCCUAUAUGCUACAUUUGGGUGUUGCAACUAUGUAAAUUCAUGUGCGUUUUAUUAUACUAGAUUGUUUGCUUACUUUUUAUCAUCAAAUUUAAUUUGCUAUGGUAUCGAUGUUUUACACUAGGUUAUUUGCCAAAGGAAUGGUAUAACCUGUUUUCAUAUUCCAAUUAACAAAUUGUCAAAAAUAAUUUGUCAAUUUUUUUUUGCUUCAGCAAGUUCAUCAAACUUAUCUUAUAAGUAAUAUGUUCAAUCAUUAUAUUGAAAAUCUUAUAUUAAAAUAAUAUCUUAACAAGUUUUCUGAAGACACUCAUGAAUAAAAUAUAUCCUUUAUUUAUUCAUUAGAAAGAUCUCCUACAAGUCCAUAAACAGCUACCUCAAUAAAUUGAACCAUCAAGAUGAAGCAAAAUGUAAUUGUACAUGUUCCUUUUGCAUUAAGGAUUAAUUUGCUAUAAAUUCUCAGUUUUUUUUUUUUUCCUUGAAUUCUAAGUUUUCAGACAGUGCAAAAAGUGGGAUGGAUGAAGAUUAUUGAAAAGAAAAAUCACUCCAAGUGUAGAUUAUAAAGCUAGAAUCUUUCAGACUUGAAACCUACCCUUGCCUGGCGUUCUCAGGUCUAUUUGUUUCCUAGCAGGCUGCAUUAGGUAAGAUCUCCUUGGUGGGCAAUAAACUAUAGCAGGAUGAAAGUUAUUGGAGAAGAGUUAACCAAGUUGGCUACAAAAACAAGAAUCGCUGAGGAAAAAAAAAUUCUAAUCAGUCAUAAAACUAAUAAAACUCUGUUCCUAGAAUUAAAAAUCAAAAGUUGGGGAAUAUUAGUAGAAUUCCGUGUUCCACUAGUUUUUAUUUGAUUUCAACAAUAUAAAUAUAUUUUCUCUGCUUUGUUAAUUAAUUGACUAUUAUUCAUUCUUUUUUUUUUAAAUCAAAAAGAAUGUUAUUGCAUAAUUAGGAUUAUCCAAAAGGAUAAGUCUCAAAUCAAAUAAGUACGUAAGAAAACAGAGCCCUGUACGUAAGAAAAACAAUAAAGCAGGACCCAACAAGAAAACAGAAGAAAAGGACGAUUAUUCAUACACCUACUCUUAUUAAUAAUCAAUUGAUUAUAAUAAUUACCAAGUUGCCAAUAAUUUUGGCUUUGUAGCUUUGGCAUUUUACCUUUCUCAAUGCGACGACGUUGAGCCAAGUUGCCUAUAAUUUUUCCAUCUGUCCUACACCGACUCUUAUUACUUUGACGUCAUAUAUAGAGUUUACAUUUAAGCAUCGUCUUCUAUCAUCUCCACAUCUGCGAGCUGCACUGCCCCCAAAGACUUUGAUUUCUGCCUUACUCUUCCAUUUCAUUUUCCUUCAUUUUUCCACUUUUCUCUCAGCUCAAAAGAAAGAAAAAAAAAAGCAUCUCUGUUGGUUUAUUUUCGUUGGCUUCUACUUUCCUAAUCUUCUUUUAUCUCAGAAAAAAAAACAAAAAAAUUGUUCUCUUAAAUUACUUGUUUUAUCCCUGCUACUCUUCCUUUCCUUAAUUUUGGUUUCCCCAUCUCCGGAGUUGGUGAAGUAAUUCCAUAAGAAUUAAGAUCCAUCUGAAUUAAGGUAAGCUUCAAUAAAAUAUAUUAUAUUUUCGGUAAUAUAAUUUUUUUAUAUGCUCAAUUUCUCUUAUUAUUUAUUUGGCUUCUUGAUUUAUUCAAUGGAUAGAUAAAAUUGAGAGUUUAUCUUUGAUGCAUCGACAAUAUAUAAUUUUUAUACAAUAUCAAUUCACCACAAUGCAGCAUCUCGUUAAGAAGUAAAAAUAGUAGAAUCAAAUUAAAAGAUAAUUGACAUAAUACCUAAAAAAGCCUUGAAACUAUUUUAAAAAAUUCAACUAAUUUUUUUUUUUUUUUGCCUAUGAUCUAGACUUUAUAUUAUAAUUAAUAGUUGAUUAAUUAUUUUUAAUUAAAAUGUCAAUUGUAAUGCUAAGUGAAAAGAUAUAAUAAAAUAUAAAUAGAUAUUUAAAAUUUUGAAAAAUAUUUUAUAGGUGGAUAUAUUAUCUUUUUACCCUAUCAUGUUAGAUAUAUGAGUGUGAUUAAUUUCAGAGGAAUUGAUAUGACCUUCCAGAAAUUGAACUACACAAUUAUGAAUGUGGCUCCCAAGCUUAUGCCAAUAUUUCUGGUAGACUUACGCAAGUAUCCCAUUUGGUCCAGAAGCCUUUGUAGAGUGCAUUAGGAACAAAGCACUCUUCAGUUCCUCCACUGAAAUACUAGCAUUUAAAUCAACAUUCAUCUAGUCCGUUAUUUUUUACCGUAUUCCAAACAAGGCUGCGUCUAUCUGUAAUUGACCUGAAGAAAAAAACAAGCCAAUGAAAAAGUCAUUAAUAAUCGAACUCAAUUCACUUGCGAAAUCUGUCCAUUCAUCAUUCUCUUUCUUCAAAGCUCAAAUGGUGUUUUUCCUCCUCCUCUCCUUUGCUGUUCCAAGGAAGAACUUGGUGUUCUUGUCACCUUUUUUCAACCAUGUUACCCUAGAUCUCUGUUUCCACAUCAUCUCUUCCACUUUUACCAAUUGAUUGAUCUAAUUUUGAACAAUUUUAAUUUUUAAAGAGUAGCCAGUUCUUUCAUAAAACUGUUGUAGUUCUAUUCUUUUUCACUUCAUUUGCUUCUCAUCUCCUGUAUAGAUUUAGUUUAUUUUAGUUAUUAUUUUUUGCAAUAUUUUUAUCAUAAAUUUUACUUAAUAUGAUUCAUGUGCAUAUUGGACAUUCCAUAGUAUAAAUGUGUUGUGAAAAUUGCCCAAGAAUCAACAAAGAUAAAACUCAGAGAAAUUAAGUAAACAGAAAAAUAUAAGAAUUUAUGUGGUUCGACCUCUUGUCUACGUCCACGGAAUAAAACUGUUCUUCUAUUAUUGAGAAUUUAAAGUACAAUAAAUUCAUCUUUAUGGUUCCCCAAACCAACCCAAGAUUCCUUGCACACUCUUCUUCAAUAACCUCACAAGAACACUCACCCAAACCACUUUCGCUCCACCUAGAGCAAAAGACAGAAUUACAAAAUGUUUCCUCUCUAGAGCUCUCAAAGCACUACUUGCAAUUCUAAAGCCUAAAAAUCUACUUUUAUAGUAUAAAAGUUCAAAGUAGAAUGUGAUUAGGAUUCGAUGUGGAAUAAAAAGUUUAAAACUAUACAACUACUCAAUGUUAUACACAAACAAAAAAUCCUAAACAAAUAAGAUUUAGAAUUCUAGUCAACCUGAAACUCAACAAAUCUUCACAUUUGACUUGAAUUCAAACUUCUUAAACCUCUUCCACUAGUCGCACCUAAUUGCAACUUCCUAACUCCACUUACUUUCCAACACCUUGGACAACUCUCCAAGCAUAAGACUUUUUAAAUCAUUAGCCUUUAUAAUUACCACGACUUCACAUACUGAAUCAAGUAUGGUCCAACACUGGAUUCUACAAAACAGCCAAUGCACCUGUGUAGCCGUCAAGUCAAUGGCACUAAUUAACUUCGGAAAGGGACCUUGACGACCCUUCCAAUUCACUACUGGUAAGAUUUUUCAUCCUUUCACCAUCAUCUACACCAUGGGAAUCUUUCAUCACCUCUUCGGCAAAUGAAAUCUCACUUUGAUAGCUACCAUCCCUAGUGCAUUGUUCCCAUCUUUUCGAGGCCUCACAUUCUAGACGAUACAAGUCAUUAUGCAAAUUCUCCCUCAUCAGGACCAUGUCGCCUUGUGUGACUUUUACCACUCCAUCACAAGCAGAAUAUCCAUACCUUUUGGAGUCUAACAGGCUCAAUGAUAUUAGAUUCUUACGCAUCUUUGGGACAUAGGCCACACCAUCCAAAGAGCGCACAACCCCAUCAAACAUUUUGAUUUUCACCACUCCAAGACCCAUGAUCUUCACUAUUGACUUAUUACCCAAAGUCAAAUUCCCAGCCACCCCUUCUUGAAGUAAAUCAAAAUAAUCUUUUUGAUAACAUAUGUGAGUAGCAAAAGCAGAAUCUAAAUACCAAUCAGAAUUUGCAUCCAUAUUUUCUGAGAUUGUAAGGACAUCACAAUCAUCACCUUCAGCAACGAAAGCACACUCACCUUUAUUCUCAUUACUUUCAUCCCAUUUUGUAGGACAAUCCUUUUUAAUAUGCCUAUACCUUUUGCAUUUAAAGCAUUGAACAUUGUUAGAUCUAGACUUGUCACCCUUAGAUCCCUUACCAGUUGACUUCCUCCUAUUAGCCUCAAUUACCAAUGCCAAGCCAUUUGGAUCUCUAUCCCCUUCUUUACUUUUCUUUCGGGCUUCAUGAGACAUUAACGUUGUUUGUACUUGUUCUAACAUUAUUGUAUCGAUUUCACAUAUAAGAGAUUCCACAAAUACCUUAUAGGAGUCUGAAAGCGAAGCCAGGAGCAAUAGUGUCUUUUCCUCUUCCUCCACCUUGACAUCAACCUUCUUCAACUGAUCAAAGAUUCCAUCGAAUUCAUUCAUAUGCUUCAUGAGGUCUCCAUUCUCUUCCAUCUUUAAGCGAUACAACUUUCGCCUAAGCUGCAACUUGUUAGAAAGACUUUUCGCCAAGUAAAUUUUUUUUAACUUUGUCCAUAAUCUUGAAGUAGAAUCCUCAUCAAUAACAUGGUUAAACACAUUAUCUCCAAUGCAAAGUCGAAUAAUGCUCACACACCUUUGCUCCAACUCUGCCCAUUCAACAUCUUUCAUGUCAUCUGGUUGCCCUUCCUCUUUUCCUAGCAAAAGACGCAUUAAACCUUGCUGCACAAGGAGAUCUUUCAUCCUUCUCUACCACUGCGUGAAACUAGUCUUACCAUCAAACUUCUCAAUUGAAAAAUUCGUAGAACUAGUAACUUUCGACAUCCUUAUUGAAUCUUGAAUUUACAGAACCCGAAGCUCUGAUACCAGUUUGUUGUGGAAAUUACCCAAGAAUCAACAAAGAUAAAACCCAGAAAAAUUAAGUAAAUAGAAAAACACAAGAAUUUACGUGGUUCGGCCUCUUGCCUACGUCCACGGAGUGAAACUGUUCUUCUAUUAUUGAAAAUUUAAAGUACAAUAAAUUCAUCUUUAUGGUUCCUCAAACCAACUCAAGAUCCCUUGCACACUUUUCUUCAAUAACCUCCCAAGAACACUCACCCAAACCACUCUCGCUCCACCUAGAGCAAAAGACAGAAUUAUAAGGUGUUCCCUCUCUAGAGCUCUCAAAGCACUACUUGCAAUUCUAAAGCUUAGAAAUCUAUUUUUAUAGUAUAAAAGUAAAAAAUAGAAUGUAAUUAAGAUUCAAUGUGGAAUAAAAAAUUUAAAACUAUACAACUAUUUAAUAUUGUACACAAACAAAAAAUCUUAAUCAAAUAAGAUUUAGAAUUCUAGUUAAUCUAAAACUCAACAAAAUAUAUAUAUAUGUAUAUCUUCAUUAGAUAUGUAACAUUAAUUGGUAAACAAACUGGCUGAGAACUUUCUCUCUAAAAUCAAAUCAUGCAUGAAUAGAGAGGGUAGAAUCUUAGUAAAAAUACUAGUAUUAAUUUUGAAAUUAACUCAAACUCAAAGUAAUUGUUUAAAAGGGCAACCUGAAUGCGACGUGAUGUGUGCAGUCAUUACAGCUGGAAGAGAGGUAUGGGUUUGAAUCAGGUAAAGAAGCCAAAGAGGGGUGCUCCUACAUUUUUCUACUUUUUGUUUAUGAUCAGAAGAACCUGAGGUAACAUAUAAAUAUGCAUUGAUAAUCCAACUAGAUCUGCGGCUGUUGUUUGGACAACAAGAGAAAAGGGUAGCUCGGGAACUGAGCAUGCCACUGCCAUGGCCCCUCUCUUAUUAACUCUUUCAACCACGUUCAUUCAAAGUCUAUCCCUAAGCUGUCCUGUCACUGGUGACGGACCCUAUAAUCAACUCACCUCCAAUUGAACCAACUGCACAUGAUUUCUUCCUUACAAUGUCUAGAAAUUUCAUAAACAAUAAAAACAAAACGAAGUUAAUUUAAUAUAUUAUCAACAUUUAUCUAUAUAAAAGUUGAUUUUAUUCGAUUUUUUAUUGCCUCACACGUGUAUAUAGAUAACGAUUGCAUGAUGUGAUAUCAGGAUCACUAGCAGAGACCAUUGCUGCUAACUGAAACACACUAAGCAACUUGAAGAAAGUUGAUGCCAUGCCAUGAUUGGUAGCACUACACUUUUACGUGAAGCUGGUUGAGAAAAGAUUGUGUUUUUGCUUACACAAAUCUUCCUGGAGCAAGUACUUAUAGAGUAAUCAGCUGAGAAUUCUAUGUCAAAAUUGAGAAUAUCCUAUAUGAUCAAAUUCAUGGGCAACAAGAACACUGUAUUUUCCAUUGGCCAGCAUUACAUGAAUAUCUUUUAUAUUAACAAUCAAAUAUAAAUUUUUUCUCAAAAAACGAAAAAGAAAAAAAUCAAAUACCAACCGAAAAUUUUAACAAGUCUUCUUAAAACACUCCUAAUAAAAUAUAUCUUUUAUUUAUUUCUUUGAAAAAAAAAUUCUAAUUAUUGAUAUUCACUUUUUUUUUUUGUAUGAAGACUUUUCCAGUAGCUAAGUUUCCAAGUCUGAGAUUAGUAAUGAAUACACACCUUUGCAAUUGCAUUGCAGAUUCUUAUCAAAAAAUUAAUAAUAAUAAUAAAAAUUAUUCUUAAGCAUCCUUUCAUUGUUCUUUUUUGUUUUUUGUUAUUACUUUUUUUUAUACAACUGUUUGUCUUUUACUUCUUAAAAUUUUACUAUUAGUUAUAAAUUAUUAAAUGAAAAAUAAACGAUAAAAAGGUUAAAUCAAUAUUAAUUAAGAAUGAAUAAAUGAUUAAGAUAUAACUAUCAAUAAAUGUUGGUAAAUACUUUUACUUUUUAAUUUUUAGUCAUAAUUUCAAGUGAGUGUAUUAAUUUUUAAAUAAACAGCUGAUUCCAAACAUAAAAAUGACGUUAACGAGCAAAUGUGAAAUGUCAAAAAUAAUCUUAUUCUUUCUACCUCUUUUUCUUUUUUUUUUAAGAUUAGUUGACGGUGCUCUUUAUGCCGAUCGACCACCCUCGCAUCCCCCUUACCCUCAUGCCACCCCCACCCCACCCCUCUUCUAAGGAGCACAGAUCUGACACUCUCCAGGGAAGCUCCCCCCCGCCCCUCCUUUGGUGCUCGUCGAGGGUGGGGGGGCGCGACUCCUCUAGGGAACGUUGGAACAAUGGCGGGGGGAAAGUGGAGCGCAAGGGAAGGGAGAUCCAGUUGGAACCAAAUCUAGUGCUCCGACUACUAGAAAAGGUGGGAGAUUUUUUUUUAAUAGGAAAUACUAUAAUAAAUUUGACUUAAGACAAUACAUUUUUAAAAUAUGUUAUUAAAAAAAUUUUAAUAAUAUUUUUUUAUAUUUUUUAAAAUAUUUUUAUAGAUCUAAUUUUAAUAUAUAAAAUUUUAAAUAUAUUAUUAAUAAAAUAUGAAGAUAGAAAUUACAUACACCAGUAAAGAUUGUACUUUUUAUAUUACUAUUAAAUUUGACAAAAAUGAAGUUAAAAAUUUAAAUAAUUACACUUUUUAAAAUUUUACUACACAAAAAAAUAUAUCGUCCAAAGAAAUGUAAUUAAAAUUCAAAAUUUUUAUAGUUAAAAAAAUUAAAAAUUAUAGUUUAUAUAGUAUGAUAGUUUUUAAAAUUAAUAAAAAGUAAAAUUAUAUUUUUAAUAUUACCACUUUAUCAACUUAAUGGAAAUAUUAAAAGUUUGAUUAAGAGCUGGAUUUAUGCAUUGAGCGAAAGAUAUUCUUUUAAGACAAACUGUCUAUUUCAAAAAUUAAUGAAUUAGUGUGAAUUUAUAAUUAAACGUUAAAAGGUAAAAGUAUUUUAUCCAUAAAUGUUUUAUUUAAACAUGCUCAUUAGGUCAAGUCUACUAAAUCUUUCAUUAUUAUAUAAUUAGGAAAAAUGUGUUAAACAAAGGUAAGUCAGAAUUUAAUUUUAGUGUUAUCUUAGUAAAUUUCAUUUUAGAUAGCCAUUAAACUAUGUUUUACUUCGAGUGAUUUUGGGUUCCAAUAAUUAUGCCUUAUAGUUGCUUAUUCACUCGAAAUUUUUUUUAUGAAAAGAAAACAAUUGUCAAAUAAAAUGAAAUAAUUAUUGAAUUUUUUUAAAUCUCUUAUGCAUAAUCAUAGUACUUAUGGUGUAAUAUUAAUUGGUCAAAUGAUGGUGAGAAUUACAAGCAUCAAAAGGUUAUGAAAGGAAUGAAGGCAAGUUAAAUUUAUCAUAGUAAUGAAAAAAUAAAUAAAUAAAGAGAAGCUCAGGUUUUCCAUUGAUAUAUAAGCAAGGAACUUGGAAAAUAAACUGGCUGAGAACUCUCUCUAAAAUCAAAUCAUUCAUGAACAGAGAGGAUAGAAUCUUAGUAAAAAUAUUAGUAUUAAUUUUGAAAUAAACUCAAACUCAAAGUAAUUGUCGGCAAGGGAAAGCUGAAUGCAACGUGAUGUGUGCAGUCAUUACAGUUGGUAGCGGGGUCUGGGUUCAGACUUCAGACCAAACUUUGCAGUCAUGUCAGUGGUGAGAGAUCCAAUAAUUCAACUCUCCUUCAAUUGAACCAACUUUUUCUUUGUGCACAUCAGCACAUGUAAUCAUAAACUCAACUUUUUCAUUUGAAGCUCAGCAGAACGACGGUGGAUGUGAGGUGGGUUGAGGGUGCCUGCCGCAGGGCACUCCAAAGUGGCGAAGGGACACCAUGGCCAUUGAGGCCAGAGAACUCCAUCAUGCUAGCUUUGGUAACCUAACACUAUGACUUUUUCCAAGUCAGUUUAGGUUUUAUAUAUUUUAAUUAUUCUUUUCCCCUUUGGAUAAUGCCUUGGACUGUUGUAAUUAUGGCCACCAUCAAAUGUGAUUUUGAAUCGGGUAAAGAAGGCAAAGGAGGGAUUGUCCUGCAUUUUUCUACUUUUUAUGAUCAGAAGAGCCUGCUUGCAUUAGAGCUGUCAAUAUGGGCUGACCCAGCUCAGCCCAGCUCAAGAUUUUGUGGAUUAAGAAAAAAUAGAUCAGAUCGGAUCAGUCUAUUUUUAUAUGGAUCAUGAAAAUCUCAAUCCAACCCAUCUUUUGUUAGUCUAUGUGUUGGGUUGGGUCAAUUUAUUUUUUAUUUUUUUUAAAAAAUUAUUUUUAUAAUUUUAUAAUAAAAUUAUUUUAUAAUUUAAUUUAUAAAUUAAAUAUUAAUAAUUAAAUUAUAAAAAUAUUAAAAUAUAAANAUAAAAUAAAUAAUAUUAUUAAUAAUUAAAUUAUUAAUUUUAUAUAAUUAAAUAUAUAAAAUUAUUAAAUUAAUUAAAAUUAUUUAUUUUUUUUAACUCACAAAACUAGCCUGCCUCAGUCCAUCUUAAUUCACUGAUUUGAUAAACUGAUUUAUUUAAAUUCGAUUUAAAUAUAAAUAUAAAUUUUUAAAUUUAAUUUAUUUUAUAUUUAAUAAAAAAUAAAUUGACCCAGUUUAGGAAUAGCUUGCAUUGAUAAUUAAAGUAGAUCGCUGUCGCUUGGACAGCAAGAGAAAAGGGCAGCUCACUGAGUAUGCCACUUGCAUGGGCCCCUCUUAUUAACUCUUUCAACUACAGUCAUUCAAAGUCUAUCCCUAAGCUGUCCUGUCAGUGGGGACAGACCCAAUAAUUCAACUCUCCUUCAAUUGAACCAACUUUUUACCUUGUGCACAUGUAUCCUUCUUUACUUCCAAUGUCUAGAAAUUUCAUAAACAAUAAAAAUAAAACGAAAUUAAUUUAUCAACAUUCAUCUUUAUAGACUUAAGUUUUUGAUUACCAUGUUAAGUUUGCUUGCGCUCCUGUUAUCUGCUUUAGAUUCAUUUUCAACUAAGUUGUAGAUCCAUGGCGGAAGUAAUUCCAUUCGGGGCAGUAAGUAAUAUCGUGUUGAGUUUCCUAGCAAGUCCCAUCCUCUUGUCAUAACACUUCCUGGAAAGCCAAGCAAGGUCCUUGAUAGAACAUCCGAGAGAGAAUCAGUCAAAGUUUAUUAAUUAUCUAUACCAACUCUCGUCCUAUUGUAGCUGGGACUCAAUCAAAGGAAAGAGAAUAAAUUUAAUUGGUUAAAAUAUGAAGUUAAUUUGAUAUAAUUAGUUAGAAUUUUCUUAAUUCUAUUAGACUUAAUUCGAUUUUUGUAUUAAACUGAAUUCUAUCAAGUAAGGGUCAUGGAGCAAAAGAUGUUUGGAUCGUUGUUAUUUGAAUAAAAGAAAGUGACAGUAAAAAUCGAGAUUGAGAAAUAAACCAAUAAUUCAAAAGUGCUCAUGAUUCAGUGUUCCACUGGUGGAAAAAGAGCGAAAAGCAGUGUUUGGGUGCUGACAAUUUUCAAAGUGUGGACCCACUAUCACGUGUUCUCUCCGGAAGAAGAGAAAGAGGUGGAAAAGGGGGGAUUCAUUUCCAAAAGUUUCCUACACACUGCCAUCACGCGACCCCCAUCCUCUUUCCAUGACACUUCCUGGAAACAAAAGCAGAACAUCUGAGACAGAACCAUCAAAGUUUAAUAAUUUUCUAUACCCACUUUUAAUACUUCAUCCUCAUACGGUUCCCAUUCAAGCAUCUUGUUCUAUCAUCUGCACUAUCCCAAGAGUUUGUUUGAUUUCUGCAUGCCUUGCUCUUCUUUUUACUCAACAAGACCUACCCUUCCAUUUUAUUGUCCUUCAUUUUCCCACUUUUCUUUGAACUCCGAGAACAAAAACAUCUUUGUUGUUUAACUCUAACAAAAAAAAAAAACAAAAAAAAAGUUAAUCUCUUAAAUUACUUUAGUUUGAUCCUUGUUACCUACUUUUCCUUUCCUUAAUUUUGAUUUCCCUAUCUCCGGAGUUGGUGAAGUCAUUCCAUCCCAAUUGAGGUAAGCUUCAAUAAAAUAUAUUACAUUCUUCAUAUUUUAUUUUUUUAUAUGUUCAAUUUCUCUUUCACUUCUGAAUUUGACUUUUUAUUAUAAAUUUUUUAUUUAUUAUAAAUUUUCAUUUUUUUUCCAUUUUUACGGACAUAUAUGGAUAUUUUCGAAAAGCAUUUUAUAGAAUGAUGACACUAUGCUUUUAGUUUAAUAUAAAAAAAUAUUUUUAAUUAAUAUACACAUGAUUAGUGACAAGAAUUUUUAUUUCUGCAGUAUUUUCGAUUCCAAGUUGGUCAGUCAGCAAUCUAUUCUCUGGUGAUUCACAUUUUCAUAAAGGUAAAGUGCUUUACAAACAUUUUUUCUCUCUGCAAAACUUUUUACUCUCUAAAAUUAAAACCAAGCAUAUUUUUAUUUUAUGAAAGUUUCAACUGAUCUUUAAUUAAAAUAUAUAACACGUUUUAAUAACUUAAAAUUUUGAAGCUUGAAAUAUUAAUAUUACUUAUUAAUAACAAUAAUUUUUUUAUAUAAAAAAUGGAAAAGGGGCGAAGUCAGUAGUUUCCUAAGACAAACGAUUUGAGCACUUGUCUUCCGCUAAAAUUUUGAAAUUGAAUAAGAAAAAGUAUUUAUAUUUAUGUACUAACCGUAUAUAGUUUUAAAAUAAAUAUUAAAAAAAUUUUAAUAACUAAUUAGAGAAAUAUUGUGGAGGCAUAAUCUAAUAAAAAUAUGAAUUAUUGCAAUGGUAGCCCAUUUUUGGUACUUCAAUUUUUGGCCUUGAUCUUCUGAACAAAACAUAUUCCAGUGGAUAGAUUUCCAAGUCUAAGAUUAACUAUGAACACACCUUCGCAAUUUGCAUUGCACAUUCCUACCAAAAAUAUUAAAAAAUAUUCUUAAGCUUCCUUUUAUAGUUUGAUUUUUUUUUUACAAUUACUUUUUUAUUUCUUAAAAAGUUAAGUGAGAAAUAAAUGACAAAAAAGUGAAAUGACAAAUUAAUUAAAAAUGAGUAAAAGAUUAGGGUAAAAAUAAAUAAAUAAAUGAUAAAAUUGUAUUAAAACUAAAGAGAUCUAUUUCAUUAUUUAGAAUAUUAUAUNCAAAAAAGUGAAAUGAUAAUUAAUUAAAAAAGAGAAAAUGACUAGGGUAAAAAUAAAUGAAUAAAUGGUAAAAUUGUAUUAAAACUAAAGAGAUCUAUUUCAUUAUUUAGAAUAUUAUAUAUAUACAUUUAAUUUAUCAAAACUUAUUUUGAUUUAUUCAAACAUGCUUAUCAGGUGAAGUCCGUUAAGUCUUUCAUUACCGUGUUAGUUUGCUUGCAUUUCCCUGUCAUCUGCUUUAGAUUCAUUUCAACCAAGUUGUAGAUCCAUGGCGGAAUCAAUUUUAUUCGGGGCACUCAGUAACAUCUUUUCCAAGUUGAUGUGGCUUGCUGGGCAAAAGAUUGGCUUGAUUUUCUGGCAGAAAGGCGAACUGGAUAAGCUUCAAAAGACUCUCGACAUCAUAAAAGCCGUCAUUCUUGAUGCUGAGGAGAAGCAGGAGAGCAACCUUGUUGUGAAAAACUGGAUAAGUAGACUGGAAGAUAUUGUCUCUGAUGCAGAGGACUUACUGGACGAAUUCGACUAUGAGAUCCUGCGCCAGAAGGUGCGUCCACGGGGACAGGUACGCAAGAUCUUUCGAUCCUUCAGGAUGGGUCCUAGAGUUAAGGAGAUUAGAGAGAGGCUGGACGUGGUUGCAAGAGAGAUUAAAACGUUUGAUUUUAAUGUGAGAGUUGUAGAACUGGAUAAGAAACGUAAGAAUACUGACAGAGAGACUGCCUCAAAGGUGAGACCGGAAUUAGUAAUAGGGAGAGAGGAAGAUAAAGAGCACAUUAUAGAAUUGUUGAAGGAGCAAAAUCAUGGUGACAGCAACUUCAAUAUUAUUGCCAUUGUUGGGUUUGGAGGUUUAGGAAAGACCUCGCUUGCCCGGUUGGUGUAUAACGAUGCGCAAGUAGCAGAUUCCUUCAAAGGGAUAUGGGUGUGUGUUUCUGAAGAAUUUAAUGUUCUUAUAAUUUUCAAAAAAAUUUUGAAGUGUCUAGGAGAACACAAAGUGGAUGACUGGAAUCUAAAUGAAGUCCAAAAAGAAAUUGAACAAAAGUUAAAAGGGAAGAGAUAUUUACUUGUGUUGGAUGAUGUGUGGAACGAAGAUAUUUUAAAGUGGAAUGAUUUUUCACAGUAUAUGGUAUUUGGUGCUCCCGGAAGCAAAAUUAUUGUGACAACUCGUAGCACCAAAGUUGCAGCUACUAUGGGGGUACACAGUCCUUUCCUUUUAAAAGGUCUCAAUGAGGAACAAUCUCAGGAUUUGUUUGAGAAAGUGGCAUUUGAAGGACGUCAAAUCGAUCCAAAGCUUGGACAAAUUGGAAAAGUUGUUGCACAAAAAUGCAAAGGAGUUCCUCUUUCUAUUAAAUGUUUAGGAGGUUUGAUGAGACAAAAGCCUGAUGAAAAAUACUGGUUGUUUGUCCAAGAAAAUGAAAUUUGGAAUAAUGAUGAUGUUUUGUCGGUGUUAAGAUUGAGUUACAUUCAGCUACCAAGUAAUUUAAAACAAUGUUUUGCUUUUUGUUCGCUUUUCUCAAAAGACUCUAGGAUAUAUAAAGAUGAGUUGAUUCAUUUUUGGCGAGCACAAGGUUACAUUCAAUUAGGGAAUAAAAAUGAGAAUGUACAAGAUAUUGGUGAUGAAUACUUUAAUGAUUUGCUGUCAAGAUCAUUUUUUCAAGAGGAGAGGAAAGAUGCAAAUGGGAAUAUCAUCUAUUGUAAAAUGCAUGAUCUUAUUCAUGAUCUUGCAUUAUUCGUUGCUGGUCGUUAUUUUCAUUGGAUGAAAAAUAAAAGAGAAAAAAUUUCAAAAGGAGUCCGUCAUGUGUCAUUAGAAAAAUAUUUUACAGUUGUUUUCACUCGAUCGAAAGCAAAAGUGAUAAGGACUUUAUUUCUCCGAGCAGACAUUUUCAUGGACUUAUUUAAUCGAAAGGUAACUUUUUCGAUCUUCAAUUGUUUACGCAUGUUGAAUUUGAAUUUGAUGAACAUUAAUAUUUUACCAGAUUCAAUUGGUGAACUGAAGCAUUUGAGAUACCUUGAUCUUUCUAGGAAUACUAGGAUGAAAGUGCUCCCAGAUGCAAUAGUCAAAUUGCACCAUUUGCAAACUCUAUUACUCAAUGGCUGCAGCAGUCUUAAAAAGUUACCAAGGGAUAUACGCCAAUUGAUUAGUUUGGAAUAUCUCAAAAUUGAUUAUUGCAAAGACCUAUCCGGCUUGCCAAAAGGGUUAGGGGAAUUGACUUCCUUACAAAGAUUGGACAGAUUUGUUGUGAACUGUGUUGAAGACAAUUUAUCAACUGCAGCCACGUUGAAUGAGUUGAGUAACCUAGACCUUGGAAACUGCUUGAAAAUUGAUCAUUUACACAAUGUGAGGAAUGUGGAAUUAGAAUGUAAGGAGGCAAAUUUAAAGAAAAAGAAACGGCUUCAGUCUCUGCAAUUAUCUUGGGAAUCUUCCUCUCCAACAACAGUGGCUAGUGAAAAGGAUGAGUCAUUGUUAAAUAUUCUUGAGCCACACCCGAAUUUGAAAGGGCUGAAGGUAUCCGGUUAUGGAGGAGCAAGGUUUUCGAGUUGGCUAUCUUCAUUGACUAAUUUAGUCGAACUUGAUAUAAACAAAUUUUGGAAUUGUCGAGACCUGCCACCCUUGGAUCAUUUUUCAUCUCUCAAGUCUCUCAGUCUUUAUCGUUCCAAUGCUUUAAAACACCUGCCACCCUUGGAUCAUCUUUCAUCUCUCGAGUCUCUUUCUCUUGGGGAGUUAGAUGCUUUAGAAUAUGUGGCAGAUUCUUUUUCCUUGCCUUGCUCCACUUCAAGAGAACCAUUCUUCCCGUCCCUUAAGAAACUUUUGAUCCGUGACUGUCCCAAUCUCAAAGGAUGGUGGAAGACAACGAAUGAGAACCAAGGAUCAAUCGCUGAGCAGCCUUGCUUUCCUUGCCUUUUCCAGUUAGAAGUCAAAAAUUCCCCAAACUUAACCUCCAUGCCGCUGUUUCCAUCUCUCGAGCAUGAUUUGACUUUGUAUGAUACUAGUAUAAGGCCUUUGGAACAAACAUUGAAGAUGAAGAUGACCGAGGCUAGCAUGACAUCAGAAGAAGCAUCAUCUUCAUCAGGGAGCGCUUGUCAUUCAUAUUCUUCAACUACCUUUCCUCUCUCCAAUUUGAAGCGUCUGAGUCUUCAAGGCAUUAAGGAUUUAGAAGUUUUGCUAGAAGAGUUUCUACAAAAUCUCAGUUCUCUUGCGUGCUUAUGGUUGAGCAACUGCCCUAUAUUAGAAUCGUUAUUGCCGCAAAAGAUGAGCUGCCUCACCUCUUUACAAUAUUUGUGUGUUACAAAUUGCCCUAAUCUGAGGGCUUUGCCUGACUGGAUACUCAAUCUCACUUCCCUUAAAACAGUUGAAAUUCGGGGGUGCCAUGAAUUACAGUACAUGCCAGAAGGGACGCCUCAGCUUACAUCUUUAGAAAAAUUAUCUGUUUGGAACUGUCAUAAUUUGAGGGCUUUGCCAGACUGGAUACUCAAUCUCACUUCCCUUAAAACACUUGAAAUUUGGGAGUGCGGGUCAAUUUUGCAUCAAGCCUUAAAAACCCACAUUAAAAGUGGGCCGAUUCGAAUUUGCAGCNGUAGGCAAUUGCCCUAAUUUGAGGGCUUUACCUGACUGGAUACUCAAUCUCACUUCCCUUAAAACACUUGAAAUUAACGGGUGCCUUGAAUUACAGUACAUGCCAGAAGGGACGCAUUGGCUUGCAUCUUUAGAAGAAUUAAUUGUUUACUGCCAUAAUUUGAGGGCUUUGCCAGACUGGAUACUCAAUCUCACUUCCCUCAAAGACCUUUAUAUAUGCGAGUGCCUUCAAUCACCGUACUUGCAAGGAGGGAUGCAAAGCCUCACCUCUUUAGAACGAUUGAUGGUUCAUUAUUGCCCUUAUCUGAGUUCUUCCACACAUUCUCUCAAAGCACUUCUAAUUCGGGGGUGCCCUGAUUUAUACUCCUGGAGAUGGAGGUAUUUGUUUUCCACUAUAGAAGAAUUGAAUGUUCAAAAUUGCCCUAAUAUGGAGGAUUUGCUGAAUCGCAUUGCUAAGAUGAUCAUUUCCCUCAAAACACUUAAGAUUUGUAAGUGCCCUGAAUUACAAGACUUGCCACAAAGGAUGGAUGGCCUUACCUCUUUACAAGUAUUGUCAAUCAGUGAAUGUCCCCGGUUGUCGGAAAGAUGUGAAAAGGAUACCGGAGUCCUGUGGCCUCGCAUUGCUCGCAUCCCAUCUAUUAUAAUCGAUGGGCGACAGAUUCAAUGAUGAUCAUACCAUAUAGGUAAUCACAUUUUUCUUCACCUCUAUUUAUAUUUUCUCCCUUUACUUGAUAAUUCUUUUUUUUUUCUCCAUGGAUUUGGAUGACUCGUAAUUUUUUGCAUGCAUGUAAUCCAAGUCGACCAUGAAAAAGUGGAUUUAAUCCAUUCUCUGCUACUUCUUUCUAAGUGGACUAACAAUAUUGAUUUCUUUUUUCUUUUCUUACUUUCAAUUUUUUUUGUUAAGUUAAAUAUUACUAAUAUGAAAUGUGACCCAAACUUGAUGUCAAAACUCUGCCAGUAUGUCACAGCAAUUAGGAACUUUUUCCUUGUUUCAAUCUCUCAUUCUUCAAUUAUAAUCCUAAAUUUGAAGCAUUCAGGAUCUUACUAGCUCUUGAUGGAACCCUUGUGCAUAUAGCAUAUUUAUAGUCAAAGCAUUAAAUCUUAUACUCUUAUAUAGACAAAUUUAAAAAAAUUACAGCAGUAUGAAUGUACUCAGUUAGCAAAUUAUUCUGAUUUUUCACUUUGUUAUAUCUAAAUGUCUCUUUUCACCUUUUUCAAUGAUGUUAAUCUGUGUUUGGAGGAUAUUUUUUAGGUUGACCAAAAAUUUGGGUUUUCUGUAAAAGGUUGUCAUAAGCUUUUUGUGCAGUGUUGAUGUAAUUGUUCAGUUAUCUUAUCAGCAGAGUUAGAAUGCCGACAAGAGUCCUUAACUGAUUAGAUCAUAGACUUUUGAUCUGAUAAUAUCAACAAAAUCAAAACUUUUCCAAAAAAAAAAAAGCAUAAGCAUAAAAUGGGCUUAUGGACAGAUUAUUGUCAGUUGUUUCACUUCCCCUAUUUUUAUGCAUUGAUCAAUGCAAAAUCAUCUCUUAUACAAUGAGGCAACCUUGGAUGUUUGUGUCAUAUCUUUACUGAAGCAAAACCAAAAUUUAAUGUGAACACUGGUGAAAUAAGCUGAGAUUUUAUAGGCACUUGCUUUUGUAAGGAAUAUGUUAACAUUAUUUCUUUCUUUUUUUCUACGUGUUUAUAAUGGGAUGAUGACAUUUUUUCAUUGUUUGAAGCAGGAAGAUUGCAUCUUGCUAAUUUCCUUCCAUAGCAGACUGUUGUUGAAUCGAAACUAAGAGAAAUUUCUAUUGGUAAAAUUUACCACUUAUUUGGUUUGUUUUACCAAUUUCAUUUACUUUCUAUAAGGAAUCCAUUAACACCCAACUUCUUACUUCUUUCUGCAUGUCUUUAUUGGGAUUAUGGACUUUUUUUGAUAGAUUGAGAGAGUAAGAAUUGAUUUCAGGUUGCCAAUGCCAUUGUGAAAAAGAGUACUACAAUACAUGGAUUGGAAGCUUUACUCUCAACAGCGUCAUCACUAUCUAUAUUACAGUUUGAUGGCAAUACUAUGUGAGAGUUAAAUUUUACUUUUGAGUAUUUGAAUUCAAUAAAGGCUAGCUCAUGAAAAUAAUUUAACAGCUUGACCUCUGGUGUCUUUUUAGAUGACAACAAUUGCAUAGCAUGCAGCUCCUUCACCUUUUCUUCCCAAAAAGUGAGACGUGAUCUAACGAUCUUGAAUUUAAGGUAAAUUAGCUUAUCACUUAUUGCUCUAUAGAAUUUACUGUGCAUAGAAUGUUGAAUAUUUUUUCACUACUAUAUCGUUAUAAGAUUUUCAUUUUCCAUAGAAAAAUAAGAGGUGUCAUGACUUGCUCACCAACUCCCUUUCGAGGCAUUCUUGAAAUGUAGGUAUAUUCUCAAAGCAUAUCUUUUGCAAAAGUGAUGACUAUAUAUUAUAGUUUCUUUAGUUUUUGUUCUUGAUUUUAUGCAUAUCUUGUUCCUCAACGCUUGGUUAUAACAAUGGAUUUUUUAGACUAGUUAUCUAUGAAUGGAGGCAAACAACACUUGCCAAGUGGUGGCUUGAGUGACUGGGAGAAUAGUCUGGAGCUGAGCUGGUUGGAAAACCCCUUUGCUUCUUUUAAAAUCAAUGUCAAUAAUUCCAUAUUGGCCAUUCUUGGAGGUCUUUAAAUUGUGGCUUCAAUUCUAGUCUGUGGGCCUCUACUUAAUUAACCCAAACUAUUAAGGGGACCUAAAUACAAAUGUUCUUUCCAAUGUAUAUGGAGAAGACUUUUGGGAUACUGUUCUGGGAUUUACUAUUUGCUACACUUGGGUGCUGCAAAGUGUCAAAGAAUUGUCAAUCAAAGAAUGUCCCCAGUUAUCAGAAAGAUGUUAAAAGGAGACAGAAAUCCUGUGGCCUCACAUUGCUCUCAUCUUGACUAUUUAUAUUGAUGGCCAACAGUUCAAUGAUGAUCAUACAAUAUAGGUAACCGUAUUUUUCUUCACCUCUGUUUAUAUUUUCUCCCUUUAUCUGAUAAUUCCUUCUUCUUUUUUUUUAUUUUUCUUCUGGGAUUUGAAUGAUUCAUACUUUGUUCUUUACAUGUAAUCCAAGUUGGUACACUGAUUCGCCUAUAAUUUGUACAGAUAGCAUACUUGUUGUGAAAGCAUUAAAUUUUAUACUCUUGUACAGAUAAACGUACUUAAGUUACCUAAUUAUUCUGAUUUUUCAUUUUGUUAUAUCAAUUCCUAACUUCUUCUGUUUAACAUAAGUAUAAAAUGGAGUUAUGGACAGAUUAUUGUUAGUUGUUUCACUUCCCCUAUUUUUAUGCAUCGAUUAAUGCAAAAUAUCUCUUAUACAAUGAGGCAACAUUGGAUGUUUGCGUCGUAUCUUUUCAGAAGCAAAACCAAAAUUAAAUGGAAAAGGAUCGCAAGACAGAUUGCUUCUAUCACAGAGAUUCUAAGUAAUUGAAACACUGGUGAAAUAAGCUGAGAUGUGAGAGUGAGUAUCCCUAAAAUUUACAGCUACAAGUUUGUUAGAGGGCUUAUCUCCAGUCAAGACUCCUAAGCUGAAAGCUAGUAAUAAGAGAAACUAACGUGAAUGUCUGCUUGUACAUUUCCUGCUGUAUUUGUUGUGAUGAGGAGAUAUUGCUAUAGGUAAUGUUUCUGCCUCUUCUACUUGAUGUAGGCACUUGCUUUUGUAAAGAAUAUAUUAACAUCAGUUCUUUCUUUUUGUUUGUGUUUAUAAUGGGAUGAUGACAUUAUUUCAUUAUUUGAAGCAGGAUGAUUUCAUCUUGCUAAUUUCCUUCCAGAGCAGACAGUUUUUGAAUUCAAACCAAGAGAAAUAUCUAUUGGUAAAAUUUACCACUUAUUCAGUUUGUCUUACUAAUUUCAUUUGCUUUCUAUAAGGAAUCCAUUGACACCUAACUUCAUACUUCUUUUUGGAUGUCUUUAUUGGGAUUAUGGACUUUUCCUGAUAGUUUGAGAAAGAACAUACAGAUUUCAACUUGCCAAUGCCAUUGUGAAGUAUAGUUAAAUUUUACUCUCAACAGCAUCAUCACUAUCUAUGUGAGAGUUAAAUUUUGCUUUGAGUAUUUAAAUUCAAUAAAGGCUAACAGAUGAAAAUAAUUGAACAGCUUGACCUCUGGUUUCUUUUUUAGGUAACAAAGGCUACACAACAUGCAACUCUUUCACCUUCUCUUAUCAAGAAGUGAGCCUUGAUCUAACGAUCUUGAAUUCAAGGUUAAUUGGCUUUUCAUUUACUGCUAUAUUUUAUAUGAGGAAUGUGCCGUGUAUAGAGCCCUCAAUAUUUUUGCAUUGCUCUAGCAUUUAAGAUUUUCGUUUUCCAUAUUAAAAGAAGAGAUGCCAAUGACUUGCCCGGCAACUCCCUUCCAGCCAUUUUUGAAAUGCAAGUAUUCUCAAAGCAUUAUCUAUUGCAUACAUGAUUCUAUAUGUUGAAGUUUCUUUAGUUUUUGUUCUUAUUUUUUGGCAUAUCUUUAUCCUCAAUGCUUCUUUAUAACAAUGGUUUUUUUGACUAGUUAGUUGUGAAUGGAGUCAACCAACGCUUGCUAAGUAGUGGCUUGAGUGGUUGGGAGAAGUGCCUGGAGAGCUAAGCUGGUUGGAAAAACCCUUUGCUUCUUUCAAAUUCAAUGUGAAUGGUUCCAUCUUGGCCAUUCUUGGAGGUGUUUGAGCGGUGGCUUCAAUUCUAUUCUUUAGGCAUUUACUUAUUUAACCCAAACUGUUAAAGAGGACUUAAAUACAAAGGUUCUUUCAUAAUGUACAUAUGGAGAAGACUUUUUGGGCGUCUGAGUCUGAAGAACAUUAAGGAUUUAGAAGUUUUGCCAGAAGAGUUCCUACUGCUGUACUGCCUUAAAUUGGAAUUGCUACUGCCUUAAAAGCAUUGUCCGUAAGCAAUUGUCCUAAUCUGAGGGCUUUGCCAGACUGGAUACCUAAUAUCACUUCCCUUAAAACACUUGAAAUUUGGAAGUGCCUUAAAUUACAAUACAUGCCAGAAGGUACGCCUCGGCUUACAUCUUUAGAAGAAUUAUGUGUUUACUGCCAUAAUUUGAGGCUUUGCCAGACUGGAUACUCAAUCUCACUUCCCUCAAAGACCUUUAUGUAUGUGAGUGCCUUCAUUCACCGUACUUGCAAGAAAGGAUGCAAAGCCUUACCUCUUUAGAAUGAUUGAUGGUUGAAUAUUGCCCUAAUCUGAGUUCAUCCACACAUUCUCUCAAAGCACUUCUAAUUCGGGGGUGCUCUGAUUUAAGCUAGAGCAAAGUCUCUUUAUUGUUUAGUGUUGCUUCUAAACUAGAGCAACUAUUUCGGGGAUGAAGAGAAAUAAUAGUGCUCUGUACUGUCACUGAUUUAGGAGCAAACACGUAAGGUCAAUUUUGCAUUAGUUAGAAUUUCAAUUACUCAAAAGAAACAAGUGAAGCUCUGUGAAAUUAAAUGAUGUUUGGUCCCUUGUCUUGCACUUACGUCCAUGCAAGUCCAAUCCUCUUACCGUAACACUUCCCGGAAAGCCAACCAGGGUCCUUAACAGAGCAUCUGACACAGACUUCUUCCUUGAGAAUUCAGUCUCUAGUAAUGGCGGUAAGUGCCUUACUGUCCAACAACUAAAAAGUAAAAGUAGUGGACAUUUACGAAAAUUUGUCCAUGAUGAUUUAGCCAGGCAACAAUGAGGUAGCUCAUUACUCAUUACUAUAAGAAAAUUUACCAAGUAAUGCUUAAUUGCAAAAGAAUCAUAAAUAGGGAUCUAAUUGUUUGCUCUUAAUGAAAUAAUAAUUGUAAUAUUUACUUACAAUGAGAAUCAAGUGCUUUCCAAAUAAAUCAACCAAAUAGGUAAGAAAUAAAUACCUAAAAAUAAUUGAAAAAUGAUAAAAAUAAAGAGAUCAAUAAUUCAAAAGUGCAUCAAUGAUUUCACGUCCCAUUUGGAUAGGAGCUCAAAGAAAAAUAAUUAAAAGUGUGAACUUAAUUUCAUUUUGAAUAAUGGUAAAUUUUGUUUAGGGUUCUUUUAAAAAAAAAUUGUUUAGGGAAAAAUAAUGCUUCAUUUAAGUAAUUCAAUUUCUUGAAAAUCUUAUGGAGAAGACAUUAUAUUAUGUUUAAGGUCACAAACAUAAAACCAAUUUUACAGAAUUAAAAUUAUCUUUAAUGGAGUACCUCCCGUCCUUUAUCUUUUUCUUUGAGAGAGAAUUUAGUUAAUAAUACUUCUUCGAUGACAUUGCAAUCUCCAUUAAUGGAGGUAAUAAUGUUGUGUUCAAUUCAAUCAUGAAUAAAAAAUUAUGCUUAAUGAGGCUACAAAUGACCAAAGGUUUCCCCAUAACAAGGAAAAAACAAUUGACUGCACUUUUUUCAACAUUUUUUAGCUUAGUUUUUCUCAAUGCUGGUCAUUUUUUUAAUUGAAAUUAUAAAAACCAGGACAACAAGAACAAAAAAGAGACCAAGGAAAACCAAGACGCUAGCCAAGUAUGAUUACUACAUUUGGUUUUCUGCAACUUAUCUUUGCCUACAAAUCAUCAUGGAGGCAGAACCAAAUAAAGAUAUGAAUUAUUGGAAUGAUAGCGGGCUAGAUAGUUUUACUUGAAGAAUAAGAUGGUGCCUCAAUUCUUGGCCUUAGCUCCAAGACCGGCCUUGAUCUUCUGAACGGUAGUGACAUCAGUUUUAUAGCCUUUGGCUAGGACAUCUUCACCAAUGCCAGUGGCAAAAACAGUGGAUGGAAUAGAAACAGUUCCAGCAUCUGCACUGCCAAAGCAAGAAACGGCCAUGGCAGGUUUAUCAUAGCUGGGAUUGUAUUAGUAAUGAACCAGUCCCUUCGGAUACAAAACUAGGAUUGUAUUGGUAUAAACUGAGAAGUCUCUUUAUAGUUAGUGAUGCUCUGCCAAAACUAGAAAUAAUCCCAGUUGAAGGUGCUUCUAAACUGCAGCAACUAUUUGGGGUUACGAGAAAUAGCAGUGCUCUGCACUAUCACUGAUGUUUGGAUAAGAAUAAAACAAAUUAAAAAAAGAAUAGUCAGAGAUUUGAAGCAGAAUUUCAACAAUUGUGGCUAGUUGAAAAUUCCCAAUACAUUUACAUCAUGGCAAGUCCCAUCCUCUUGCCACAGCACUUCCUGGAAACCCAACCAGGGUCCUUAACAGAGGAUCUAAAUCUGACAGAGAUUAUCACAAUUACUGGGCCAUCUACUGGACUGAGAAAAGGUUACUUAAUUAGUGGCACUCCCUAAAUCUUCAUAACAAUAAGUUGGAGGUGUUAUAUUCUAUUCAUUCCCAUAAAUAACGCCAUUUCCACUCCAAGAAUCAACACUCAUCACUACACCAUAUAUAUGAAUUAGAAAAUUUUUUGUUCACUAAAAUUUGUCCAUGAUGAUUUAGCCGGUACCAUGUUUACAAAAAGCUUCUAAAUGUAACUCCUUUCUUGUUACUAGAAGACAAUCUAUAAAUAAAAUUUAUAAAUAGAAUUUUUUUUAAAUAGUUAAUUAACCACGUAAUGCUUAAUUACAAAAGAAUUUAUAAAUAGGAAUCUAAGUGUUUACUCUUAAGGAUAUUUACAAAAUAAUAAUAGUAAUUUUUAUUUACAAGAAAAAUCAAGUGUUUUUCAUGUAAACCAACCAAGUAGGUUAGAAAUAAAUACCCAAAAAUAAUUGAAAAGUGAUAAAAAUAAAGAGAUUAAUAAUUCAGAAUUGCAUCAAUGAUUUCAUAUCUCAUUUAAAUAGGAGCACAAAGAAAAAAAUUUAGAAGUGUGAACUUAAUUCCUUUUGUAUAGUGGUAAAUUUUUUUUAGGAAAAAUUUAUACUUCAUUAAAAUAAUUCAAUUUCCUGAAAAUCUUAUGGAGAAGACAUUAUUAUGUUUAAGGUCACAAACAUGAAGUCAAUUUUACAAGAGUUUGAAUUUUCUUUAAUAGAUCAAUAACUCCCUUCUUUUUUUUUCUUUGAGAGUCAAUGACAUAUUGCACUCUCCAUUAAUGGAGACAGAAAUAUUUUGUUCAAUUCAAUCAUGAAUAAAAAAACUCCGAGAAAGCUCCAAGAAUCUCUAUUUUACUUUAGUAAAGUCAGUUACCACAUUAGACAUUAUUCUUUUAAGACAAAAGACAAGUCCUAAUUCCAAUUCUUUGUUAACUUUGAAGUAGAGAUAGUAAGUUAAGUGACUAAUAACCAAAGAUUUCUCACAAAACUUUCCUAAACACUUUUUAGCUUAGUUUUCCUCAAUGCUGGUCACCUUUUCAAAUUGAAAUUUCUCGUAGAGAUGAUUGAUGUCAUUAUCUAUCUCCCUUUAAUAAUCUAAUGAUCAACACCUAUAGAAAAAAAAAAAAAGAAAAGCAAAAGUGAGACCAAUAAUUCUAUAAAGCAAAAGAUAUUUGGGUCUAUUGUUAUUUAAAUAAAAAAAACAAUUAAAGAAAGACUUGGAAGAAUACAAAAUCCUUGCUGCAAUUUUUUUUGAAUAAUAAAAUAAAAAUAGUUCAAAAGUGAAUCAAUAAUUCCAUGUUGCACUAGCAAAAGUUGUGGGGGUUGGGAUUACCUUUUGAAUAAUGGUAAAUUUUACAUUAUUAUGUUUAGGAUCACAAAUAUGAAGUCAAUUUUACAUUAAUUAGUUAAAAUGUCCUUAACAGAACAUAUCCAUCAUUAUUUUUUUAGAAAGAGAAUUAGUCAAAAUUACUUUUUCAAUAACAAUACACUCUCCAUUAAUAGUAGCAUUAAUAUUUUGUUCAAUUUAACCAUGAAUAAAAAUAUCUAGAAAAAUUUCGAGAAUCUCCCUUUUAAUUUGAUAAAUUCAGUUUCAGGAUUAAACUUAAUUCUUUCGAGUAAGAGUCGUAAAGCAAAAGAUGUUUGGUUUCAUUGUUAUUUGAAUAAAAGAAAAAAUGAUAGUAAAAAAAGAGACUAAAAAAUAAACCAAUAAUUCAAAAGUAAUCAUGAUUUUCAAAGUGUGAACCCACUAUCACAUGUUCUUUGGGGAAGAAGAGAACGGGGAAUAUUCAUUUUCAGAAGUUUCCUAUACACUAACAUCCUCGCAAGUCCCAUCCUCUUUCCAUAACACUUCCUGGAAACACAAGCAGGGUCCUUAACAGAACAUCUGAGACAGAAUCUUCAAAGUUUAUUAAUUUUCUAUACCUACGUAGUCUUUAUUACUUCAUCCUCAUACAGUUCCCAUUCAAGCAUCUUCUUCUAUCAUCUGCACUAUCCCAAGAGUUUGUUUGAUUUCUGCAUGCCUUGCUCUUCUUUUUACUCAAAAAGACCUACUCUUCCAUUUUAUUUUCCAUCAUUUUCCCACUUUUCUUUUAAUUCAUCUCCGUUAUUUAACUCUGAAAAAAAAAAAAAACAGUUCUCGUAAAUUACUUUUGUUUAAGCCCUUCUACUUUUCCUUUCCUUAAAACAAUUCUCCGGAAUUGGUGAAGUAAUUCUAUCCCAAUUGAGGUAAGCUUCAACAAAAGAUAUUAUAUUCUUCAUAUUUAAUUUUUUUUAUAAGCUCAAUUUCUCAUUCACUUAUGAGUUUGACUUCUUAUUAUAAAUUUUCAUUUUUUUCCAUUUUUACUGACAUUUAUGGAUAUUUUGGGAAAGUAUUAUUUUGAAUGAUAAUACUAUGCUUUUACUUUAAUAUGAAAAUAUAUUGUUUAAGUAAUAUACACAUGACCAGUGACUACAUUGCAGCAUUUUCAAUUUCCAAGUUUAUCGGUCAACAAUCCUUUCUCUUGUGAUCCACAUUUUCAUAAAGAUAAGGUACUUUGCCAACAUGUUGUAAUUGUUUUUGUCUUUCUGUAAAACUUUUUACUCAUCAAAAUUAAAAUUAGGUAGAUUUUUAUUUUAUGAUGGUUUCCAGUGAUCGUUAAUUAAAAUAUAUAACAUGUUUUAAUAAUUGAAGAUUUUGGAGUUUGAGAUAUUAAUAUUACUUGUUAUUAACAGUAAUUUUUUUUAUAAAUAAAAGCAAAAAGAAAAGAUGAGGCCCAAUAUUUCCAUAAGGUAAAAGAUUUGGGUCCUCGUCCUCCAUUAAGGACUUGAAAUUGAAAGAGAAAAAGAGAUGUAUAAUUUUGAAAAUAAAUAUUAAAAAAUAUUAAUAGCUAAUUAGAGAAAUAUCAUGGGGGUAGAAUCAAAUAAAAAUAUGAAUUAUUGCAAUGGUAGCCUCCGUCAAUGUGGCCUUGAUCUUCUGAACACACAAUCCAAAACAUAUUCCAGUAGAUAGAUUUUUAAGUCUAAGAUUAAUUAUGAACACACACGUUUGCAAUUUGCAUUGAAUAUUCCUACCAAAAAUAUUGAAAGAUAUUCUUAAGCUUCUUUUUAUUGUUUUUUUUUGGGUACAAUUAUUUGUUUUUUAUUUCUUAGAAAGUUAAGUGAGAAACAAAUGACAAAAAAGUGAAAUCCUAAUUAAUUAAAAAAGAGUAAACGAGUAAGGUAAAAAAAAUAAUAAAUGAUAAAAUUAUAUCAAACCUAAAAAGAUCCAAUUUAUUAUUUAGAAUAUUAUAUUAAACCUAAAAUAAAUAAAUGACCCAACUUUUUCAUUUGAAGCUCAGCAGAACAAGGGUGGAUGUGAGGUGGGUUGAGGGUGCCUGCUGCAGGGUACUCCAAAGUGGCAAAGGAGACACCAUGGCCAUUGAGGGCAGGGAACUCCAUCAUGCUAGCUUUGUAACCUAAUACUAUAACUUUUUCCAAGUCACUUUAGGUUUUAUAUAUUUUAACGAUUCUUUUUCCCUUUGGAUAGUACCUUGGACUGUUGUAAUUAUCACCAACAUCAAAUGUGAUUUUGAAUCAGGUAAAGAAGGCAAAGGGGGGAUGGUCCUACAUUUUUCUACUUUUUGUUUAUGAUCAGAAGAAACUGCUUGCAUUGAUAAUUCUCCAGCAGAUCGCUGUUGUUUGGACAGCAAGAGAAAAGGGCAGCUCACUGAGCAUGCCACUGUCAUGGGCCCCUCUUAUUUACUCUUUCAACCACAUUCAUUCAAAGUCUAUUCCUAAGCUGUCCUGUCACUCACCCAAUAAUUCAACUCUCCUUCAAUUGAACCAACUUUUUGCUUUGUGCACAUGUAUCCUUCUUUACUUACAACGUCAAGAAAUUUCUUAAACAAUAAAAACAAAACGAUAUUAAUUUAUCUAUAUUAUCAACAUUUAUCUUUAUAAACUUAAGUUUUUGACUACGAUGUUAAGUUUGCUUGCGCUCCUGUUAUCUGCUUUAGAUUCAUUCCAACCAAGUUGAAUAUCCAUGGCGGAAGUAAUUCCAUACGGGGCAGUCAGUAACAUCGUGUUGAGUUUCCUGGCAAGUCCCAUCCUCUUGCCGUAACACUUCCUGGAAAGCCAAGCAGGGUCCUUGAUAGAACAUCCGAGAGGGAAUCAGUCAAAGUUUAUUAAUUAUCUAUACCGACUCUCGUCCUAUUGUAGCUGGGACUCAAUUAAAGGAUAGAGAACAAAAUUAAUUAAUUAAAAUAUGAAGUUAAUUUUAUAUUAAUUAGUUAAAAUUUUCUUUAACAGAAUAUAUUCAUCAUUAUUUUCUAUAUAAAGAGAAUUAAUCAAAAAUACUUUUUUAAUGACAAUACAAACUUCAUUAAUGAUGACAUUAAUAUUAUAUUCAAUUUAACCAUGAAUCAAAAAUAUUCAAAAAAGUUUUGAGAAUCUUCCUUAUAAUUUGAUAAAUUCAAUUUUCCAAUUGUGGACCCAUUAUCACGUGUUCUUUGGGGAAGGAAAAGGAAGAGGUGGAGAAAGGGGAUUCAUUUUCAAAAGUUUCCUGGACACUGCGAUCCACUCAUGUCCCAUCCUCUUUCCAUAACACCUCCUGAAAACACAAGCAGAACAUCUGAGGCCGAAUCAUCAAAGUUUAAUAAUUUUCGAUACCUACUCUUAUUACUUCAUCCUCAUACAGUUCCCAUUCAAGCAUCUUCUUUUAUCAUCUGCACUAUCCCAAGAGUUAGUUUGAUUUCUACAUGCCUUGCUCUUCUUUUUACUCAACAAGUCCUACUCUUCCAUUUUACUUUCCUCCAUUUUCCCACUUUUCUUUUAACUCCGAGAACAAAAGCAUCUCUGUUGUUUAACUCUACAAAAAAAAAAAACAACAACAGUUCUCUUAGAUUAUUUUUGUUUGAUCCUUGUUAGCUACUCUUCCUUUCCUUAAUUUUGGUUUCCCUAUCUCCGGAUUUGGUGAAGUAAUUCCAUCCCAAUUGAGGUAAGCUUCAAUAAAAUAUAUUAUAUUCUUCAUAUUUAAUUUUUUUAUGCUCAAUUUCUCUUUCACUUAUGAAUUUGACUUUUUAUUAUAAUUUUUUAUUUAUUAUAAAUGUUCAUUUUUUUCCAUUUUUACGGACAUAUAUGGAUACUUUGGAAAAGCAUUGUAUAGAAUGAUGACACUAUGCUUUGACUUUAAUAUAAAAAAAUAUUUUUAAUUAAUAUACACAUGAUUAGUGACAAGAAUUUUUAUUUCUGCAGUAUUUUCGAUUUCCAAGUUGGUCAGUCAGCAAUCUAUUCUCUGGUGAUUCACAUUUUCAUAAAGGUAAAGUGCUUUACAAACAUUUUUUCUCUCUGCAAAGCUUUUUACUCUCUAAAAUUAAAACCAAGCAUAUUUUUAUUUUAUGAAAGUUUCAAGUGAUCUUUAAUUAAAAUAUAUAACACGUUUUAAUAACUUAAAAUUUUGAAGCUUGAAAUAUUAAUAUUACUUAUUAAUUAAUAACAAUAAUUUUUUUAUAUAAAAAAUGGAAAAGGGGAAGUCAGUAGUUUCCUAAGACAAACGAUUUGAGCACUUGUCUUCCGCUAAAAUUUUGAAAUUGAAUAAGAAAAGUAUUUAUAUUUAUGUACUAACCGUAUAUAGUUUUUAAAAUAAAUAUUAAAAAAAUAUUAAUAAUUAAUUAGAGAAAUAUCAUAGUGGCAAAAUCAAAUAAAAAUAUAAAUUAUUGCAAUGGUAGCCCAUUUUUGGUACUUCAAUUUUUGGCCUUGAUCUUCUGAACAAAACAUAUUCCAGUGGAUAGAUUUCCAAGUCUAAGAUUAACUAUGAACACACCUUCGCAAUUUGCAUUGCACAUUCCUACCAAAAAUAUUAAAAAAUAUUCUUAAGCUUCCUUUUAUAGUUUGAUUUUUUUUUUUACUUUUUUUUACAACCACUUUUUUAUUUCUUAAAAAGUUACGUGAGAAAUACAUGACAAAAAAGUGAAAUGACAAAUUAAUUAAAAAUGAGUAAAUGAUUAGGGUAAAAAUAAAUAAAUAAAUGAUAAAAUUGUAUUAAAACUAAAGAGAUCUAUUUCAUUAUUUAGAAUAUUAUAUAUAUAUAUAUAUAUAUACAUUUAAUUUAUCAAAACUUAUUAUGAUUUAUUCCAACAUGCUUAUCAGGUGAAGUCCGUUAAGUCUUUCAUUACCGUGUUAGUUUGCUUGCAUUUCCCUGUCAUCUGCUUUAGAUUCAUUUCAACCAAGUUGUAGAUCCAUGGCGGAAUCAAUUUUAUUCGGGGCGCUCGCUAACAUCCUUUCCAAGUUGACGUGGCUUGCUGGGCAAAAGAUUGGCCUGAUUUUCUGGCAGAAAAGCGAACUGGAUAAGCUUAGAAAGACUCUCGACAUCGUAAAAGCCGUCAUUCUUGAUGCUGAGAAGAAGCAGGAGAGCAACCAUGUCGUGGAACAGUGGAUAAUUCGACUGGAAGAUGUCGUCUCUGAUGCAGAGGACUUACUGGACGAAUUCGACUAUGAGAUCCUGCGCCAGAAGGUACGUCCUCGGGGACAGGUACGCAAGAUCUUUCGAUCCUUCAGGAUGGGUCCUAGAGUUAAGGAGAUUAGAGAGAGGCUGGACGUGGUUGCAAGAGAGAUUUCUAAGUUUGAUUUUAGUCGGAGAGUUGUAGAACUGGAUAAGAAACCUAAGAAUGCUGACAGGGAGACUGCCGCAAAGGUGAGACCGGAAUUAGUAAUAGGGAGAGAGAAAGAUAAAGAGCACAUUAUAGAAUUGUUAAAGGAGCAAAAUCAUGGUGACAACAUCUUCAAUAUUAUUGCCAUUGUUGGGUUUGGAGGUUUAGGAAAGACCUCGCUUGCCCGGUUGGUGUAUAACGAUGCACAAGUAGCAAAUUCCUUCAAAGGGAUAUGGGUGUGUGUUUCUGAGGAAUUUAAUGUUCUUAUAAUUUUCAAAAAAAUUUUGAAGUGUCUAGGAGAAGACAAAGUGGAUGACUGGAAUCUAAAUGAGGUGCAAAAAAAAAUUGAACAAAAGUUAGAAGGGAAGAGAUAUUUACUUGUGUUGGAUGAUGUGUGGAACGAAGACAUUUUAAAGUGGAAUGAUUUUUCACAGUAUCUAGUGUUUGGUGCAUCCGGAAGCAAAAUUAUUGUGACAACUCGUAGCACCAAAGUUGCAGCUACUAUGGGGGUACACAGUCCUUACCUUUUAAAAGGUCUCAAUGAGGAACAAUCUCAGGAUUUGUUUGAGAAAGUGGCAUUUGAAGGACGUCAAAUCGAUCCAAAGCUUGGACAAAUUGGAAACGUUGUUGCACAAAAAUGCAAAGGAGUUCCUCUUUCUAUUAAAUGUUUAGGAGGUUUGAUGAGACAAAAGCCUGAUGAAAAAUACUGGUUGUUUAUCCAAGAAAAUGAAAUUUGGAAUAAUGAUGUUGUUUUGUCGGUGUUAAGAUUGAGUUACAAUCAGCUACCAAGUAAUUUAAAACAAUGUUUUGCUUUUUGUUCGCUUUUCUCAAAAGACUCUACGAUAUAUAAAGAUGAGUUGAUUCAUUUUUGGCGAGCACAAGGUUACAUUCAAUUAGGGAAUAAAAAACAGAAUAUACAAGACAUUGGUGAUGAAUACUUUAAUGAUUUGCUGUCAAGAUCAUUUUUUCAAGAGGAGGAGGAAGAUAUGGAAGGGAAUAUUUUUUGCAAAAUGCAUGAUCUUAUUCAUGAUCUUGCAUUAUCAGUAACAGGUCAUCAUUUUCAUUGGAUGAAAGAUGAAAAAGAAGAAAUUCCAAAAGAAGUCCGUCACGUGUCAUUAGAAAAAUAUUUCAAAGAAGUUGAUUUGAUUUUGUCGAAAAUAAAGGGGAUAAGGACUCUGUUUUUUCAAACAAGUUUCUUCAAGGAUUUAUUCAUUCGAAAUGUAAUUUUUUCGAACUUCAAUUGUUUACGUAUGUUGAAUUUAAGUUGGAUGAGCAUUGAUAUUUUAUCAGAUUCAAUUGGUGAAUUGAAGCAUUUGAGAUACCUUGAUCUUUCUGUUAAUCAAAGGAUGAAAGUGCUCCCAGAUGCAAUAGUCAAAUUGCACCAUUUGCAAACUCUAUUACUCAAUGCUUGCAGCAGUCUGGAAAAGUUACCAAGGGAUAUACGCCAAUUGAUUAGUUUGGAAUAUCUCAAUAUUAAUUCUUGCAACCGACUAAAGUACUUGCCAAAAGGGUUAGGGGAAUUGACUUCUUUACAAAGAUUGGACAGAUUUGUUGUGAACUGUGUUGAAGACAAUUUAUCAACUGCAGCCACGUUGAAUGAGUUGAGUAACCUAGACCUUGGAAGCUGCUUAAAAAUUGAACACUUAGAAAAGGUGAGGAAUGUGGAAUUAGAAUGUAAGGAGGCAAAUUUAAAGAAAAAUAAACGACUUCAGUCUUUGCAAUUAUCUUGGGAAUCUUUCUCUCCAACAACAGUGGCUAGUGAAAAGGAUGAGUCAUUGUUAAAUAUUCUUGAGCCACACCCGAAUUUGAAAGGGCUGAAGGUAUCCGGUUAUGGAGGAGCAAGGUUUUCGAGUUGGCUAUCUUCAUUGACUAAUUUAGUCCAACUUGAUAUAAACAAAUUUUGGAAUUGUCGAGACCUGCCACCCUUGGAUCAUUUUUCAUCUCUCAAGUCUCUCAGUCUUUAUCGUUCCAAUGCUUUAAAACACCUGCCAUCCUUGGAUCAUCUUUCAUCUCUCGAGUCUCUUUCUCUUGACCAGUUAGAUGCUUUAGAAUACGUGGCAGAUUCUUUUUCCUUGCCUUGCUCCACUUCAAGAGAACCAUUCUUCCUGUCCCUUAAGAAACUUUCAAUCUAUAAUUGUCCCAAUCUCAAAGGAUGGUGGAAGACAAAGAAUGAGAACCAAGGAUCAAUCGCUGAGCUGCCUUGCUUUCCUUGCCUUUUCCGGUUAAAAGUCCAAAAUUCCGGAAACUUAACCUCCAUGCCGCUGUUUCCAUCUCUCGACCAAGAUUUGACUUUGGAAGGUACUAGUAUAAGGCCUUUUCAACAAACAUUGAAGAUGAAGAUGACCGAGGCUAGCAUGAGAUCAGAAGAAGCAUCAUCAUCAUCAGGGAGCACUUGUCAUUCUUAUUCUUCAACUGCCCUUCCUCUCUCCAAUUUGAAGCAUCUGACUCUUUUUAAGAUUAAGGAUUUAGAAGCUCUGCCAAAAGAGUUCCUACAAAAUCUCGCUUCUCUUACAUUCGUAAGAUUGAAAGAUUGCCCUAAAUUGGAAUCGCUGCCAUCGCAAAAGAUGAGCUGCCUCACCUCUUUACAAGACUUGCUGGUUGAAAAUUGCUCUAAUCUGAGGGCUUUGCCGGAUUGGAUACUCAAUCUCACUUCCCUUGAAACACUUCAAAUUUGGAACUGCCUUGAAUUACAGCACAUGCCAAGAGGGACGCAUCAGCUUACCUCUUUAAAAAAAUUAUCCGUUGAAAAUUGCCCUAAUUUGAGGGCUUUGCCGGAUUGGAUACUCAAACUCACUUCCCUUAAAACACUUCAAAUUUGGAAGUGCCUCGAAUUACAGUACAUGCCAGAAGGGACGCCUCGGCUUACAUCUUUAGAAAAAUUAUAUGUUGACUGCCAUAAUUUGAGGGCUUUUCCAGACUGGAUACUUAAUCUCACUUCCCUCAAAGACCUUUACAUAUGUGAGUGCCUUCAAUCACCGUACUUGCAAGAAGGGAUGCAAAGCCUCACCUCUUUAGAACGAUUGAUGGUUGAUUAUUGCCCUAAUCUCAGUUCUUCCACACAUUCUCUCAAAGCACUUCUAAUUCGGGGGUGCCCUGAUUUAAGCUUCUGGAGAACGAGGCAUUCCCUCUCCACUUUAGAAGAAUUGAAUGUUCAAAAUUGCCCUAAUCUGGAGGAUUUGCUGAAUCGCAUAUCAUUUUUUAUCCCUCCCCUCAAAACACUAAAGAUUUGUAAGUGCCCUCAAUUACAAGACUUGCCAGAAAGGAUAGAUGGCCUUACCUCUUUACAAGUUUUGUCAAUCUGUGAAUGUCCCCGGUUGUCGAAAAGAUGUGAAAAGGAGACCGGAGUCCUAUGGCCUCGCAUUGCUCGCAUCCCAUCUAUUAUAAUUGAUGGGCGACAGAUUCAAUGAUGAUCAUAGCAUAUAGGUAAUCACAUUUUUCUUCACCUCUAUUUAUAUUUUUUCCCUUUACUUAAUAAUUCCUUUUUUUUUCUCUCCUUGGAUUUGGAUGAUUCGUAAUUUGUUCUAUGCAUGUAAUCCAAGUCGACUAUGCAAAAGUGAAUUUAAUCCAUUCUCUGCUACUUCUUUCUAACUGGACUAACAAUAUUGAUUUCUUUUUUCUUUCCUUACUUUGAAUUUUUUUUUUGUUAAGUUAAAUAUUACUAAUGUGAAAUGUGACCAAAACUGGAUGUCAAAAGUCUGCCCGUAUGUCACAGCAAUUGGGAACUUUUUCCUUGUUUCAAUCUCUCAUUCUUCAAUUAUAAUCCUAAAUUUGAAGCAUUUAGGAUCUCACUAGCUCUUGAUGGAACCCUUGUGCAGAUAGCAUAUUUAUAGUCAAAGCAUUAAAUUUUAUACCCUUAUAUAGACAAAUUUAAAAAAAUUAUAGCAGUAUGAAUGUACUCAGUUAGCAAAUUAUUCUGAUUUUUAACUUUGUUAUAUCUAAAUGUCUCUUUGCACCUAUUUCAAUGAUGUUAAUCUGUGUUUGGAGGAUAUUGUUUAAGUUGACCAAAAGUUUAGGUUUUCUGUAAAAGGUUGUCAAAAGCUUUUUGUGCAGUGUUGAUGUAAUUAAUUGUUCAGUUAUCUUAUCAGUAGAGUUACAAUGCCAAAGAGAGUCUUUAACUGAUUAGAUUAUAGACUUUUGAUCUGACAAUAUCAAUAAAAUCAAAACUUUCCAAAGAAAAAAAAAAACAUAAGCAUAAAAUGGGGUUAUGGAUAGAUUAUUGUCAGUUGUUUCACUUCCCCUGUUUUUAUGCAUUGAUCAUUGCAAAAUCAUCUCUUAUGCAAUGAGGCAACAUUGGAUGUUUGUGUCAUAUCUUUACUGAAGCAAAACCAAAAUUUAAUGUGAACAUUCGUAACCAUAUUUUUCUUCGCCUAUGUUAUAUUUUCUCCCUUUAUCUGAUAAUUCCUUCUUUUUUUUUAUUUUUCUUCUUGGAUUUGAAUGAUUCAUACUUUGUUCUAUGCAUGUAAUCCAAGUUGGUACAUUGAUUCGCCUAUAAUUUGUACAGAUAGCAUACUUGUUGUGAAAGCAUUAAAUUUUAUACUCUUUUAACAGAUAAACGUACUUAUGUUACCUAAUUAUUCUGAUUUUUCAUUUUGUUAUAUCAAUUCCUAACUUCUUCGGUUUAACAUAAGUAUAAAAUGGAGUUAUGGACAGAUUAUUGUCAGUUGUUUCACUUCCCCUGUUUUUAUGCAUUGAUUAAUGCAAAUAUCUCUUAUACAAUGAGGCAACAUUGGAUGUUUGUGUCGUAUCUUUUCAGAAGUAAAACCAAAAUUAAAUGGAAAAGGAUCGCAAGACGGAUUGCUUCUAUCACAGAGAUUCUAAGUAAUUGAAACACUGGUGAAAUAAGCUGAGAUGUGAGAGUGACUAUCCCUGAAAAUUUGCAGCUACAAGUUUGUUAGAGGGCCUAUCUCCAGUCAAGACUCCUGAGCUGAAAGCUAGUAAUAAGAGAAACUAAUUUGAAUGUCUGCUUGUACAUUUCCUGCUGUAUUUGUUGCGAUGAGGAGAUAUUGCUAUAGGUAAUGUUUCUGCCUCUUCUUCUUGAUGUAGGCACUUGCUUUUGUAAAGAAUAUAUUAACAUCAGUUCUUUCUUUUUUGUACGUGUUUAGAAUGGGAUGAUUACAUUUUUUCAUUGUUUGAAGCAGGAUGAUUUUAUCUUGCUAAUGUCCUCCCAGAGCAGACUGUUGUUAAUUUGAAACCAAGAGAAAUUUCUAUUGGUAAAAUUUACCACUUAUUUGGUUUGUUUUACCAAUUUCAUUUACUUUCUAUAAGGAAUCCGUUAACACCCAACUUCUUCUUUCUGCAUGUCUUUGCUGGGAUUAUGGACUUUUUCUGAUAGAUUGAGAGAGUGCGUAUUGAUUUCAACUUACAAAUGCCAUUGUGAAGAACAGUGCUGCAAUCCAUGGAUUGGAAGCUUUACUCUUAACAGCGUCAUCACUGUCUAUGUUACAGUUUGAUGGAAAUUCUAUGUGAGUUAAAUUUACGUUGAGUAUUUGAAUUCAAUAAAGGCUAGCUCAUGAAAAUAAUUUAACAGGUUGACCUCUGGUGUACUUUUAGAUUACAACGAUUGCACAGCAUGCGACUCUUUCACCUUUCCUUCCCAAGAAGUGAGCCUUGGUCUAACGAACUUGAAUUUAAGGUAAAUUAGCUUAUCACUUAUUGCUCUAUAUUAUUUACUGUGCGUAGAAUGUUGAAUAUUUUUUCGCUGCUAUAACGUUAUAAGAUUUUCAUUUUCCAUAGAAAAAUAAGAGGUGUCAUGACUUGCUCACCAACUCCCUUUUGAGGCAUUCUUGAAAUGCAGGUAUAUUCAUUAAGCAUAUCUAUUGCAAAAGUGAUGACUAUAUAUUAUAGUUUCUUUAGUUUUUAUUCUUGAUUUUUUGCAUAUCUUUUUCCUCAAUGCUUGCUUAUAACAGUGGAUUUUUAGACUAGUUAUUUGUGAAUGAUGGCAAACAACACUUGCUAAGUAAUGGCUUGAGCGAUUGGGAGAAUAGUCUGGAGCUGAGCUGGUUGUGAUGUAGUCGAAAGGUUUAGGGCAAUUAGAACUCAACAAUUAGGGUUAGAAUAGGGUUGAUUGUGUUGGAACAAUAAAAAAGAUAAUUGGGUUUUCAAAGAAACCUCUUGAAUAAAUAUUCAAAAUAACAAAAGAUGAUAAUCAUAAUCUUCUACUUAAGAUACUUAUUUAUAAUAGUUAAGAUAAAUCUUAAUCAAAUAGUAAUUCUAAUCCUAAAUAAAGACUUAAAGUACUAAAAUUCUAAUAAAGAUAAGAAAAAGAAUCCUCAAUACUUUUGCAUUGCUCUAACAUUUAAGAUUUUCGUUUUCCAUAGAAAAAGAAGAGGUGCCAAUGACUUGUUCGCCAACUCCCUUCCAGUCAUUUUUGAAAUGUAGGUAUUCUCAAAGCAGUAUCUAUUGCAUACAUGAUUCUAUAUGUUAAAGUUUCUUUACUUUCUGUUCUUAUUUUUUUGCAUAUCUUGUCAAUGCUUCUUUAUAAAAAUGGUUUUUCUUGACUAGUUACCUGUGAAUGGAGUCUCGCAACAUUUGCUAAUUAGUGGCUCAAGUGAUUGGGAGAAGUGCCUGGAGAGCUAAGCUGGUUGGAAAACCCGUUUGCUUCUUUCAAAAAUCAAUGUCAAUGGUUCCAUCUUGGCGAUUCUUGGAGGUUUUUGAGCAGUGGCUUCGAUUCUAGUCUUUAGGGCUUUACUUAAUUAACCCAAACUGUUAAAGAGGACCUAAAUACAAAGGUUCUUUCAUAAUGGACAUAUGGAGAAGACUUUUGGGAUACUAUUCUAGGAUUUACAAUUUGCUAAAUUUGGGUGCUGCAGCUACUGUAACCUCCUGCAUCAUAGUAAAAUCUCUUUCACCCUUUGACUGUGGAUGUAGGCUAUUAAGUCGAACCACGUAAUUUGUCGCGUGUUUUUUUAUACUAAAUUGUUCCCUUGCUAAUUAUGAUCAAAUUCAGUUUGGUUUCGCAUUUAUAUUUUUUAUUACAUUAUCUAUCAAAAGUAUUGCUUUUUCGACAAGAUGAUGUUAGGGAGUUACCUUAAAAUCUCGUCAAUCCUCUCGCAAUGACUAUAGGUUAAGAUAAAUCAUGUAAAUUUUUGUAUUUUUGUUAUACGUGAUUAUUUGCUUUGUUAUUUACUAUCAAAUAUGGAUUGCUUCAUUUCUGUAUUUAUAAUUUUCAUUAUAUUAUUACAAAAGAUAUUGAUUUAUCCCAAAGUGUAUCAAGUGAAAAUAUAGCAAACCUUUCAAUUUUAAUUGAUUAAGAAAAGUUAUAAAAUUGAAGUUACUCAUUUCCAAAAUAGAUUAAUUUUUGGAUAAAUGUCACUACAACUUUGCAGAUGGUGUUCAUUAAAAAUACUUUUUACUUAAAAUUUUCCAUUAGUCAUCAAAACACGAAAAGUAGAUAGUACUCAAUCACACGCUUAAUUUAUAUGACUUGACAUAAGGUAUAAAUCCAUAAAUAAAAUUUCAUAUAAACAGUAAUUUAUUAGCACAGCAAUGAAAACAUAUAAAAACAGUAAUUCAUCCUUCAAGCAAGAUCAAAUCCAUCAAUUUUUACAGAUUCUAAAUUUUCAUGGAUAUAAGUUUUUGAUGGAAUAAAGGGCAAAUCUCUGUUUGCUGUAUUCAGAUGUACUGGAAAAUGAAAAGCAUUACCUGCUGCUGCCUUGCUAUGAUUUUAUUUCUACUGAAACAUGAUGACCAGCAUUGAUCUUCUGAAUGGUAGUAACAUGAGUUUUAAAGCCUUUGGCUAGGACAUCAUCAUCAAUGCCAGUGGCAAAAACAGUGGAUGGAAUACAAACUGUUCCAGCAUUUUACACUGCCAAAGGCAGAAACAGCCAUGGCAGGUUGAUCAGAGCUAGGAUUGUAUUGGUAACAAACCAGUGCUUUCAGAAACCAAAUUAGAAAUAAACUGAGAAGUCUCUUUAUUGUUUGUGGUGCUUCUAAACUAGAGCAACUAUUUCGGCGAUGAAGAGAAAUAAUAGUGUCCUGUACUGUCACUGAUUUAGGAGCAAACACGUAAGGUCAAUUUUGCAUUAGUUAAAAUUUCAUUUAUUUAAAAGAAACAAGUGAAGCUCCGUGAAAUUAAAUGAUGUUUGGUCCCUUGUCUUGCACUUACGUCCAUGCAAGUCCCAUCCUCUUGCCGUAACACUUCCUGGAAAGCCAACCAGGGUCCUUAACAGAGCAUCUGACAGAGACUUGGUCAAAAUACUUCUUCCUUGAGAAUUCAGUCUCUAUUAAUGGUGGUAAGUGCCUUACUGUCAAACAACUAAAAGGUAAAAGUAGUGGACAUUUACGAAAAUUUGUCCACGAUGAUUUAGCCAGGCAACAAUGAGGUAGCUCAUUACUCAUUACUAUAAGAAAAUUUACCGAGUAAUGCUUAAUUGCAAAAGAAUCAAAAUAGGGAUCUAAUUGUUUGCCCUUAAUGAAAUAAUAAUAGUAAUUUUUACUUACAAUGAGAAUCAAAUGCUUUCCAUGUAAAUCAACAAAAUAGGUAAGAAAUAAAUACAUAAAAAUAAUUGAAAAAUGAUAAAAAUAAAGAGAUCAAUAAUUCAAAAGUGCAUCAAUGAUUUCAUGUCCCAUUUGGAUAGGAGCACAACGAAAAAUAAAAUUAAAAGUGUUAACUUAAUUUCAUUUUGAAUAAUGGUAAAUUUUGUUUAGGGUUCUUUUAAAAAAAAAUUGUUUAGGGAAAAAUAAUGCUUCAUUUAAGUAAUUCAAUUUCUUGAAAAUCUUAUGGAGAAGACAUUAUUAUGUUUAAGGUCACAAACAUAAAACCAAUUUUACAGAAUUAAAAUUAUCUUUAAUGGAGUACCUCCCGUCCUUUAUCUUUUUCUUUGAGAGAGAAUUUAGUUAAUAAUACUUCUUCGAUGACAUUGCAAUCUCCAUUAAUGGAGGUAAUAAUAUUGUGUUCAAUUCAAUCAUGAAUAAAAUAUUAUGCUUAAUGAGGCUACAAAUGACCAAAGGUUUCCCCAUAACAAGGAAAACACAAUUGACUGCACUUUCUUCAACAUUUUUUAGCUUAGUUUUUCUCAAUGCUGGUCAUUUUUUUAAUUGAAAUUAUAAAAACCAGGACAACAAGAACAAAAAAGAGAACAAGGAAAACCAAGACACAAGCCAAGAUGAUCACUACAUUUGGUUUUCUGCAACUUAUCUUUGCCUACAAAACAUCAUGGAGGCAGAACCAAAUAAAGAUAUGAAUUAUUGGAAUAGAAACAGUUCAUCAAUUGCCUACAUUUGGAAAUUGAAGGCAGGCAGAGUCCUUAACAGAACAUCUGAGAGAGAAUCAGUCAAAGUUUAUUAAUUUUCUAUACCUACUCUUGUCCUAUUGUAGCUGGUUAUUAUCAAAGAAAAUAGAAUAAAAUUAGUGCGGACACUCACAUGGGACGACUUUGACCCAACUUGCCAAUGUUUUCCCAUUUUUCUUCCUAGAGUUCCCAUUUACGCAUCUUCUUCUAUCUCUCCACUAUCCCCAGAGUUUGUUUGAUUUCUGCCUUGCUCUUCUUUGAACUCAACAAAACCUACUCUUCCAUUUUAUUUUCCUUCAUUUUCCCACAGUUCUUUUAGCUCAAAGAAGAAAAGCAUCUCCGUUCUUUAACACUGCCAAAAAAAAAAAAAAAAAGAGAACUGUUUUGUUUGAUCCUUGUUAACUACUUUUCCUUUUCUUAAUUCUGGUUUCCGGAUCUCUGGAGUUGGUGAAGUAAUUUCAUCUCAAUUAAGGUAAGUUUCAAUAAAAAAUAUUAGAUUCUCCAUAUUUAAUUUUUUUAUGUGCUCAAUUUCUCUUAUCAUUUUUGAAUUUCACUUCUUAUUUUUUAAAUUGGAAAAUAAAAUUAAUUAAUUUGUACUUUACUUCUUUUCUUCUUAAUCCAAUGAAUAUUUAAUAAUAUACUAUGUGUCGCAUUUUCAUAUGAAAUAGUUUUAAUAUUAUGACUUUAAAAUAUGUAAACUAUAUGAAUAAACAUAUACGGGAAUUUCAUUCUAAAUUUUUUAAUUAUUAUAAAUAUUCAUAUAUUUUUUUCAUUUUUACAGACAUUUAUGGAUAUUUUGAGAAAGUAUUUUACAGAAUGAUAAUACUAUGCUUUUACUUUAAUAUGAAAAAAUAUUUUUAAUUAAUAUACACAUGACGAGUGAUAAGAAUUUUUACAUCUGCAGCUUUUUAAUUUUCAAGUUGGUAGAUCAACAAUCCCUUCUCUUGUGAUCCACAUUUUCAUAAAGGUAAAGUACUUUUGUAAUUAUUUUUUCUCUCUGUAAAACUGUUUAUUUGUUAAAAUUAAAAUCAGAAAGAUUUUUAUUUUAUGAAAGUUUCAAGUGAUCUUUAAUCAAAAUAUACAACAUGUUUUAAUAAUUUAAAAUUUUAGAGUUUGAGAUAUUAAUAUUACUUUACUAGCAGUAGAAUUUUUUUAUUAAAAAAAAUAAAAGGUGAGGCCAACAGUUCCAAAAGACAAAAGAUUUUGGGCCCUGGUCUUCCUCUACGGAUUUGAAAUUGAAUAACAAAAAAAGAUUUAUAUUUGAUGUACCGAUUCUAAUAGUUUUUGUACAUAGUCAGUUUAUCAAAUGAUACUAUAUCAUUAACAAACAAAUAUAAAAAUUGGUAUAGUUUUUAAAAUAAAUAUUAAAAAAAUUUAAUAACUAAUGAAAGAAAUAUCAUGGACGCAGAAUCAAAUAAAAAUAUGAAUCAAAUAUCAUUGCACGUGCCUACCAAAAAUUUUAAAAAAUAUUCUUAAGCUUCCUUUCAUCGUUUUUUUUUUUUUUUACUUUUUUUUACAACUAAUUUUUUUAUUUAUUAAUAAGUUAAGUGAGAAAUAAAUGAUAGAAAAGUAAAAUCAUAAUUAAUUAAAAAAUGAGUAAAUGGCAAAGGUAAAAGAGUAAAUAAAUGGUAAAACUAUAUUAAAACUAAAAAGAUCCAUUUCAUUAUUUAGAAUAUUACUUUAUCAAAAACUUAUUUUGAUUUAUUCAAACAUGCUACAGAUAUGAAAACUUAUUUUGUUUUCAUAAUUUAAGAUUUUGGAGUUUAGAUAUUAUAAUAUUACUUGUUACAUACAGUAAUUCUUGUUAACUAAAUUUCACUGUCUCUUUCAUUAUCGUGUUACUUUGCUCGCAUUUCACUGUUAUCUGAUUUAGAUUCAUUUCAACCAAUUGGUAGAUCCAUGGCGGAGUCAAUUUUAUAUGGGGCGGUCAGUAACAUCUUGUCCAAGUUCGUGUUAAAUGCUGGGAAAGAUCUUGGCUUGAUUUUUGGGCUGAAAAAGGAGCUAGAGAAGCUUCAAGGGACUCUCAGCACCAUAAACGCUGUCCUUCUUGAUGCUGAGGAGAAGCAGGAGAGCAGCCAUGCCAUGAAGAACUGGAUAAGUCGACUGGAAGACGUUGUAUACGAUGCAGACGACCUACUGGACGAAUUCGACUAUGCAAUCCUCCGCCAGAAGGUGCUUGCUCGGAGACAGGUGCGCAAGUUCUUUUCAUCCUCAAACCCUCUGGUAUUUGGUCUUAAGAUGGGUCCUAGAAUUAAGGAGAUUAUAGAGAGGCUUGACUCAAUUGCAGCUGAUAUUUCUAAGUUUAACUUGAGUCCGAGAGUUGCAACAGAUAUGAAAGCUAAGUAUACUAACAGGAAGACUGCCUCAAAGGUGAGACCAGAAAUGAUAGGGAGAGAGAAAGAUAAAGAGCACGUUAUAAAAUCAUUGCUUCAGAAGCAUCAUCAUGGUGACAGCAUCUCUAAUAUUGUUGCCAUUGUUGGGUUUGGAGGUUUGGGAAAGACUACGCUCGCCCAGUCGGUUUAUAACGAUGUAGAAAUAAAAAAUCUCUUUAAUCCACGAAUAUGGGUGUGUGUUUCUGAAGAAUUUGAUGUCUGUAUAAUUUUCAAGAAAAUCUUGGAGUCGCUGGGAGAUAGUAAAAUAGAUGACUUGGAUCUAGAUAUUUACUUGAAGAGGCUUGAAGAAAAUUUAAGAGGGAAGAGAUAUUUACUUGUGUUGGAUGACGUAUGGAAUGAAAACAAUUUAAAGUGGGAUAAUUUUUCAAAGCAUCUAGUGUUUGGUGCUCCAGAAAGCAAAAUUCUUGUGACAACUCGUAGUAAGAAUGUUGCAUCUAUUAUGGGGCUCAACAGUCCUCAUGUUUUAAAAGGUCUCAAUGAGGAUCAAUCUUGGACUUUGUUUGAGCAAGUGGCAUUUGAAGGACAAGGCCAGAUGGAUCCAAAGCUUAAAGUAAUUGGAAAAGAUGUUGCACAAAAAUGCAAAGGAGUUCCUCUCGUUAUCAAAUGUCUAGGAGGUUUGAUGAGACAAAAUCCUAAUGAAAGAUACUGGUCGUUUGUCCAAGAAAAUGAAAUAUGGAAGUUACUUAAAGAAGAUGAUGGUGUUAUCCCGGUGUUAAAAUUGAGUUACAUUCACCUACCAAGUCAUUUAAAACAAUGUUUUGCUUUUUGUUCAAUUCUCCGAAAGGACUACAACAUACCUAAAGACAGGUUGAUCCUAAUAUGGCGAGCACAAGGUUACAUUCAAUCACAGAUCAGAAAUGAGAAUAUACAAGACAUUGGUGAUGAAUACUUUAAUGAUUUAUUGUCAAGGUCAUUUUUUCAAGAAGAGGUGAAAGAUGAGAAUGGGAAUAUUAUUCGUUGUAAAAUGCAUGAUCUUAUCCAUGAUCUUGCAUUAUCAGUUGCAAAAAGUAGUUUUUCUUCAAUGAAAGAUGACAAAGAAAAACUUCCAAAAGGUGUCCGUCAUGUGAUAUUAGAAUGGGAACAUACAAAUAUCCAAAAAGAAGUUUUCACACAUUUGUCGAAAGUAAAAGGGAUAAGGACUCUACAUUUUCGGUCAGACAUUUCAAGGGAAUUAUUCAUUCGAUGUGCAAAUUUUUCAAAAUUCAAUUGUUUACGCAUAUUGAAUUUGAGUUUCAGGAACUUUAGAAUAUUGCCAAACUCAAUUGGUAAAUUGAAGCACUUGAGAUAUCUUAAUCUUUCUGGUAAUUAUGAGAUGGAAGUGCUUCCAGAAGCAAUAGCCAAAUUGCACCAUUUGCAAACUUUAUUACUCUAUUAUUGCAGUAAUCUUAAAAAGUUACCAAAGCAUAUACAACAAUUGAUUAGUUUGGAAUAUCUCGAGCUUGAUCUUUGUGAAAAACUAACGUGCUUGCCAGAAGGGUUAAGGGAAUUGACAUCCCUACGAAGAUUGGAUAGAUUUAUUGUAAACACUGUUGAAAAGAGUUUCUCAACUGCAGCCACGUUGAAUGAAUUGAGAGACCUAAAUGACCUUGAAAACCACUUGGGAAUUGAAAACUUGGAUAUGGUGAGGAAUGUGGAAUUAGAAUCAAUGGAGGCAAUUUUAAGGGAGAAGAAACGGCUUCAGUCUUUGCGAUUACAGUGGGGACCCAAUAUAAGGGGAGACAAUAAAAAGAAUGAGUUGUUGCUGGAUAAUCUUGAGCCACAUCCAAAUUUGAAGGAGCUCACUGUGUUCGGGUAUGAAGGGGCAAGGUUUUCGACGUGGCUAUCUUACUUGAAUAAUUUAAUCAAACUUAAAAUAGAACAUUGUUGGAGGGUUCAACACGUAGCAACAUUGCCUCCCUUGGAUCAUCUUUCAUCUCUCAAGUCUCUUACUCUUGAUAAUUUGCAUCUUUUAAAACACGUGGCGGAUCAUGAUGGGAAGGAAUAUGACCGUUCUUUGCCAACAGCAUCAUUCUUCACAUCGCUUAAGGAACUUAAGAUCCGAAACUGUCCCAAUCUCAAAGGAUGGUGGAGGACAAAGAAUGAGAACCAAGGUUCAACUGUUGAGCUGUCGUGGUUUCCUUGCCUUUCCAAGUUAGAAAUCAAAAAUUGCCCGAACUUAACCAGCAUGCCGUUGUUUCCAUCUCUCGACCAAGAUUUGACUUUGGAAGGUACUAGCAUAAGGCCUUUGCAAGAAACAUUGAAGAUGAAGAUGACCAAGGCUAGCAUGACAUCAGAAGGAGCAUCAUCAUCAUCAUCAGAGAUUACUUGUCUUUCUUACUCUUCAACUACCCUUCCUCUCUCCAAUUUGAAGUGUCUGACUCUUAUUGACAUUAAUGAUCUAGAAGCUCUGCCAGAAGAGUUCCUACUCAAUCUCACUUCUCUCAAAACGCUUAGCUUUUCUAAUUGCCCUGAAUUACAGUACUUGCCAGAAGGGACGCAUCAGCUUACCUCUUUACAAGAAUUGUGUGUUAAAAAUUGCCCCAAUCUGAGGGCUUUGCCGGACUGGGUUCUUAAUCUCACUUCUCUCGAAACACUCGAAAUUCAGAGUUGCUCUGAAUUACAUCACUUGCCAGAAGGGACUCAUCGACCUACCUCUUUACAAGAAUUACAUGUUGGAGAUUGCCUUAAUUUAAAAGCUUUGCCAAAUUGGAUCCCUAAUCUCACUUCCCUGAAAACAAUUGACAUACGGGGUUGUGAUAAAUUACAGUACCUGCCAGAAGGGAUACAACACCUUACCUCCUUACGAAGUUUGUCAAUCAUCGGAUGUCCCCAGUUAUCGGAAAGAUGUAAAAAGGAGACCGGAAUCCACUGGCCUCACAUUGCUCACAUCCCUUAUAUUUAUAUUGAAGGCAAUUGAUUAAAGAUGAUGAUGCAGUCUAGGUAACCAUAUUUUUCUUCACCUCUGUUCAUAUUUUCUCCCUUUAUCUGAUAAUUCCUUGUUUCUUUUAUUUUCUUGGAGUUGGCUGAUUUAUACUCUGUUCUAUGCAUGUAAUCCAUGUCGGUAAAAUAAUUCGUCAAUGCAAAAGUGGAUUUAAUUAAGACUCUGCUAUUUCUUUCUAAUUACGUGGACUGACAAUACUAUUUGUUUUUCUGUUCUUACUUUAAAUUUUCCUUUCUUAAGUAAAAUAUUACUAAUACGUUGAGUGAAAGGACUUUGAACUGAACAUAACUUGAAGUCAAGGCUUUGCUAGUAUUUCACAGCAAUUGGGAACUUUUUCCUUGUUUGAAUCCCUCAUUCUUUAAUUAUAAUCUUAAAGUUUAAGCAUUUAGGAUCUCACUAGCUCUUGAUGGAACCCUUGUACAGGUUGCAUACUUAUUGUCAAAGCAUUAAAUUCUAUAUUCUUGCACAGACAAAUUUUAGAAAAAAAAUACAGCAGUAUGAAUGUACUAACGUUAUCUAAUUAUUCUGAUUUUUCACUUUUUCAUAUCAAUUCCUAACAAUCUUUUAAAUGUUUCCUUUCACCUUUUUCAGUGAUGCUAAUCUGUAUCCGGAGGAGAUUGAUGUGAUUCAGAUAUUCUCAGCAGUUUUUACUUAUUAUGUUAACAUAAGUACAAAAUGGAGUUCAUGAAUAGAUUAUUGUAAGUAGUUUCACUUUCCCUGAUUUUUAUGCAUUAAUCAACGCAAAAUCAUCUCUUAUACAAUGAGACUACGUUAGAUGUUCAUGCCAUAUCUUUUCAGAAACUAAACCAAAAUUAAAUAGACAAGGAUCGUCAGACAGAUUGCUUCUAUCAAAGAGAUUCUAAAUAAUUGAAACACUGGUGAAAUGAGCUGAUGAGGUGUGAGAGUGAGAGUCCUUUUUACGGAUUUAUAUAUUUCUUCUUUUUUCCAUCUUCUCUUCGAGGAAGUGGCUAAUACUAUAACCUCUUCCUUUCAACUAGCAGAUGGAAUUAAGUAUUAACCUUAGAAUAUUGUUUUUUCUAGAGUAUCUCUGGGGAUUUGCAACUACAAGUUUGUUAGAGGGCCUAUCUUUACAAGAAUCUUGAGCAGAAAGAUAGUAAUAGUAGAAAAUAAUGUGAAAGUCUGCUUGUACAUUUCCUGCUGUAUCCGUUGUGAUGACGAGAUAUUGCUAUCGGUAAUGUUUCCUCCUCUUCUUGUUGUAGGAACAUGCUUUCGUAAGGAAUAUACUAACAUCAUUUGUUUCUUUUUUCUUCGUGUUUAUAAUGGGAUGGUAAACAAUUUUUCAUUGUUUGAAGGUGGACGAUUUGAUCUGCCUAAUUUCCUUCCAGAGCAGAAUAGGUGUUGAAUUGAAACCAGGAAAAACUUUUAAUGGUAAAAUUUUCCAUUUAUUCCGUUUGUCGUACCAAUUUCAUUUGCUUUCAGUAGGGAAACCAUUAAUUAACACCCAACUUCACACUUCUUUCUGCAUGUUUUUACUGGGAUUAUGGACUUUUUCUGAUAGUUUGAGAGAGUACAUAUGGAUUUCAACUUGCCAAUGCCAUUGUGAAGUAGAGUCCUAGAAUCGAUGGAUUGGAAGCUUUACUCUCAACAGUGUCAUCACUAUCUAUGUGAGAGUUAAAUUUUGCUUUGAGUAUUUAAAUUCAACAAAGGCUAACUGAUGAAAACAAUUGAACAGCUUGACCUCUGGUUUCUUUUUUGGGUAACGACGACUGCACAACAUGCAACUCUUUCACCUUCUCUUAUCAAGAAGUGAGCCUUGAUCUAACGAUCUUGAAUUCAAGGUUAAUUGGCUUUUCAUUUAUUGCUAUAUUAUAUAUGAGGAAUGUGCUGUUUAUAGAAUCCUCAAUAUUUUUGCAUUGCUCCAACAUUUAAGAUUUUUGUUUUCCAUACAAAAAGAAGAGAUGCCAAUGACAUGCCCGCCAACUCCCUUCCAGCCAUUUUUGAAAUGCAGCUAUUCUCAAGGCAUUAUCUAUUGCAGACAUGAUUCUAUAUGUUAUAGUUUCUUUAGUUUUUGUUCUUAUUUUUUUGCAUAUCUUUAUCCUCAAUGCUUCUUUAUAACAAUGGUUUUUUUGACUAGUUAGCUAUGAAUGGAGUCAACCAACCCUUGCUAAGUAGUUGCUCGAGUGAUUGGGAGAAGUGCCUGGAGAGCUAAGCUGAUUGGCUUUGAUUGGAGGUCUUUGAGCAAUGGCUUCGAUUCUAGUCUUUAGGCCCUUACUUAAUUAACCCAAACUUUUAAGGGGACCUCUUUCAUAAUGUACAUAUGAAGAAGACUUUUGGGAUGUCAUUCUGGGAUUUACUAUUUGCUACAUUUGGGUUCUGUAGCUAUUGUAACCUCCUGCUUCAUAGUAAAAUCUCUUCCACCCUUCAACCGUGGAUGUAGGCUGUUAAGCUGAACCACGUAAUUUCUUGUGUGUUUUAUUAUGUUGGAUUGUUUGUUUGCUAUUUAUCAUCAAAUUUGAUUUGAUUUCACAUCUAUACUUUUUGCUAUGUUAUUUGUCAAAGUAAUUGCUUUUUCGACAAGAUAAUCUAAAAGAAUUUCCUUAAAAUGUAGUCAAUUCUCUUGUAAUGAAUAUAAAUUAAGAUAAAUCAUGUAAAUUUUUUCUAUUUUUGCUAUACAUGAUUGUUUACUUUGUUAUUUACCAUUAAAUUUGAGUUGCUUUGUUUUCCAUUUUUAUAUAUUUCACGAUGAUAUUGUAAAUGUUAUUGGUUUAUCCCAAAAUGUAUCAAGUGAAACUAUCAUAAAUGUUUCAAUUUUAAUAGAUUAAGAAAAGUUAUAAAAUUGAAGCUACACAUUUUCAAAACGGAUUAAUUUUUCGAUAAAACACAAAAUGUAAAUAAUACUCGAUCAUACUCUUUAUUAUAUAACUUGACAUAAGCCAAAGAUCCAUAAAUAUAAUUUUAUAUAAACAGUGAUUUAUUAGCAAAGCCAUAAAAAUAAAUAAAAACAGUAAUUUAUCCCUUCAAGCAAAGAUCAAAUCUGUGGAAUUUUACAUAUUCAUAUCUCCCUUUUGUAUUUCGAAAUUUUCAUGGAUCUAAGCAUUUGACAGAAAAAAGGCUAAUCUCUAUUUGCUGUAUUAAUCGAAUGUACUGGAAAACGAAAACCAUUACCUGCUGCAGCCUUGCUAUGAUUUUAUUUCUAUUCAUAUCAAAAUGUAUCUGCUGCCUUGAUCAAUGGUAGCAACAUGAGUUUAGUAUUGGUAUAAACAGUGGAUGGAAUAAAAACAGUUCCUUUCGGGUACAAAACUAUGGUUAUAUUGGCAUAAACUGAGAAGGUGAAGGUGCCAAAACUAAUGCUUAAUUGCAAAAGAAUCAUAAAUAGGGAUCUAAUUGUUUGCCCUUAAUGAAAUAAUAAUAGUAAUUUUUACUUACAAUGAGAAUCAAAUGCUUUCCAUGUAAAUCAACAAAAUAGGUAAGAAAUAAAUACAUAAAAAUAAUUGAAAAAUGAUAAAAAUAAAGAGAUCAAUAAUUCAAAAGUUCAUCAACGAUUUCAUAUCCCAUUUGGGUAGGAGCACAAAGAAAAAAAAAUUAAAAGUGUGAACUUAAUUUCAUUUUGAAUAAUGGUAAAUUUUGGUUAGGGUUCUUUUCAAAAAAAAAAAAAAAAAAUUCUGGGAAAAAUUAUGCUUCAUAUAAGUAAUUCAAUUUCUUGAAAAUCUUAUGGAGAAGAUAUUAUAUUAUGUUUAAGGUCACAAACAUAAAGCCAAUUUUACAGAAUUAAAAUUAUCUUCAAUAGAGUACCUCUGUCCUUUAUCUUUUUCUUUGAGAGAGAAUUUAGUUAAUAAUACUUCUUUGAUGACAUUGUAAUCUCCAUUAAUGGAGGUAAUAAUAUUGUGUUCAAUUUAAUCAUGAAUAAAAUAUUAUGCUUAAUGAGGCUACAAAUGACCAAAGUUUUCCCCAUCACAAGGAAAAAACAAUUGACUGCACUUUUUUCAACAUUUUUUAGCUUAGUUUUUGCAAAAUAUUUGGUUUUCUGCAACUUACCGUUGCCUACAAAACAUCAUGGAGGCAAGCUUUUGAUUUGCAUGGAAGUUGUGAAAUGAAAGGAUCUCUAACAAUGUUUUGAUUAUAGCUGGAAAACAAUAAAUAAAAACAAACUUUCUCAAUGUAUGGAAAUAGCUUUCUCAAUGGGACGACGUCGAGCCAAGUUGCUAAUAUAUUUCCAAAUGUCCUACCCCUACUCUUAUUAAUAACCAAUUCAUUAUUAAUCACCAAGUUGCCAAUAUAUUUCCAUUGUUCCUAAUUUAAAUAUUAUUGUUCCAAAUUUCCUAUACCUAGUCUCGUCGUAUUGUAGCUGGUUAUUAUCAAAGAAAAGAGAAUAAUAUUUGUUUAUUAAUUAGUUGGGAAACUCACAAGUCACAUGGGACGUCUUUGACCCAAGUUGUCAAUAUAUUUUCGUUUUUCCUAUACGUACUCUUAUUACUUUGUCGUCAUAGAGUUUCCAUUUGAGCAUCUUCUGCUAUCAUCUCUACUAUCCCAAGAGUUUGUUUGUUUUGUGCCUUGCUCUUCUUUUAACUCAACAAAAGCUACUCUUCCAUUUUAUUUUCCUUCAUUUUCCCACUUUUCUUUUAACUCAAAGAACAAAAGCAUCUCUGUUGUUUAACUCUGCAAAGUCAUGUAAAUAGUUCCAUCUUGGCCAUUCUCGGAGGUCUUUGAGCAGUGGCUUCAAUUCUAAUCUUUAGCCCUUUACUUAAUUAACCCAAACCGUUAAAGGGACCUAAACACAAAGGUUCUUUCAUAAUGUACAUAUGGAGAAGACUUUCGAGAUACUGUUCUGGGAUUUACUAUUUGCUACACUUGGGUGCUAACCUCAUCUUCCUACAUUGUUGUAAAAUCUCUUCUACUCUUUAUCUUAGUGGAUGUAAACAAUUAAGUUGAACUACGGUAAUUCUUGUGUAUUUGAUUAUGUUGGAUCCUUUGCUUGCUAGUUAUCAUCAAAUUUGGUUUUUUUUUAUAUAUUUUAUAGUCUUUACUAGGUUUUUUCUUUUUUUUUUCAAUUGGAGGAGGGGAUUUGAACCCUUCUCUUUAGACAAGAGAUCAUUUUUUAUAUUUUAUAGUCUUUACUAGGUUUUUUCUUUUUUUUCAAUUGGAGGAGGGGAUUUGAACCAUUCUCUUUAGACAAGAGAUCAUGCAACAACCAAUGAGCCAAAUGCUUAACUGCUUAUAGUUUUGACUAAGUUAUUUGUCAAAGGUAAAACUAUUAGGUGGAACCUAUUUUCAUAUUUUAGCUAACAAAUAUUUUAAAAUAACUUAUUAAAUUUACUAUAUUAAAUAAUAUUUUCAAUCAAUAUAUUGAAAAUCUUAUAUUGAAAUAGUAUCUUGACAGGUAUUUUUAAGACAAUAGUUAAUAAAAUAUAUUAUUUAUUUAUUUAUUUGGAAGAUAAAACUCUAAUUGUUUUUUUUUAAGGAAUUCUAAUUGUUAGUAUUUCAACCUUGACUCAAUCCAAAACUUUGGCACUUUCACUCAUUGUUUGCCACUACCUAGAUUUCCAAGUCUAAGAUUAAUUAUGAACACACACCUUUGCAAUUUGCAUUGCACAUUCCUACCAAAAUUUAAUUCGUUUAUAUAUAAACUAAAAUGAUCCAUUUCGUUAUUUAGAAUAUUUUACAUAUAUAUAUUUAAUUUAUCAAAAACUUAUUUUAUUUUAUUCAAACAUGCUUUUAUUUUUUAUUUUUAAAAAUAAAAAUAUAUAGUAAAAGUAACAAGUGAAUAGAGUCUUAUAAAUUCGUUUAUAACUAAGAAGAUACAAAAAUCAAUCUAGCUAUAGUUGUUGAUUAUUGGUGAUCAAUAAAAAUUCCGUUCCUAGCAGAAAAAAGACAAAUUUCCUUGGGAAUUAAGUUUAAAAUCCAAUUUCUUGGACUCUUUUGAAAAUCAGCAUUGGUCAGUAGCCUUUGUCUGUAUGUUUCUUGACCGAGAAAUCAAUUCAUGAUUAACUCAAGAGAAGGCGCAAAAUGCUGUUAGUUUCCAGCUAUUUCGAUGUUAUCAUUUACAAAGAGAAGUUCAACAUCAUAUUCUAUAUGAUAAAAUUCCUUCGGCAACAAGAACUUUGUANUGUUAGGAUAGUCUUGAAUUGUGAUUUAAUUAGGAUUGUUUAAUUCUAAUUAAAUUAGUAUACCUUACAAAAUAGUCUUUAAAUCUAGUUAGAUUAGAAUAACAAUUCCUAAUUCUAUUAGGAUAAGAUUCCUAAUUAAAUUAGGAUAAGGUUAUUGUAUUUGAUACUAUAAAAGGACCCUAUGGGUUAAAGAAUAAUUAUCACCUAGAUUUAGAGAGAGUGAUUUAGGUGUACGUGGGAUAAGGGUUAUGAGUUUGAGACUGUUCUUGUAAUCUCCUGAUUUUUCUCUUAGUGAAUUUUUCUCUGUUGUUGUGCCCGUGGACGUAGGUCAUCAAAAGACCGAACCACGUAAAUUCUUGUGUUCUUGUGGGUGUGCUUGAUUUCUUUCUUUCUUUAUUCUAUUGAUUGGGUUAGAUCUUGGGUAAUUCUUUAAAGACAAUUCCGUAAUUUCUCAACAAACUGGUAUCAAAGCUUCAAGGUCUUGGGUCAAUCUGAAUCUCGCUAUGGCAACUUCGUCGACCAAGUAUGAGAUUGAAAAGUUUAAUGGAAGAAACGAUUUCAACCUGUGGUGUGUUAAGAUGUGCGCAUUGCUAGUGCAACAAGGACUGUUGAAGGCACUGAAGGGAAAAGAGCAUCUUCCCUCAAAUUUAUCUGAUGGUGAGAAAGAUGACCUUAUGGAAAAAGCACAUAGUGCUAUUCUCCUAGCUUUGUCUGAUGAUGUGCUAAGAGAAGUCAUGGAUGAAGAAUCUGCUGUUGCAGUAUGUGGCUUAAACUCAAGAGUAUUUAUAUGAUCAAAAUCUUGACGAAUCGGCUUUAUAUGAAACAAUGAUUGUAUACUCUCAAGAUGAGUGAAGGUACAUCUGUUAAUACCCACAUUGAUGAAUUUAAUAGAGUUAUUCUUGAUUUAAAGAAUAUCGAUAUUAAAAUUGAGGAUGAAGACUUAGCCCUAAUUCUUUUAUGUUCUUUGUCUCCAUCAUAUGAAAACUUCAUGGAUACUAUGCUAUACGGUCGAAACACUCUCACUUUCGAGGAUGUAAGGGCAUCUUUAAAUUCCAAGGAAUUAAAGAAGAAAGUUGGUGAUAUUCGGAAUGAAAAUCAAGCAGAAGGUUUGGUUGUAAAUAGAGGUAAAGGUAAAGAGAAAGGCUUAGAUAGAAAAGGUAAAUCUAGGUCCAAAUCUAGAUCAAGAGGAAAGACUUAUUGGAACUGUGGUAAAAAAGGUCACUUUCGUCAAGACUGUACUAAAUUCAAGGGUGAUGAAAAGAUCAAUAAGUCUAAAAAUACUACAAAUGUAGUUGAAGAUGAUUUUGAUACUUUUGAUGAAGCUGAUAGUGUUCUUGUAGUUACUAAUGGUAACUUGAAGGAUACAUGGAUCUUAGAUUUGGCCUGUUGCUUCCACAUAUAUCCUAGGCGUGAGUGGUUUACAACUUAUCAAUCUGUUGAUUGGGCACUGUACAAUUAGGAGAUGAUUUCUCUCUCUCAGUUGUUGGGAUUGGCAUAAUUCGAAUCAAGAUGUUUGAUGGUAUAGUAAGGGCACUUGAGGUGAAACAUGUACCUAAAAUGAAAAAGAAUUUGAUAUCCUUGAGUUUGUUAGAUAAGAAGGGUUGCAAAUAUAGUGACCAAGAUGGUGUCUUGAAGGUAUCUAAAGGAGCCUUAACUAUCAUGAAAGGUAAGUUAUCCGGUGGCCUUUAUUGUUUAGUGGGAAGUACGAUUAUUGGAACUGCUUCUGUAGUCUCAUCCCAUGAUCCUGAUGAUGAUGUUAUACAUUUAUGGCAUAUGAGAUUAGGUCAUAUGAGUGAGAAAGGAAUGACAGAAUUAAGUAAACGUGGUUUUACUGUGUGGUUAAAAGACUGGGAAGAUAGAUUUAUGUGAACAUUGCAUCUAUGGCAAACAACACCGAGUGAAAUUUAGCAUUGCUACACAUCGAACCAAGAGUACAGUAGACUACAUCCACUCAAAUUUAUGGGGUCCUUCUCCUGUGGCAUCAAAAGGUGGAUCAUUAUACAUGUUAACAUUUAUUGAUGAUUUUUCAAGAAAAGUAUGGACGUAUUUUUUGAAGGCUAAAAGUGAAGUGUUUACCACCUUUUUGCAAUGGAAGGCAUUGAUCGAGAAGCAGACAGGGAAAAGGAUCAAGCGCUUUCGAACAGAUAACGGUUUGGAAUUUUGCAAAGGUGAGUUUGAUCUAUUCUGCAAGAAUGAGGGAAUCAUUAGACAUCACACUGUCAUCAAAACACCAUAACAAAACGGUAUUGCAGAACGGAUGAAUAGAACACUUGUUGAAAGAGCAAGAUGCAUGCUUUCUAAUGCUGGUUUAUCUAAAGUAUUCUGGACAGAAGCUAUCAACAUGGCUUGCUACUUGGCAAAUCGGUCUCCAUCAACUGUAAUUGAAUUAAAGACUCCUGAGGAAGUUUGGUCAGGUAAACCCGCUGAUUACUCUAUAUUGAGAAUAUUUGGUUGUCCUACUUAUGCUCGUGUAAAUGAUGGUAAGCUUGAACUGAGGGCAAAGAAGUGCAUAUUCCUAGGCUAUGCAUCUGGGGUAAAAGGUUAUCGACUAUGGUGUACUGAUCCGAAAUCCCCCAAGUUUAUGGUAAGUUGAGAUGUUACCUUUGACGAGUCUGCAUUACUUCAUGGGAUAAAGUCUAGAAUUGCAAUCUCAUCAGACCAAGAAGUGGACAAGCAGGUGGAGCUUGAAAUCAAUGCUCUUGGGACAAUGCAAGAUGACAGUGAAAUCCAAAAUGAAUCACAAGAGGAACAAGAAUCAGUAUCUCAUAUACAACAACGAAGCAUUGCUACAGACAGAUCUAGAAGGAUUUCAAAAGCUCCUCAGAAGUUUGAUGAUUUUGUUACUUGUGUGGAGCGUGAUUUUGAUUCUUAUGUUUUAUCUGUGGCGGAAGAAGUAGAGACUAAUGAGCCUUACUCUUAUCGUGAGGCAAUUACUUGUAUCGAGUCUUCUCAAUGGCUAACUGCUAUGAAUGAGGAGAUUGAGUCUUUACACCGAAAUCAAACAUGGGAGCUUGUGAAACCACCUAAAGGCCAAAAAGUUGUGGGAUGCAAAUGGGUCUUCAAGAAAAAGGAAGGGAUCCUAGGGGUUGAAAAUGCUAGAUUUAAAGCACGACUUGUGGCAAAGGGGUAUGCACAAAGAGAGGGAAUUGACUAUAAUGAAGUAUUCUCUCCUGUCGUGAGGCAUAGUUCAAUCCGCGUGUUGCUUGCUAUAGUGGCAUAUUUUAACUUUGAGUUGGAGCAACUUGAUGUCAAAACAGCGUUUUUACAUGGUGAGCUUGAAGAGCGGAUCUACAUGCAACAACCUGAGGGAUUCGUUGUUCCAGGUAUGGAAGAUUGUGUAUGUUUACUUAAAAAGUCAUUAUAUGGCUUAAAACAAUCUCCUAGGCAAUGGUAUAAAAGGUUUGAUAUGUUCAUGGAGGCACAUGGGUACACUAGAAGUGUACAUGAUGGUUGUGUCUACUAUAAAAGGCUUCCAGAUGAUUUGCGUUUAUCUAUUUGUUGUUGUAUGUGGAUGACAUGCUUAUUGCCGCCAAAAGUAUGUCAGACAUUGAUGUUUUAAAGGAGCAGCUUAGUGGUGAGUUUGAGAUGAAAGACUUAGGUGAUGCAAAGAAAAUAUUAGGUAUGGAAAUUGUCAGAGAUAGACGAGCGUCGAGAUUAUGUUUGUCACAAAAGAAAUACAUUCAAAAGGUACUAGAACGUUUUGGAAUCCAAGAUGCUAAGUCUGUGACUACUCCAUUGGGACUACACCUAAAACUUUCAACUGGUUUAUCACCACAAACGGAGGAUGAGAAGGAGUACAUGACUCGUGUUUCUUAUGCUAAUGCAGUGGGUAGCAUUAUGUAUGCUAUGGUAUGUACUAGGCCUGAUAUUUCACAUGUUGUUAGUAUGGUUAGUAGAUUCAUGGAUAAACCAGGAAAAGGACAUUGGCAAGCUGUGAAGUGGAUCUUUCGAUAUUUAAAAGGCAAUAUACUAAGCCAAUAUCUAUAGUGCCUUUUAAAUAUCGAAAGAUCCACUUCACAGCUUGCCAAUGUCCUUUUCCUGGUUUAUCCAUGAAUCUACUAACCAUACUAACAGCAUGUGAAAUAUCAGGCCUAGUACAUACCAUAGCAUACAUAAUGCUACCCACUGCAUUAGCAUAAGAAACACGAGUCAUGUACUCCUUCUCAUCCUCCGUUUGUGGUGGUUAUAAACCAGUUGAAAGUUUUAGGUGUAGUCCCAAUGGGGUAGUCACAGACUUAGCAUCUUGUAUUCCAAAAUGUUCUAGUACCUUUUGAAUGUAUUUCUUUUGUGACAAACAUAAUCUCGACGCUCGUCUAUCUCUGACAAUUUCCAUACCUAAUAUUUUCUUUGCAUCACCUAAGUCUUUCAUCUCAAACUCACCACUAAGCUGCUCCUUUAAAACAUCAAUGUCUGACAUACUUUUGGCGGCAAUAAGCAUGUCAUCCACAUACAACAACAAAUAGAUAAACGAAUCAUCUGGAAGCCUUUUAUAAUAGACACAACCAUCAUGUACACUUUUAGUGUACCCUUGUGCCUCCAUGAACAUAUCAAACCUUUUAUACCAUUGCCUAGGAGAUUGUUUUAAGCCAUGUAAUGACUUUUUAAGUAAGCAUACACAAUCUUCCAUACCUGGAACAACGAAUCCCUCAGGUUGUUGCAUGUAGAUCCGCUCUUCAAGCUCACCAUGUAAAAACGCUGUUUUGACAUCAAGUUGCUCCAACUCAAAGUUAAAAUAUGCCACUAUAGCAAGCAACACGCGGAUUGAACUAUGCCUCACGACAGGAGAGAAUACUUCAUUAUAGUCAAUUCCCUCUCUUUGUGCAUACCCCUUUGCCACAAGUCGUGCUUUAAAUCUAGCAUUUUCAACCCCUAGGAUCCCUUCCUUUUUCUUGAAGACCCAUUUGCAUCCCACAACUUUUUGGCCUUUAGGUGGUUUCACAAGCUCCCAUGUUUGAUUUCNNNNNNNNNNNNNNNNNNNNNNNNNNNNNNNNNNNNNNNNNNNNNNNNNNNNNNNNNNNNNNNNNNNNNNNNNNNNNNNNNNNNNNNNNNNNNNNNNNNNNNNNNNNNNNNNNNNNNNNNNNNNNNNNNNNNNNNNNNNNNNNNNNNNNNNNNNNNNNNNNNNNNNNNNNNNNNNNNNNNNNNNNNNNNNNNNNNNNNNNNNNNNNNNNNNNNNNNNNNNNNNNNNNNNNNNNNNNNNNNNNNNNNNNNNNNNUGUUAGGAUAGUCUUGAAUUGUGAUUUAAUUAAGAUUGUUUAAAUCUAAUUAAAUUAGUAUACCUUAUAAAAUAGUCUUUAAAUCUAGUUAGACUGGAAUAACAAUUCCUAAUUCUAUUAGGAUAAGAUUCCUAAUUAUAUUAGGAUAAGGUUAUUGUAUUUGGCACUAUAAAAGGACCCUAUGAGUUAAAGAAUAAUCAUCACCUAGAUUUAGAGAGAGUGAUUUAGGUGUACGUGGGAUAAGAGUUAUGAGUUUGAGACUGUUUUUGUAAUCUCCUGAUUUUUCUCUUAGUGAAUUUUUCUCUGUUACUGUGCCUGUGGACGUAGGUCAUCAAAAGACCGAACCACGUAAAUUCUUGUGUUUUUGUGGGUGUGCUUGAUUUCUUUCUUUCUUUAUUCUAUUGAUUGGAUUAGAUCUUGGGUAAUUCUUUAGAGACAAUUCCACAAUUUCUCAACAACCUAUUUUCAUAUUUUAGCUAACAAAUAUUUUAAAAUAACUUAUUAAAUUUACUACAUUAAAUAAUAUUUUCAAUCAAUAUAUUGAAAAUCUUAUAUUGAAAUAGUAUCUUGACAUGUAUUUUUAAGACAAUAGUUAAUAAAAUAUAUUAUUUAUUUAUUUAUUUGGAAGAUAAAACUCUAAUUGUUUUUUUUUUAAGAAUUCUAAUUGUUAGUAUUUCAACCUUGACUCAAUCCAAAACUUUGGCACUUUCACUCAUUGUUUGCCACUACCUAGAUUUCCAAGUCUAAGAUUAAUUAUGAACACACACCUUUGCAAUUUGCAUUGCACAUUCCUACCAAAAUUUAAUUAGUUUAUAUAUAAACUAAAAUGAUCCAUUUCGUUAUUUAGAAUAUUUUACAUAUAUAUAUAUAUUUAAUUUAUCAAAAACUUAUUUUAUUUUAUUCAAACAUGCUUUUAUUUUUUAUUUUUAAAAAUAAAAAUAAAUAGUAAAAGUAACAAGCAAAUAGAGUCUUAUAAAUUCGUUUAUAACUAAGAAGAUAUAAAAAUCAAUCUAGCUGUAGUUGUUGAUUAUUGGUGAUCAAUAAAAAUUCCGUUCCUAGCAGAAAAAGGACCAAUUUCCUUGGGAAUUAAGUUUAAAAUUCAAUUUCUUGGACUCUUUUGAAAAUCAACAUUGGUCAGUAGCCUUUGUCUGUAUGUUUCUUGACUGAGAAAUCAAUUCAUGAUUAACUCAAGAGAAGGCGCAAAAUGCUGUUAGUUUCCAGCUAUUUCGAUGUUAUCAUUUACAAAGAGAAGUUCAACAUCAUAUUCUAUAUGAUAAAAUUCCUUCGGCAACAAGAACUUUGUACUUUCCAUUAGCCCCUCCUGUUUCAUGGCCUGUUUUACGUGGAUACCUAUGCUAUAAUUAAUAAUUUCUUACCAAUCCAAACUUGAUUCAAUCUGAUUUGAUUUAAAAAACUCAACUACUUAAAAUCAUGUAAACUUCAAAUUAUCUUAAUAUACUUCUAACUCGAAUGAUCCAAAAAAAUUAACUCGAAAAGAAAUGUAUUUUUUGUCCCAACAUCAAUUUUCAUAUUUAAUAUAGUAUAUCAUAUUUAAGAUUAUUGGAUUAAUUAACAACCCUGAUCACAAUUGAUAACUAGUCUCGUCGUAUUGUAGCUGGUUAUAAUCAAAGAAAAGAGAAUAAUAUUGGUUUAUUAAUUAGUGGGGAAAUCUUUGAGCCAAGUUGCGAAUGUAUUUCCAUUUACUCUUGUUACUUUGUCGUCAUAGAGUUUCCAUUUGAGCAUCUUCUUCUAUCAUUGCUACUAUCCCAAGAGUUUGUUUGAUUUCUGCCUUGCUCUUCUUUUAACUCAACAAAGCCUACGUUUCCAUUUUUUUUUUCCUUCAUUUUCCCACUUUUCUUUUAACUCAAAGAACAAAAGCAUCUCUUUUGUUCAACUCUGCAAAAAAAAAAAAAAGUUGAUCUCUUAAAUUACUUUUGUUUGAUCCUUGUUUGCUACUUUUCUUUUUCUUAAUUUUGGUUUCCCGAUCUCUGGAGUUGGUGAAGUAAUUCCAUCCCAAUUGAGGUAAGCUUCAAUAUAACAUAUUAUAUUCUCCAUAUUUAAUUUUUUUAUGUGCUCAAUUUCUCUUAUCAUUUAUGAAUUUGACUUCUCAUUUUCUAAGUUGGCAAAUAAAAUUAAUUGAUUUGUAGUACUUAAUUUACUUCUUUACAUCUUAACCCUAUGAAUAUUUAGUAAUAUACUAUGUGUAGCAUUUUAGUGUGAAAUAGUUUUAAUAUUAUGACUUUUAAAUAUGUAAAAAUAUAUCAAUAAACCUACGCUGAAAUUUCAUUCUAAAUUUUUUAAUUUAUUUUAAAUAUUCAUAUUUUUUCUAUUUUUACCAACAUUUAUGGAUAUUUUGGGAACGCAUUUUAUAGAAUGAUGAUAUUAUGUUUUUACUUUAAUAUAAAAAUAUAUUUUUAAUUAAUAUGCACUUGAUUAGCGAUAAGAAUUUCUACAUCUGCAGCAUUUUCAAUUUCCAAGUUGGUUGGUCAUCCACAUUUUCAUAAAGGUAAUUGUUUAAUUUAUGAAAAUAUGAAAUAUAAACAUGUUAUAUUUAUAUCUCCAAAGUUAAAAUGUGGAUGAGAAGGGUCAUCCACAUUUUCAAGGUUAAUCUCAGUUGUGGUACUUGCAAAUAUUUUGUAAUUGUUUUUUUUCUCUGUAAAACUUUUUACUCAUUAAAAUUAAAAUCAAACAAAUUUUUAUUUUAUGAAAGUUUCAAGUGAUUUUUAAUUAAAAUAUAUAACAUGUUUUAAUAAUUUAAGAUUUUGAAGUUUGAGAUAUAAAUAUUACUUAUUAAAAAAAAUUUAUACAGAAAUAUGGAAAAGGCGAAGUUAGUAGUUUCCUAAGGCAAAAGAUUUGAGCUCUCGUCUUCCACUAAAAAUUUGAAAUUGAAUAAGAAAAAGUAUUUAUAUUUAUGUACUAAUUGUAUAUUGUUUUUAAAAUAAAUAUUUAAAAAUAUUAAUAAUGAAUUAGAGAAAUAUCAUGCAGGCAAAAUCAAAUAAAAAUAUAAAUUAUUGCAAUGGUAGCCCAUUUUUGGUUCUUCAAUUUUUGGCCUUGAUCUUUUGAAAAAACAUAUUCCAGUUGAUAGAUUUCCAAGUCUAAGAUUAACUAUGAACACACCUUUGCAAUUUGCAUUGCACAUUCCUACCAAAAAUAUUAAAAAAUAUUCUUAAUAUUUUUUUACUUAAUAUUAAAAAAUAUUAAAAGUUAAGUGAGAAAUAAAUGACAAAAAAGUGAAAUGAUAAUUAAUUAAAAAAGAGAAAAUGACUAGGGUAAAAAUAAAUGAAUAAAUGGUAAAAUUAUAUUAAAACUAAAGAGAUCUAUUUCAUUAUUUAGAAUAUUAUAUAUAUACAUUUAAUUUAUCAAAAACUUAUUUUGAUUUAUUAAAACAUGCUUAUCAGGUGAAGUCCACUAAGUCUUUCACUACCGCGUCAGUUUGCUUACAUUUCCCUGUUAUCUGCUUUAGAUUCAUUUCAACCAAGUUGUAGAUCCAUGGCGGAAUCAAUUUUAUACGGGGCGCUCAGUAACAUCUUUUCCAAGUUGAUGUGGCUUGCUGGGCAUGAGAUUGGCUUGAUUUUCUGCCAGAAAAGCGAACUGGAUAAGCUUCAAAAGACUCUCGACAUCGUAAAAGCCGUCAUUCUUGAUGCUGAGGAGAAGCAGGCGAGCGACCUUGUCGUGAAAAACUGGAUAAGUCGACUGGAAGAUGUCGUCUCUGAUGCAGAGGACUUACUGGACGAAUUCGACUAUGAGAUCCUACGCCAGAAGGUGCGUCCUCGGGGACAGGUACGCAAGAUCUUUCGAUCCUUCAGGAUGGGUCCUAGAGUUAAGGAGAUUAAAGAGAGGCUGGACGUGGUGGCAAGAGAGAUUAAAACGUUUGAUUUUAAUGUGAGAGUUGUAGAACUGAAUAAGAAACCUAAGAAUACUGACAGAGAGACUGCCUCAAAGGUGAGAUCGGAAUUAGUAAUAGGGAGAGAGGAAGAUAAAGAGCACAUUAUAGAAUUGUUGAAGGAGCAGAAUCAUGGUGACAGCAUCUUCAAUAUUAUUGCCAUUGUUGGGUUUGGAGGUUUAGGAAAGACCUCGCUUGCCCGGUUGGUGUAUAACGAUGCAGAAGUAGCAGAUUCCUUCGAAAGGAUGUGGGUGUGUGUUUCUGAAGAAUUUAAUGUUCUUAUAAUUUUCAAAAAAAUUUUGAAGUGUCUAGGAGAACACAAAGUGGAUGACUGGAAUCUAGAUGAAGUACAAAAUGGAAUUGAACAAAAGUUAGAAGGGAAGAGAUAUUUACUUGUGUUGGAUGAUGUGUGGAAUGAAGACAUUUUACAGUGGAAUGAAUUUUCACAGUAUAUGGUAUUUGGUGCUCCUGAAAGUAAAAUUAUUGUGACAACUCGUAGCAUCAAAGUUGCAGCUACUAUGGGGGUGCACAGUCCUUACCUUUUAAAAGGUCUCAAUGAGGAACAAUCUCAGGAUUUGUUUGAGAAAGUGGCAUUUGAAGGACGUCAAAUCGAUCCAAAGCUUGGACAAAUUGGAAACGUUGUUGCACAAAAAUGCAAAGGAGUUCCUCUUUCUAUUAAAUGUUUAGGAGGUUUGAUGAGACAAAAGCCUGAUGAAAAAUACUGGUUGUUUGUCCAAGAAAAUGAAUUUUGGAAUAAUGAUGAUGUUUUGUCGGUGUUAAAAUUGAGUUAUAUUCAGCUACCAAGUAAUUUAAAGCAAUGUUUUGCUUUUUGUUCGCUUUUCUCAAAAGACUCUAGGAUAUAUAAAGAUGAGUUGAUUCAUUUUUGGCGAGCACAAGGUUACAUUCAAUUAGAGAAUAAAAAUGAGAAUAUACAAGAUAUUAGUGAUGAAUACUUUAAUGAUUUGCUGUCAAGAUCAUUUUUUCAAGAGGAGGAGAAAGAUGCAUAUGGGAAUAUCAUCUAUUGUAAAAUGCAUGAUCUUAUUCAUGAUCUUGCAUUAUCAGUUGCUGGUCGAUAUUUUCAUUGGAUGAAAGAUGAAAAAGAAGAAAUUUCAAAAGGAGUCCGUCAUGUGUCAUUAGAAAAAUAUUCUAAAGAAGUUGUUUUGACUGGAUCAGAAACAAAAGUGAUAAGGACUAUGUUUUUCCGAGCAGACAUUUUCACGGACUUAUUUAUUCGAAAUGUAACUUAUUCGAGCUUCAAUUGUUUACGUAUGUUGAAUUUAAGUUGGAUGAACAUUAAUAUUUUACCAGAUUCAAUUGGUAAAUUGAAGCAUUUGAGAUACCUUGAUCUUUCUAGUAAUCAAAGGAUGAAAGUGCUCCCAGAUGCAAUAGUCAAAUUGCACCAUUUGCAAACUCUAUUACUCAAUGCUUGCAGCAGUCUGGAAAAGUUACCAAGGGAUAUACGCCAAUUGAUUAGUUUGGAAUAUCUCAAUAUUAAUUCUUGCAACCGACUAAAGUACUUGCCAAAAGGGUUAGGGGAAUUGACUUCCUUACAAAGAUUGGACAGAUUUGUUGUGAACUGUGUUGAAGACAAUUUAUCAACUGCAGCCACGUUGAAUGAGUUGAGUAACCUAGACCUUGGAAAUAGCUUCAAAAUUGAACACUUAGAAAAGGUGAGGAAUGUGGAAUUAGAAUGUAAGGAGGCAAAUUUAAAGAAAAAGAAACGGCUUCAGUCUUUGCAUUUAUCUUGGGAAUCUUUCUCUCCAACAACAGUGGCUAGUGAAAAGGAUGAGUCAUUGUUAAAUAUUCUUGAGCCACACCCGAAUUUGAAAGGGCUGGAGCUAUCCGGUUAUGGAGGAGCAAGGUUUUCAAGUUGGCUAUCUUCAUUGACUAAUUUAGUCAAACUUAAUAUAUACAGAUUUUGGAAUUGUCGAGACCUGCCACCCUUGGAUCAUUUUUCAUCUCUCAAGUCUCUCUUUCUUUACGGUUCCAAUGCUUUAAAACACCUGCCACCCUUGGAUCAUCUUUCAUCUCUAGGGUCUCUUUCUCUUUCGCGGUUAGAUGCUUUAGAAUACGUGGCAGAUUCUUUUUCCUUGCCUUGCUCGACUUCAAGAGAACCAUUCUUCCCGUCCCUUAAGAAACUUUUGAUCCAUGACUGUCCCAAUCUCAAAGGAUGGUGGAAGACAAAGAAUGAGAACCAACGAUCAAUCGCUGAGCUGCCUUGCUUUCCUUGCCUUUCCGAGUUAGAUAUCCUCAGGUGUCCAAACUUAGCCUCCAUGCCGCUGUUUCCAUCUCUCGAUCAAGAUUUGAUGUUGCAUGAUACUAGCAUAAGGCCUUUACAACAAACAUUGAAGAUGAUGAAGAUGACCGAGGCUAGCAUGACAUUAGAAGAAGCAUCAUCUUCAUCGGGGAGCGCUUGUCAUUCAUAUUCUUCAACUACCCUUCCUCUCUCCCAUUUGAAGAGUCUGAUGCUUACAGACAUUAAGGAUUUAGAAGUUCUGCUAGAAGAGUUUCUACAAAAUCUCACUUCUCUUACGUCCUUAUGGUUGAGCGACUGCCCUAUAUUGGAAUCGCUAUUGCCGCAAAAGAUGAGCUGCCUCACCUCUUUACAAGUUUUGUGUGUUAAAAAUUGCCAUAAUCUGAGGGCUUUUCCGGAUUGGAUACUCAAUCUCACUUCCCUUAAAACACUUGAAAUUUGGGGGUGCAUUGAAUUACAGUACAUGCCAGAAGGGACGCAUCAGCUUACCUCUUUAAAUAAAUUGUCCGUAGGCAAUUGCCCUAAUAUGAGGGCUUUACCUGACUGGAUACUCAAUCUCACUUCCCUUAAAACACUUGAAAUUUGGGAGUGCCUUGAAUUACAGUACAUGCCAGAAGGGACGCCUCGGCUUACAUCUUUAGAAGAAUUAAUUGUUUACUGCCAUAAUUUGAGGGCUUUGCCAGACUGGAUACUCAAUCUCACUUCCCUCAAAGACCUUUAUAUAUGCGAGUGCCUUCAAUCACCGUACUUGCAAGGAAGGGAUGCAAAGCCUCACCUCUUUAGAACGAUUGAUAGUUCAUCAUUGCCCUAAUCUGAGUUCUUCCACAUAUUCUCUCAAAGCACUUCUAAUUCGGGGGUGCCCUAAUUUAAGCUUCUGGAGAUCGAGGCGUCUGUUUUCCACUUUAGAAGAAUUGAAUGUUCAAAAUUGCCCUAAUCUGGAGGAUUUGCUGAAUCGCAUUGCUAAGAUGAUCACUUCCCUCAAAACACUUAAGAUUUGUAAGUGCCUUGAAUUACAAGACUUGCCACAAAGGAUGGAUGGCCUUACCUCUUUACAAGUAUUGUCAAUCAGUGAAUGUCCUCGGUUGUCAAAAAGAUGUGAAAAGGAUACCGGAGUCCUGUGGCCUCGCAUUGCUCGCAUCCCAUCUAUUAUAGUCGAUGGGCGACAGAUUCAAUGAUGAUCAUACCGUAUAGGUAAUCACAUUUUUCUUCACCUCUAUUUAUAUUUUCUCCCUUUACUUGAUAAUCUUUUUUUUUCCCCCUGGAUUUGGAUGAUUCUUAAUUUGUUGCAUGCAUGUAAUCCAAGUCAACUAUGAAAAAUUGGAUUUAAUCCAUUCUCUGCUACUUCUUUCUAAGUGGACUAACAAUAUUGAUUUCUUUUUUCUUUUCUUACUUUGAAUUUUUUUUGUUAAGUUAAAUAUUACUAAUAUGAAAUGUAACCAAAACUUGAUGUCAAAACUCUGCCAGUAUGCCAUGGCAAUUGGGAACUUUUUCCUUGUUUCAAUCUCUCAUUCUUCAAUUAUAAUCCUAAAUUUGAAGCAUUUAGGAUCUCACUAGCUCUUGAUGGAACCCUUGUGCAGAUAGCAUAUUUAUAGUCAAAGCAUUAAAUCUUAUACUCUUAUAUAGACAAAUUUAAAAAAAUUAUAGCAGUAUGAAUGUACUCAGUUAGCAAAUUAUUCUGAUUUUUCACUUUUUUUUAUAUCUAAAUGUCUCUUUUCACCUAUUUCAAUGAUGUUAAUCUGUGUUUGGAGGAUAUUGUUUAGGUUGACCAAAAGUUUGGGUUUUUUGUAAAAGGUUGUCAAAAGCUUUUUGUGCAGUGUUGAUGUAAUUGUUCAGUUAUCUUAUCAGUAGAGUUAGAAUGCCAAAGAGAGUAUUUAACUGAUUAGAUCAUAGACUUUUGAUCUGACAAUAUUAAUAAAAUCAAAACUUUUCCAAAAAAAAAAAACAUAAGCAUAAAAUGGGGUUACGGACAUAUUAUUGUCAGUUGUUUCACUUCCCCUGUUUUUAUGCAUUGAUCAAUGCAAAAUCAUCUCUUAUACAAUGAGGCAACCUUGGAUGUUUGUGUCAUAUCUUUACUGAAGCAAAACCAAAAUUUAAUGUGAACACUGGUGAAAUAAGCUGAGAUUUUAUAGGCACUUGCUUUUGUAAGGAAUAUGUUAACAUUAUUUCUUUCUUUUUUUCUUCGUGUUUAUAAUGGGAUGAUGACAUUUUUUCAUUGUGUGAAGCAGGAAGAUUGCAUCUUGCUAAUUUCCUUCCAAAGUAGACUAUUGUUGAAUUGAAACCAAGAGAAAUUUCUAUUGGUAAAAUUUACCACUUAUUUGGUUUGUUUUACCAAUUUCAUUUACUUUCUAUAAGGAAUCCAUUAACACCCAACUUCUUACUUCUUUCUGCAUGUCUUUAUUGAGAUUAUGGACUUUUUCUGAUAGAUUGAGAGAGUACGAAUUGAUUUCAACUUGCCAAUGCCAUUGUGAAGAAGAGUACUACAAUCCAUGGAUUGGAAGCUUUUCUCUCAACAGUGUCAUCACUAUCUAUGUUACAGUUUGAUGGCAAUUCUAUGUGAGAGUUAAAUUUUACUUUUGAGUAUUUGAAUUCAAUAAAGGCUAGCUCAUGAAAAUAAUUUAACAGUUUGACCUUUGGUGUCUUUUUAGAUGACAACAAUUGCACAGCAUGCAACUCCUUCACCUUUUCUUCCCAAAAAGUGAGACUUGGUCUAAUGAUCUUGAAUUUAAGGUAAAUUAGCUUAUCACUUAUUGCUCUAUAGAAUUUACUGUGCAUAGAAUGUUGAUUAUUUUUUCACUGCUAUAUCGUUAUAAGAUUUUCAUUUUCCAUAGAAAAAUAAGAGGUCUCAUGACUUGCUCACCAACUCCCUUUCAAGGCAUUCUUGAAAUGCAGGUAUAUUCUCAAAGCAUAUCUAUUGCAAAAGUGAUAACUAUAUAUUAUAGUUUCUUUAGUUUUUGUUCUUGAUUUUUUGCAUAUCUUGUUCUUCAACGCUUGGUUAUAACAAUGAAUUUUUAGACUAGUUAUCUGUGAAUGAAGGCAAACAACACUUGCAAAGUAGUGGCUUGAGUGACUGGGAGAAUAGUUUGGAGCUGAGCUGGUUGGAAAACCCCUUAGCUUCUUUUAAAAUCAAUUUCAAUAGUUCCAUAUUGGCCAUUCUUGGAGGUCUUUAAACUAUGGCUUCAAUUCUAGUCUGUGGGCCUCUACUCAAUUAACCCAAACUAUUAAGGGGACCUAAUUACAAAUGUUCUUUCCAAUGUUUAUGAAGAAGACUUUUGGGAUACUGUUCUGGGAUUUGCUAUUUGCUACAUUUGGGUGCUGCAAAGUGUCAAAGAAUUGUCAAUCAAAGAAUGUCCACAGUUGUCAGAAAGAUGUAAAAAGGAGACAGAAAUCCAGUGUGGCCUCACAUUGCUCUCAUCCUGACUAUUUAUAUUGAUGGCCAACAGUUCAAUGAUGAUCAUUCAAUAUAGGUAAUCAUAUUUUUCUUCACCUCUGUUUAUAUUUUCUCCCUUUAUCUGAUAAUUCCUUCUUUUUUUUAUUUUUCUUCUUGGAUUUGAAUGAUUCAUACUUUGUUUUAUACAUGUAAUCCAAGUUGGUACACUGAUUCGCCUAUAAUUUGUACAGAUAGCAUACUUGUUGUGAAAGCAUUAAAUUUUAUACUCUUGUACAGAUAAACGUACUUAAGUUACCUAAUUAUUCUGAUUUUUUAUUUUGUUAUAUCAAUUCCUAACUUCUAUGGUUUAACAAAAGUAUAAAAUGGAGUUAUGGACAGAUUAUUGUCAGUUGUUUCAAUUCCCCUGUUUUUAUUCAUUGAUUAAUGCAAAAUAUCUCUUAUACAAUGAGGCAACAUUGGAUGUUUGUGUCGUAUAUUUUCAGAAGCAAAACCAAAAUUAAAUGGAAAAGGAUCGCAAGACAGAUUACUUCUAUCACAGAGAUUCUAAGUAAUUGAAACAUUGGUGAAAUAAGCUGAGAUGUGAGAGUGAGUAUCCCUGAAAAUUUACAGCUACAAGUUUGUUAGAGGGCCUAUCUCCAGUCAAGACUCCUGAGCUGGAAGCUAGUAAUAAGAGAAACUAAUGUGAAUGUCUGCUUGUACAUUUCCUGCUGUCUUUGUCGCGAUGAGGAGAUAUUGCUAUAGGUAAUAUUUUCGCCUCUUCUUCUUGAUGUUGGCACUUGCUUUUGUAAAGAAUAUAUUAACAUCAGUUCUUUCUUUUUUGUUUGUGUUUAUAAUGGGAUGAUGACAUUUUUUCAUUGUUUGAAGCAGGACGAUUUCAUCUUGCUAAUUUCCUUCCAGAGCAGACAGUUGUUGAAUUCAAACCAAGAGAAAUAUCUAUUGGUAUAAUUUACCACUUAUUCAGUUUGUCUUACUAAUUUCAUUUGCUUUCUAUAAGGAAUCCAUUAACACCUAACUUCAUACUUCUUUUUGCAUGUCUUUAUUGGGAUUAUGGACUUUUCUUGAUAGUUUGAGAAAGAACAUACAGAUUUCAACUUGCCAAUGCCAUUGUGAAGUAUAGUUAAAUUUUACUCUCAACAGCAUCAUCACUAUCUAUGUGAGAGUUAAAUUUUGCUUUGAGUAUUUAAAUUCAAUAAAGGCUAACAGAUGAAAAUAAUUCAACAGCUUGACCUCUAGUUUCCUCUUUAGGUAACAAAGACUACACAACAUGCAACUCUUUCACCUUCUCUUAUCAAGAAGUGAGCCUUGAUCUAACGAUCUUGAAUUCAAGGUUAAUUGGCUUUUCAUUUACUGCUAUAUUAUAUAUGAGGAAUGUGCCAUGUAUAGAACCCUCAAUAUUUUUGCAUUGCUCUAACAUUUAAGAUUUUCAUUUUCCAUAUUAAAAGAAGAGAUGCCAAUGACUUGCCCGCCAACUCCCUUUCAGCCAUUUUUUAAAUGCAGGUAUUCUCAAAGCAUUAUCUAUUGCAUACAUGAUUCUAUAUGUUGAAGUUUCUUUAGUUUUUGUUCAUAUUUUUUGGCAUAUCUUUAUCCUCAAUGUUUCUUUAUAACAAUGGUUUUUUUGACUAGUUAGCUGUGAAUGGAGUCAACCAAUGCUUGCUAAGUAGUGGCUUGAGUGGUUGGGAGAAGUGCCUGGAGAGCUAAGCUGGUUGGAAAACCCCUUUGCUUCUUUCAAAAUCAAUGUGAAUGGUUCUAUCUUGGCCAUUCUUGGAGGUGUUUGAGCAUUGGCUUCAAUUCUAUUCUUUAGGCAUUUACUUAUUUAACCCAAACUGUUAAAGAAGACUUAAAUACAAAGGUUCUUUCAUAAUGUACAUAUGGAGAAGACUUUUGGGGGGUCUAAGUCUGAAAGACAUCAAGAAUUUAGAAGUUCUGCCAGAAGAGUUCCUACUGCCAUACUGCCAUACUGCCUUAAAUUAGAAUUGCUACUGCCUUAAAAGCAUUGUCCUUAGGCAAUUAUCUUGAUCUGAGGGCUUUGCCAGACUGGAUACUCAAUCUCACUUCCCCUAAAACACUUGAAAUUUAGAAGUGCCUUGAAUUACAGUACAUGCCAGAAGGGAUGCCUCGGCUUACAUCUGUACAAGAAUUUUAUGUUUACUACCAUAAUUUAAGGCUUUGCCAGACUGGAUACUCAAUCUCAGUUCCCUCAAAGACCUUUAUAUAUGUGAGUGCCUUUAUUCACCGUACUUGCAAGAAGGGAUGCAUAGCCUCACCUCUUUAGAACGAUUGAUGGUUGAAUAUUACCCUAAUCUGAUUUCUUCCACAUAUUCUCUCAAAGCACUUCUAAUUCGGGGGUGCUCUGAUUUAAGCUUCUAGAGAACGAGGCAUGGCUUUUCCACUUUAGAAGAAUUGAAUGUUCAAAAUUGCCCUAAUCUGAAGGAUUUACUGAAUCGCAUACCUUACAAGAUCACUUCCCUCAAAACACUUAAGAUUUGUAAGUGCCCUAAAUUACAAGACUUGCCAGAAAGGAUGGAUGGCCUUACCUCUUUACAAGUAUUGUCAAUCAGUGAAUGUCCCCAGUUGUCGGAAAGAUGUGCAAAGAAGACCGAAAUCUUGUGGCCUCGCAUUGCCCGCAUCCGUUCUAUUACAAUUGAUGGGUGACAGAUUCAAUGAUGAUCAUACAAUAUAGGUAACCACAUGUUUCUUCACCUCUAUUUAUAUUUUCUCCCUUUACUUGAUAAUUCUUCUUGUUUUCUUGCUGGAUUUGGAUGAUACGUAAUUCGUUGUAUGCAUGGAAUCCAAGUUGACUAUGCAAAAGUGGAUUUAAUCCAUUCUCUGCUACUUCUUUCUAAGUGGACUAACAAUAUUGAUUUCUUUUUUCCUUUCUUACUUUGAAUUUUAUUUUUGUUCAGUUAAAUAUUACUAAUAUGAAAUGUGACCAAAACUUGAUAUCCAAACUCUGCCAGUAUUUCACUGCAAUAGUGAACUUUUGCCUCGUUUCAAUCUCUCAUUCUCUAAUUGUAAUCCUAAAUUUGAAGCAUUCAGGAUCUCACUAGCUCUUGAUGGAACCCUUGUGUAGAUAGCAUGUUUAUAGCGAAGCAUUAAAAUUUUCCAUUUUAAUAGUAUUAAAAGGGACGCAUCAGCUUAUCUCUUUAGAAGUAUUGUUCAUAGAGAACUGUCCUAAUUUGAGGGCUUUGCCAGACUGGAUACUCAAUCUCACUUCCCUUACAAAACUUCAAAUUCAGAAGUGCCUUGAAUUACAAUACACGCCAGAAGGGACGCAUCAGCUUACCUCUUUAAAAGAAUUGUCCAUAAACAAUUGCCCUAAUCUGAGGGCUUUGUUUGACUGGAUGCUCAAUCUCACUUCUCUUUAAACACUUCGAAUUUGGGAGUGCUUUCAAUUACAUUAGAUGCCAGAAGGGACAUCUCGGCUUACAUCUUUAGAAGAAUUAUAUGUUUAUUGCCAUAAUUUGAGGGCUUUGCCAGACUAAAUACUCAAUCUCACUUCCUUCAAAGACCUUUAUAUAUGCGAGUACCUUCAAUCACCGUACUUGCAAGAAGGGAUGCAAAGCCUCACCUCUUUAGAACGAUUGAUGGUUCAAUAUUGUCCUAAGCUGAGUUCUUCCACACAUUCUCUCAAAGCACGUCUAAUUCGGGGGUGCCCUAAUUUAAGCACCUGGGGAAUGAGGCAUUGCUUCACCACUUUAGAAGUAUUGGAUGUUCAAAAUUGCCCUAGUUUGGGGAAAUUGCUAUAUCCCAUAGCUGACAUGAUCACUUCUUUCAAAACACUUAAGAUUUGUAAGUGCCCUGAAUUACAAGACUUGCCAGAAAAGAUGGAUGGUCUUGCCUCGUUACAAGUAUUGUCAAUCAAUGAAUGUCCCCAGUUGUCAAAAAGAUGUGAAAAGGAGACUGGAAUCCUGUGGCCUCGCAUUGCUUGCAUCCCUUCUAUUAUAAUUGAUGGGCGACAGAUUCAAUGGUGAUCAUACAAUAUUUAUAUAGGUAACCAUAUUUUUCUUCACUUCUAUUUAUAUUUUCUCCCUUUACUAGAUAAUUCUUUUUGUUUCUUGCUGGAUUUGGAUGAUACGUAAUUUGUUGUAUGCAUGUAAUCCAAGUCGACUAUGCACAAGUGGAUUUAAUCCAGACUCUGCUACUUCUUUCUAAGUGGACUAAUAAUAUUGAUUUCUUUUUUCUUUUCUUACUUUGAAUUUUAUUUUUGUUAAGUUAAAUAUUACUAAUAUGAAAUGUGACCAAAACUUGAUGUCAAAACUUUGCUAGUAUUUCAUUGCAAUUGGGAACUUUUUCCUUGUUUCAAUCUCUCAUUCUUCAAUUAUAAUCCUAAGAAUUAGGAUCUCACUAGCUCUAGCUGGAACCCUUGUGCAGAAAGCAUAUUUAUAGUCAAAGCAUUAAAUUUUGUACUCUUAUAUAGACAAAUUUAAAAAAAUUACAGCAGUAUGAAUGUACUCAAGUUAUCAAAUUAUUUUGAUUUUUCACUUUGUUAUAUCUAAAUGUCUCUUUUCAUCUUUUUCAAUGAUGUUAAUCUGUGUUUGGAGGAUAAUUGUUUAGGAUGACCAAAAGUUUGGGUUUUCUGUAAAAGGUUGUCAAAAGCUUUUUGUGCAAUGUUGAUGUAAUUGUUCAGUUAUCUUAUCAGAAGAGUUAGAAUGCCAAAAAGAUUCUUUAACUGUUUAGAUCAUAGACUUUUGAUCUGAUAAUAUCAAUAAAAUAAAAUGUUUUCAAAAAACAAAAAACAAAAACAUAACCAUAAAAUGGAGUUAUGGACUGAUUAUUGUCAGUUGUUUCCUUUCCCCUGUCUUUAUGCAUUGAUCAAUGCAAAAUCAUCUCUUAUACAAUGAGGCAACAUUGGAUGUUUGUGUCAUAUCUUCCAGAAGCAAAACCAAAAUUUAAUUUGAAACACUAGUGGAAUAAGCUGAGAUUUUAUAGGCACUUGCUUUUGUAAGGAAUAUGUGAACAUUAUUUCUUUCUUUUUUUCCAUGUGUUUAUGACAGGACGAUGACAUGUUUUCAUUGUUUGAAGCAGGAUGAUUUCAUCUUGCUAAUUUCCUUCCAGAGCAAACAGUUGUUAAAUUGAAACCAAGAGAAUUUCUAUUGGUAAAAUUUACCACUUAUUCGGUUUGUCUUACCAAUGUCAUAUGCUUUCUAUAAGGAAUCUAUUAACACCUAACUUCAUACUUCUUUUUGCAUGUCUUUAUUAGGAUUAUGGACUUUUUCUGAUAGUUUGAGAGAGAACAUACGGAUUUCAACAUGCCGAUGCCAUUGUGAAGUAGAGUACUAGAAUCGGUGGAUCGGAGGCUUUACUCUCAACAGUCUCAUCACUAUCUAUGUUACAGUUUGAUGGCAAUUCUAUGUGAGAGUUAAAUUUUGCUUUGAGUGUUCAAAUUCAAUAAAGACUAGCUGAUGAAAAUAAUUGAACAGCUUGACCUUUGGUUUCUUUUUAAGUAAAAUGACUGCAUAACAUGCAACUCUUUCACCUUCUUUUCUCAAGAAGUGAGCCUUGGUCUAGUGAUCUUGAAUUCAAGGUUAAUUGGCUUUUCAUUUAUUGCUAUGUUAUAUAUGAGGAAUGUGCUUUGUAUAGAAUCCUCAAUAUUUUUGCAUUGUUCUAACAUUUAAGAUUUUUCUUUUCCAUAGAAAAAGAAAAGAUGCCAAUGACUUGCCUGCCAACUCCCUUCCGGCCAUUUAUGAAAUGCAGGUAUUCUCAAAGCAUUGUCUAUUGCAUACAUGAUUCUAUAGGUUAAAGUUUCUUUAGUUUUUGUUCUUACUUUUUUGCAUAUCUUUAUCCUCAAUGCUUCUUCAUAACAAUGGGUUUUUUGACUAGUUAGCUAUGAAUGGAGUCAACCAACAAUUGCUAAGUAGUGGCUCGAGUGAUUGGGAGAACUGCCUGGAGAGCUGAGCUGGUUGGAAAACCCCUUUGCUUCUUUCAAAAUCAAUGUCAAAGUUCCAUCUUGGCCAUUCUUGGAGGUCUUUGAGCAGUGGCUUCAAUUCUAGUCUUUAGGCCUUUACUUAAUUAACCCAAACUGUUAAGGAGACCUAACCACAAAGGUUCUUUCAUAAUGUAGAUGUGGAAAAGACUUUUAGGAUACUAUUAUGGGAUUUAAUAUUUGCUACGUUUGGGUGCUGCAACUAUUGUAACCUCCUGCAUCAUAGUAAAAUCUCUUUUACCUUCGACCGUGGAUGUAGGUUAUUAAGCCGAACCACGUAAUUUCUCAUGUGUUUUAUUAUUUUAAUUUGUUUACUUGUUAUUUAUCAUCAAAUUCGAUUGGUUUCGCAUCUAUAUUUUUUACUAUAUUAUUCAUCAAAGGUAUUGCUUUUUUGACAAGAUAAUAUUAAAGAGUUGUCUUAAAAUCUCGUCAAUCCACCCGCAAUGAAUAUAGAUUAAGAUAAAUCAUGCAAAUUUUUUAUAUUUUUAUUUUACGCGAUUGUUUAUUUUUUUAUUUACCAUCAAAUUUGGGUUGCAUUGUUUCAGUAUUUAUAUUUUUCAAUACAACAUUGUAAAAGGUAUUGGUUUAUCCCAAAAUGUAUUAAGUGAAACUUUCAUAAAUGUUUCAAUUAUAAUUGAUUAAGAAAAGUUAUAAAUUUGAAGUUUCUCAUUUCCAAAAUGGAUUAAUUUUUCGAUAAAUGUCACUAAAACUUUGUAAUUGGUAUUAUUUAAAAAUAUUUCCUACCUAAAAUUUGCCAUUAAUUAUAAAUAUUUUGUUUUAAUAAAACAUGAAAAGUAAAUAAUACUCAAUCAUACUCUAUAUUAUAUAACUCGAGAUAAGCCAAUAAAUAUUUUGUUUUAAUAAAACAUGAAAAGUAAAUAAUACUCAAUCAUACUCUAUAUUAUAUAACUCGACAUAAGCCAAGGAUCCAUAAAUAUAAUUUUAUAUAAACAGUAAUUUAUUAGCACAGCAAUAAAAACAUAUAGAAACAGUAAUUCAUCCCUUCAAGCAAGGAUCUCCCUUUCUUUCAAAAUUUUUAUGGAUCUAAGCAUUUGAUAGAAAAAGAAAAAGCUAGCUGUAUUUGGAUGUACUGGAAAAUGAAAACCAUUACCUACUGCAGCCUUGCUAUGAUUUUAUUUCUAUUCAUAUCAAAAUGUAUCUGCUGCCUUGAUCUUCUGAAUGGUAGCAAAAUGAGUUUUAAAGCCUUUGGCUAGGACAUCAUCAUCAUUGCCAGUGGCAAAAACAGUGGAUGGAAUAGAAACAGUUCCAACAUUUGCACUGCCAAAGGCAGAAACAGCCAUGGCAGGUUGAUCAGAGCUAGGAUUGUGUUGGUAACGAACCAGUCCUUUCGGAAACAAAACUAGAAAUAAACUGAGAAAUCCCUUUAUUGUUAGUGUCGCUCUGCCAAAAUUAGAAAUAAUCACAGUUAAAGGUGCUUCUAAACUAGAGCAACUAUUUGGGGUUGGAGAGAAAUAAGACUGAAGAUCCAUGAAAUGUUUGGUCCCUUGUCUUGUGCUUACGUCCUCGCAAGUCCCAUCCUUUGCCAUAACACUUCGUGGAAAGCCAACCAGCAUCCUUAACAGAGCAUUAGAAAGAGAAUUAUUCAAAACACUUCUUCCAUGAGAAUACUGUCUCUAUUAAUGGUGGUGAAUGCCUUGCUAUCCAACUACUAUAAAGUAAAAGUAGUGGACUAAUGGAGAUGGAGAUUCCAUAAUAAAGUGUGUUAUCUCCAGAUUUUCCAUUUUAUAAUUUUUUUGAGCUUAGCACACGGGCAAAGGAGGAGAUUAAAGAGACGAGGAGGUAAUGUUUCCUCCCCUUCUUGUCGUAGGCACUUGCUUUUGUAAGGAAUAUAUUAACAUCAUCUCUUUCUUUUUUCUACGUGUUUGUAACGGUAUGAUGACAUUUUUUUCAUUGUUUGAAGGAGGACGAUUUGAUCUUUCUAAUUUCCUUCCAUGUCAGAACAGUUGUUGAAUCGAAACCAAAAAGAAAUUUCUAUUGUAAAAUCUAUCACUUCUUCGGUUUGCCUCUCCAAUUUCAUUUGCUUUUUAUGGGGAAACCAUUAACGCCCAACUUCGUACUUCUUUUUGCAUGUGUUUUAUUGGGAUUACGGACUUUUUCUGAUAGUUUGAGAGAGUACGUGCGGAUUUCAACUUGCCAAUGCCAUUGUGGAUAAGAGUACUAGAAUCGAUGGAUUGGAAGCUUUACUCUCUAGAGUGUCAUCACUAUCUAUGUUGUAGUAAGAUGGUAAUUCUAUGUGAGAGUUAAAUUUUGCUUUGAGUAUUUGAAUUCAAUAAAGUCUAGCAUGCUAAUCUUUCACCUUUUCUUCCCAAGAAGUGAGCCUUAGUCUAUCGAUCUCGAAUUCAUGGUAAAUUGUCUUUCCCAUUUUUUUCCUAAGCAAUUGCCUUUCCAUUUGUUGCCCCCUAUUAUAUAUGAGGAAUUUCCUAUGUAUAGAAUCUUCAAAAUUAUUUCAUUGCUCUAACAUUUAAGAUUUCAUUUUCCAUAGAAAAAGAAGAGGUGCCAAUAACUUGCUCCCCAACUCCCUCUUGGGCCAUUCUAGAAAUGCGGCUUCUCAAAGCAUAUCUAUUGCAUACAUGAUGAAUAUAGAUUUAUAGUGUCUUUAGUUUUUGUUCUUAAUGUUUUGCAUAUCUUUUUCCUCAAUGCUUCCUUAUAACAAUGGUUUUUUUGACUAGUUAUCUGUGAAUGGAGGCAAACAAUACUUUCUAAGAAGUGGCUCGAGUCAUUGGGAGAAGUGCCUGGAGUUGAGCUAGUAGGAAAACCACUUUGCUUCUUUCAAAAUCAUGUCAAUGGUUCCAUCUUGGCCAUUCUUGGAGUCCUUUGGGCAGUGGUUUCAAUUCUAGUCUUUAGUCUUUUACUUAAUUAACCCAAACUGUUAAGGGGACCUAAAUACAAAGGUUCUUUCAUAAUGUACAUGGAGAAGACUUUUGGCAUACUGUUCUAGGAUUUACUGUUUGCCACAUAUGGGUGCUGCAACUACUACAACCUCAUCUUCCUACAUCUUAAUAAAAUCUCUUCUACUCUUUAUCUCCAUGGAGGUAAGCAACUAACUCGAAUCGCGUAAGUUCUUGUGUAUUUGAUUAUGUUGGAUCGUUUGUUUGCUAGUUAUCAUCAAAUUUGGUUUUCUUUGAUAUUUUAUAAUUUUUACUAAGUUAUUUGUCAAAAGUAUAACUUUUAGGUAGAACCUAUUUUCAUAUUUCAGCCAACAAAUAUUCUAAAAUAACCUAUCAAAUUUACCAUAUUAAAUAAUAUUUUCAAUCAAUAUAAAUCUUAUAUUGAAAUAGUAUCUUGACAAGUAUUUUUAAAACAAUAGUUAAUUAAAAUAUAUUAUUUAUUUAUUUAUUUGGAAGAUAAAAUUCUAAUUGUUAGUAUUUCAAUCUUAAUUCAAUCCAAAACUUUGGCACCUUCACUCAUUGUUUUCUAGUAGCUAGAUUUCCAAGUCUAAGAUUAAAUAUGAGCACACACCUUUGCAAUUUGCAUUGCACAUUCCUACCAAAAGUUAAUUAGUUUAUGUAUAAACUAAAAUGAUCCAAUUCGUUAUUUAGAAUAUUAUACGUAGACACCCUAUUUUGUCUGAGGUGCCUCACCAAAAUAAGAAAAUAAUAAUAAAAAAUUAAAAAAGAAAAAGAUAAUGAGAAAGAUAAAGGAAAAAAAAUAAUAUUAAUUUUUUCUUUGAAAACAAAAAAAAAUAGAAAUAAAUAAGAUUAAGNUGAAAAUAAUAAGAUUAAGAUUCUAAUCCAACAAUUUUCAAAUUUUGAUUUUUCUUUUAAAAGGGGAAUGAAAUCCUAAUCCAAAAAUGGGUAUAAAUACCCAUUCAUAAAUAAUAGUAAUAACAAAAAUAAUAAAAAUAAUAAUAAGAUGAAAUAAAUAAAAAGUAUAAGUAAAAUAAUUAAAUUCUCCGAUGAUGAAAUUUUGAGAAGAUUAUAAGUAAUAAUUUCAAGAAAAUUUCCAGGUAAGGGAUUUUUCUCAAAUUCUGCCAUAAGUAUUAUAGUAUUCGAGAAAUAUUUCAAUAUCAAAAUAUUUUAUUUGUUUUAAAAUAAUAAAAUAAAAUGAUCAAAAUAUAAAAAAAUUAAGGAAAAUAAGAUUGGAUACCAAAUUUAAAGAUUAUUUAUCAAGGUUAAAAAGGAUAAUACAUGAUUAAAUAACUACCAUGUAGUGGGAGUUGUGAGGGUACUAACACCUUCCUCACAUGUAACUGUAGUUCCGCAUCUGACGUGUUUCGUAAAUUGGGACUUAUUUUUUAAAAUGAGUCUAAGUCAAGUUUAAGACCUCAUUAAAAAGUAUAGAUUCAUCUAGAUGACCAAUUACAUUUAAACAAAAAUAAAAAAGAUUGGUGAUGACUCCUCUUCCAUGUGGAACGGUUGAGUUUAUAAACUCAUAUGUUAUGACAUUAUAUACAUUUUUUUAAUUUAUCAAAAACUUAUUUUGUUUUAUUCAAACACGCUUUUUUUAAAAAAAAUAGAAAAAGUUACAAGCAAAUAGAGUCUUAUAAAUUCGUUUAUGACUAAGAAGAUAUAAAAAUCAAUCUAGCUAUAUAUGUUAAUUGAUUAUUGUUCAAUACCUACUUGGUGAUCACUAAAAGUUCCGUUCCCAGUAGAAAAAGGACAAAUUUCCUUGGGAAUUAAGUUCAAAUUCCAAUUUCUUGGACCCUUUAGAAAAUCAAUAUUGGUCAGUAGCCUUUGUCUAUAUGUUUCUUGACUGAGAAAUCAAUUCAUGAUUAGCAGAAAGUAGGGAAAUUCCCUAUGUGUUUUUAGCUCAAGAGAAGGCACAAAUUGCUGUUAGUUUCCAGCUAUUUCGAUGUUAUCAUUUACAAAGAGAAGUUCAACAUCAUAUUCUAUAUGAUAAAAUUCCAUCGGCAACAAGAACAUUGUACUUUCCAUUAGCCCCUCCUGUUUCAUGGCCUGUUUUACGUGGAUAACUAUGCUAUAAUUAAGAAUUUCUCACUAAUCCAAACUUGAUUCAAUCUGAUUUGAUUUAAAAAACUCGACUACUUAAAAUGGUGUAGACUUGAAAUUAUCUGAAUAUACUUCUAACUCGAAUGAUUCCAAAAAAAUUAACUCGAAAGAAAUGUAUUUUUUUCCCUAACAUCAUUUUUCAUAUUUAAUAUAGUAUAUCAUAUUUAAGGUUAUUGGAUUAAUUAACAACCCUGAUCACAAUUGGUGACUAGUCUCAUCGUAUUAUAGCUGGUUAUAAUAAAAGAAAAGAGAAAUAUAUUUGUUUAUUAAUUAGUAGGGAAAUCUUUGAGCCAAGUUGCGAAUGUAUUUCCAUUUAUCCUAUACCUACUCGCAUUAAUUUCUCGUCAUAGAGUUUCCACUUAAGCAUCUUCUUCUAUCAUCUCUAUUAUCCCAAGAGUUUGUUUGAUUUCUGCCUUGCUCUUCUUUUAACUCAACAAAGCCUACUCUUCCAUUUUAUUUUCCUUCGUUUUCCCACUUUUCUUUUAACUCAAAGAACAAAAGCAUCUCUUUCAUUUAACUCUGAAAAGAAAAAGAAAAACCAGUACUUGAUCUCUUAAAUUACUUUUGUCUGAUCCUUGUUAGCUUCCUUAAAUUGAGGUAAGUUUCAAUAAAACAUAUUAUAUUCGUCAUAUAUAAUUUUUUUUAUAUGCUCAAUUUCUCUUAUCAUUUAUGAAUUUGACUUCUUAUUUUUUAAGUUGGCAAAUAAAAUUAAUUAAUUUCUACUUUGCUUCUUAAUCCUAUGAAUAUUUAACAAUACACUAUGUGUGGCAUUUUAGUACGAAAUCAUUUUAAUGUUAUGACUUUAAAAUAUGUAAAAAUAUAUCAAUAAGCAUAUGUUGAAAUUUCAUUCUGAAUUUUUUAAUUUAUUAUAAAUUUUCAUAUUUUUUCCAUUUUUAUCGUCAUUUAUGGAUAUUUUGGGAAAAUAUUUUAUAGAAUGAUGAUAGUAUGCUUUUCCUUUAAUAUGAAAAUAUAUUUUUAAUUAUCAUACAUGUGACCAGUGACAAGAAUUUCUACAUCUGCAGCAUUUUCAAUUUCCAAGUUGGUUGGUCAACUAUCCGUUCUCUUGUGAUCAAUAUUUUCAUAAAGGUAUAGCUUCAAAAAUAAGGUACUUUGAAACAUUUGGUAAUUGUUUUUGUCUUUCUGCAAAACUUUUUACUCGUCGAAAUUAAUACUAGGUAGAUUUUUAUUUUAUGAAGGUUCGAAGUGAUCUUUUAUUAGAAUAUAUAACAUGUCUUGAUAAUUUAAGAUUUUGGAGUUUGAGAUAUUAAUGUUACUUGUUAAUAACAGUAAUUUUUUAUAAAAAAAUAAAGAAAAGAAAAAAAGGGGUGAGGCCAAUAGUUUCAUAAGGUAAAAGAUUUGGGCUCUUGUAUUCCGCUAAGGAUUUGAAAUUGAAUCACAAAAAGAACUUAUAUUUGAUGUACUAACCGCUCAUAGUUUUCAUUAAUAAUAUACAUAAAAAUUAGUUUCAAUCUAUUUUAAUCAAAUAUUUAAUGUACGGUAAGGAUUCGAAUAGUAAUUUAGAAAUUUAAUCAAAUACUUAUAAGAUUCAGGUUAAGGUAUUUCCAAAAUAAAAGAUACUUUACUUGUUGACAUCCUUACUCAUGUAAUUUAAAAAGAGGUUAAAAAUCGAUAAGUUAAGGCAUAAACCUUUGAAAUCCUUUUUGAUCAUUUUAUAAAUUUCAUAGAUAAAGAAUAUGGGAAAAUGUAUAUUAAUUUCUUUAAGACUAAGAUAUAAAACUUUCUUAUAGGCAAAUGUCAUAAAACUAAUUUUUAUGUAUAUUCAAAAGUCAUGCUUAUAGUUUUUAUACACUGUCAGUUUGCCAAAUGAUACUAUGUCAUUAACAAACAAAUAUAAAAAUUUAAGUUUUUUAAAAUAAAUAUUAGAAGAAAUUUAAUAACUAAUUAAAGAAAUAUCAUGGAGGCAGAAUCAAAUAAAAAUAUAAAUUAAUGCAAUGGUAGUCCAUUUUUGGUGCUUCAAUUUUUGUCCCUGAUCUGCUGAACACACAAUCAAAAACAUCCUCCAAUAGCUAGAUUUUCAAGUCCACUAAGUCUUUCAUUAUCAUGUUAGUUUGCUUAAAUUCCCUUGUCAUCUGCUUUAGAUUUAUUUCAACCAAUUGGUAGAUCCAUGGCGGAAUCAAUUUUAUACGGGGCGGUGAGUAACAUCUCGUCCAAGUUGGUGUUAAGUGCUGGACGAGAACUUGGCUUGGUUUUCGGGCUGAAAAAGGAGCUAGAAAAGCUUCGAGGGACUCUCAGCACCAUAAACGCUGUCCUCCUUGAUGCUGAGGAGAAGCAGGAGAGCAGCCAUUCCAUGAAGAACUGGAUAAGUCGGCUGGAAGACAUUGUCUACGAUGCAGACGACCUACUAGACAGAUUCGACUAUGCAAUCUUGCGCCAGAAGGUGCUUGCUCAGAGACAGGUACGCAAGUUCUUUUCAUCCUCGAACCCUCUAGCAUUUGGUCUUAAGAUGGGUCCUAGAAUUAAAGAGAUUACAGAGAGGCUAGACUCAGUUGCAGCAGAUAUAUCUAAGUUUAACUUGAGUCCGAGAGCUGUAACAGAUAUGAAAGCUAAGCAUACUGACAGGACGACUGCCUCAAAGGUGAGACCAGAAAUGAUAGGGAACGAGAAAGAUAAAGAGCACAUUAUAGAAUUAUUGUUUCGAGAGCAAAAUGAUCGUCACGGUGACAACAUAUUCAAUAUUGUUGCCAGUGUUGGGUUUGGAGGUUUGGGAAAGACCACACUCGCUCAGUUGGUGUAUAAUGAAGCAGAAGUAGAAAACUUCUUCAAUCCAUGUAUAUAUGGGUGUGUGUUUCUGAAGAAUUUGAUCUCUAUAUAAUUUUUAAGAAAACCUUAGAGUCGCUUGGAAAUAGUAAAAUGGAUGACUUGGAUCUAGAUAUUUACUUGAAGAAGCUUGAAGAAAAUAUGAGAGGGAAGAGAUAUUUACUUGUGUUGGAUGAUGUACGGAAUCAAAACAAUUUAAAGUGGGAUAAUUUGUCAAAGCUUCUGGUGUUUGGUGCUCCAGGAAGCAAAAUUCAUAUGACAGCUUGUAGUAAGAAAGUUGCAUUUACUAUGGGGGUGAACCAUCCUUACCUUUUAGAAUGUCUCAAUGAGGAUCAAUCUUGUGCUGUAUUUAGAAAAGUGGCAUUGCAGGACGAUGUCAAAUUGAUCCAAAGCUUAGAGAAAUUGGACUAGAUGUUGCAUGAAGAUGCAAAGGACUUCCUCUUGCAAACAAAUGUUUGGGAGGUUUGAUGAGACAAAAGCUUAAUGCAAAGUACUGGUUGUCUGUCCAAGAAAAUGAAAUCUGGAAGUUAAUUGAAAAAAAUGACAGUGUUAUCCCAGUGUUAAGAUUGAAUUGCAUUCACUUAACAAGUCAUUUAAAACAAUGCUUUGCCUUUUGUUCGCUUUUCCCAAAAGACUCCAAGAUAUACAAAGAUGAGUUGAUCCAUUCAUGGCUAGCACAGGGUUGCAUUCAAUUACAAGAGGGAAAUUCAAUUAUAGAAGAUAUUGGUGAUGAAUACUUUAAUGAUUUGUUAUCCAUGUCAUUUUUUCAAGAGGAUAAAGAUUAUAUAGGGAGUAUUUUUGGUGAAAUGCAUGAUCUUAUCCAUGAUCUUGCAAAAUUAAUUGCAGGUCAUCAUUUUCAUUGGAUGAAAGAUGAAAACGAAAAAAUUUCAAAAGGAGUUUGUCACGUGUCAGUAGAAAUAAAUUUCAAAAAAGCUGCUUUAACUUUGUCAAAAAUAAAAGGGUUAAGGACUAAGUUUUUACAGAGACAUAUUUUCUAUGAAGUAUCCAUUCAAAAUGAAAUUUUUUUGAGGUUUAAUUGUUUACUUACAUUGAAUUUGAGUAGGAUGGGCAUUGUCGUUUUGUCAAAUUCAAUUGGUGAAUUGAAGCACUUGAGAUACCUUAAUCUUUCAGGUAAUGAGAAGAUGGAAGUGCUCCCAGAUACAAUAGCCAAAUUGCACAAUUUGCAAACUCUAUUACUCUUAUAUUGUGGGAGACUUAGAGAGUUACCAAGGGAUAUAGGACAAUGAGUAGCUUGGAAUAUCUAAAUAUUGAUGGUUGCAAAGGCCUGACAUGCAUGCCAAAAGGUUUAGGGGAAUUGACUUCGGUACAGAGAUUGGACAGAUUUAUUGUGAACAGAGUUGAAAAGAGUUUCUCAAAUGCAGCCAUGUUGAAUGAGUUGAGGGACCUAAAUUACCUUGGAAACUGCUUAGGAAUUGAACAAUUGAACUUGGUAGAAUUAGAAUCUAUGAAGGCAAUUUUAAAGAAAAAGAAACGACUUCAGUCUUUCCGAUUAUACUGGAGAUCCUUGGAGUGGAGUGCUUCCUCUUCAGAAAGAGUGGACAGUGAAAAGGAUGAGUCGUUGUUAAAUAUUCUUGAGCCACACCCGAAUUUGAAAGGGCUGAAGGUAUCCGGUUAUUGAGGAGCAAGGUUUUCGAGUUGGCUAUCUUCAUUGACUAAUUUAGUCGAACUUGAACAAUAAGUAGAAGAACAAGAGUGAAAUUCCUCUGUUUUUUGUCUUUAUGUUUGUAAUUUAAAAUAUUUAGUGAGUAAGUUGUGCAAAUAUGUUAUGCAGCAAUCAAUUCAUGGGAAAUUAAACCUUAAUUUCCCUGUACAAACCAGGCAGAUUUUUAUUUUGUAAAGGUUCCAAGCGAUUUAUUGAAAUAUUGAGAGUUUGAUUUAUUGAGAUAUUGAAAUAUCAUUAUUUUUUUAAUAACGACAGUCUACCAUUCGACUCAAUAGUUGUUGUAUGAUCUUUUUGCUCAAAAAAGAAAAAAAAACUAAUAAUGCUUGCCUAUUUUUCCCUAGCCUCAUAACAAGAAAAUAUAAAAAACUAAUAAUAGAUGUACUUUAUGUCACUUGGUUGAAAUAAUUUGUUGUGGAGGCACUUGAAAAAAGUCAGAAUGAUAGAGCGGAAGGUUUGAUCACAAAGGAAGAAAUAGUUGAUAAUCAAUUCGCCUGCAACAAUCUAGUUUGGCGUCGUGGUUAACGGGAAGACACGCAACCUCUACAUAUAAGGUGGACGAAACAGAGGAUAAUGUUACAUAAUUAUUGAACAAAUGAGGAUAAUGUGAAAUUUAGCAGCUGGUUUGUUUGAGUGAAAUUGAACAGGUCUAAGAAAACAUGGUUUUUCUGUGUGUUAAGUCGAUUUGCAGUUAGUUGGGGCUGGGAUUAUUGAAAGAAUCAAUUUAGUGUUGGUUACUGGUUACGGAUAUAAAAUGAAAAGUAUUCUCAUUUCUGAAUUUUACUAGCUGCUGCUGCUGCUACAUGUUAGCAAAAUAACAAGUAUUCUCGUUUCUUUCUUUCAUCUUUCAUCUACUUUAAUUGUUUUUGGCUGGUUCAUUCUCAUUGAAUAUAAAAUCAAAUUGAAUAUAAAAAGAGAUUGCAUUUCCAUAGACAAAAGGUGAACCAUGACUUGGGCCAGGCAUUGUACUGCUAGCUGCUUAGUCCCUCGCAUACUUUCUUCCAAGCGAGCUGCUGAUUUUUCGUAAGGAAAAAAGAAUAACUACUUGAAGAAAUGAAGGUUUAUUAAGGGGAUAAUGAUGUUCUUCAUCUGCUGAGCUUUUGUUUCAUACGGAAGUUGUCGAAUUAAUGAAAGGACCAACAUAUAACUUUACUUGUGAAUUUCUCAUGAUAACAACGUUUUGGAAGAGUCAAAUAUAUACAAAAAGAAUUAGCCCCAUUAGUUCAAGGUUUACGAUAAGUGCUUCUUUUUCUUGAAAAAGAGAAAAGAUUACUGAUCUUGUUGGUUCAACGUUUUACAAAACCAUAUAUAGAUUUCCAGUGUUUCUCAUAUUCUUUUUCACAUCUUUACAAUUCUGUGAAACUUUUACAAAAAAUUUGGAUUUAAAAAAAAUUAUCUCUUGCAUAAGAUCAUAUAAAGAUUGCGUCUCUAUCUUAAUUUUGAAAGUUAAGACCCACUCCAUAUCUAUAAAACCAUAUUACUUUGUCACUAUGAAUUCCAACCCAUUAAAAACUCUUAAUCAUUAAGUAUAUUUGCCCAUUAAAUAAACUUAAUCAUCAAAUAAUUUUUGACUAAUGAAAUUUUACCGAUUCCAAAUUAAAAUUUGAAUAAAAUAUCUAACACAUUCACAUGCAAUUGUCCCUAGUAGUAAACAAAAAUCCUCAAAUCUGUAAACAUUAUACAAUAACGUUGAUAGCACAUGCUGCCAAAGAGCUUUUAGCUAGAGGGAGCAAUAAACAUUGGAGUCUCGAGCACCACCCACAACCAAGGAAGAUAAAAACAAGGGGGACAGACCAACUACUGAAAAGCCAACUGAAAAACAAUAAACAAAACAAAUUAGCUUUCACAAUGUAUAGCAGUAGCUUUCGCAUAUCAAAGAAAAGAGAAUCUUACAUGGAGUGUGCGAGUCAAGUUGCUAAUAUCGUUCCAUUGUUCGUAAUAUGAAUAUUAGUGUUCCAAAUUUCCUAUACCUACUCUUACUACUUUGUCAUCAUAGAGUUUCUGAAGGGAUCUCUUGCUGUCAAUAGUUUAGCCAACUACUGUUAUGUUGCUUUCAAUUGCACUUUUAAUUAAAAGAACAAGAGUGGAAUUCCUCUGUACCUUAAUUUUUAAUUUUGUAUUUUAAAUCCUCAGUGAAUAAGUUGUACAAAUGUGUUAUGCAGGAAUAAAGACAUGGAAAAUUAAACUUCAAUGUACAAACCAGACAAAUUUUUAUUUUAUGGAGGUUCCCAACAAUUUAUUGAAAUAUUGAGAGUUCGAUUGCUACUCCACUAUAAGAUCUAUAAACUUAGCAAUAGCAUCAUUUUCUUUCCAUGCACAUUUGAUUUGCGAUCAUUACCAAACAAGCUUCCCAAGCAUGCAUGAACGAUAUCGAUCUUCUUAGAAUCACUCAUUCGAUAAACAAAAUACUAUAAUCUGAACUGAAACUUUCCUUUUUUUUUCUUUUUUGUUGAUCAAGCUAAAGUGAAUUUGAAGUUAUAGGCAAUUUAGAUGCAGUCUAGUCAUGCUCUUUUCUUUCAAGUUGUGGCAAUUAAGUAAACAGAACUACAGAUACUCCAAGCAAUGAAACCAAAUAAGCAGAAAAGAUACCAUGCAAUGUCUCCUGAUAGUCAAUUCAUUCAUAUCAACUCUACUAAACAUUUUACUGCCACAAUUCAACAUAUAUGUAUAUAUAUAUAUAUAAAGCAUGUAAUUAAGCACAAAAUGCUGUGAGGAGAAUCAACAAAUCUUCAUUACUAAUGCACAUAAUGAUCAAUGUCCCUCAAAUGUAUAAACAUGAGACUAUUUUCAGGAUUAUUAUUCUAUACAACAACGGUCGGAUUUUAACUCUGGCCAUUAAAUAUAAAUUUUUCUUUUGAAAGAAAGUUUUGGAAGUUUUGGAAGAUCAAAAGGUAUAUAAAAAUUGCUCCCACUAGUUCAAGUAUUACAAUAAAUGCUCUAUUUCCUUAAAGCAAAAUAAAUAAAUUACUCCUGUUGGCUCAAUGUAAAUCUUAAAGCAAUAACAAUAUCUUAUUACUUCGUAUAACUCGAGUCACAUGAGCUUAAAGACAAAGUCCAAAUACCAAGGUAAUGUAUUUCUAAAAAAUAGAGAGAAAAACCCCUUCUUUUUUAACUAUUAGAUAUAUCUACCCUUUAAAUAAACUUAACCUUCUAAUAAUUUUUAACGAAUAAAAUUUUAGCAAUUUUCAGUUAAAAUUUAGAUAAAAUAUUUAUCACAUUCACAGGCAAUUGUCCCUAGUAAACAAAUAUCCUCAUAUCUAUAAAAAUUAUAUGCAAUGUUGAUAGCACAUGCUGGCCACAGUGCUUUUAGAGGGAGCAUUUAACUUUUGUCUCGAGCACCACCCACAUCCAAGGAAGAAAACCGUAAAUAAAACAAACUUUCUCAACGUAUAGCAUUAGCUUUCGCAUUGUAGCUGGAUUAUCAAAGAAAAGUGACUCUUAAAUGGGAACUGUGAGACAAGUUACCAAUAUUUUUCCAUUAUUCCUAAUUUGAAUAUUAGUGUUCCAAAUUUCCUGUACCUACUCUUACUACAUUAUCGUCAUAGAGUUUCCAAAGGGAUCUUAUGCUUUCAAUAGUUUAGCCAAUUAAUUUUUAUGUUGCUCUACCCCAACUGAAUUUGCUUAUGCUAUGAGAGUCUAUUGUGAUCUAAGCAAGAGACUCGAAAUGACGUUACGAUUGUGAGGCUAAUAAAUUUUCUUUUUUAAAAAAAAUUAAAGUUAUGUUGUUCUCUAUUACAAGUAAUGCUUAACUGCAAAGGAAUCAUCAUUAAAUGAGGAUCAAGUGUUUAUUCUUAAGAACAUUUACAAAAUAAUAAUAGUAAUUUUUACUUACAAAGAGUCUCAAAUGUUUUCUUAUAAACCAAUCAAGUUGAUGAUAAAUAAAUGCUGAAAAUAAUUGAAAAAUGACAAAAGAAGGGGAUCAAUAAUUCAAAAGUGCAUCAAUAAUUCCAUGUCCCAGUUGCAUAGAGUACAAAGAAAAAAAAUUAAAGGUGUGAAUUUAAUUACCUUUUGAAUAAUGGUAAAUUUUGUUUGGGGAAAAUUUGUACUUCAUUAAUUGAAGUAAUUUAAUUUCUUUAAAUCUUAUGGAGAAGACAUUUUGAUGUUUAAGAUCACAAACAUGAAGCCAAUUUUACAUUAGACAGAAUUUCCUUUAAUAAAAUAUUUCCAUCCUUUUUUUGUCUUUGAGAGAGAAUUAGUCUAUAAUAGUGCUUCAAUGACAUUAAGCUCUCCAUUAAUGGAGACGGCAAUAUUUUAUUCAAUUCAAACAUGAAUCAGAAAACUUUUGAAAAGCUCAGAGAAUUUCCCUUUUACUUUACUAAAGUUGAUUUCCACAUUAGACUUAAUGCUUUAAAGGCAAAAACCAAGAAAAGUCCCAAUUCCACAUUGAUGUUACUUUGUUAACUUUAAAAAAGAGACAAUCAAUUAGAUGACAAAUGACCAAAGUUUUUCCCAUCACAAGGAAAAAACAAUUGACAGCACUUUCUUCAACAUUUUUUAGCUUAGUUUUUCUCAAAGCUGGUCAAUUUUUUAAUUGAAAUUUCUCCUUGAGAAUGCCAAGUCCUUGUUGCAACUUUUCUUGAAAAAAGAAAAUAAAAUGAUUCCAUGUCCUCGUCAUAGAGUUUCCAGUUGAGCAUCGUCUUCUAUCAUCUCUACUAUCCCAAGAGUUUGUUUGAUCUCUGCCUUGCUCUUCUUUUAACUCAACAAAACCUACUCUUCCAUUUUAUUUUCCUUCAUUUUCCCACUUUUCUUUUAACUCAAAGAACAAAAGCAUCUCGGUUGUCUAACUCUGCAAAAAAAAAAAAAAAAGAACAGUUCUCUUAAAUUGCUUUUGUUUGAUCCUUGUUAACUACUUUUCCUUUCCUUAAUUUUGGUUUCCCCAUCUACGGAGUUGGUGUAGUAAUUUCAUCUCAAUUGAGGUAAGCUUCAAUAAAACAUAUUAUAUUCUCCAUAUUUAUUUUUCAUUUUCCCACUUUUCUUUUAACUCCAAGAAUAAAAACAUCUCUCUUGUUUAACCCUGCAAAAAAAAAAAAAACAGUUAAUCUCUUAAAUUACUUUCGUUCGAUCCUUCUUAGCUACUUUUUGUUUCCUUAAUUUUGGUUCCCGAUCUCCAGAGUUGGUAAAGUAAUUCCAUUUCAUUUGAGGUAAGCUUCAAUUAAACAUAUUAGAUUCUCCAUAUUUAAUUUUUUUAUAUACUCUAUUUCUCUUCUCAUUUAUGAAUUUGACUCCUUAUUUUUUAAGUUGGCAAAUAAAAUUAAUUAAUUUCUGCUUUACUUCUUAAUCCUAUGAAUAUUUAGUAGUAUACUAUGUGUAUCAUUUUAGUAUGAACUAGUUUUAAUAUUAUGACUUUAAAAUAUGUAAAUAUAUAUCAAUAAACCUAUGCUGAAAUUUCAUUCUAUAUUUUUUUAAUGUAUUAUAAAUUUCACAUUUUUUCCAUUUAUUACUGAUAAUUAUGGAUAUUUUGAGAAAGUAUUUUAUGAAAUGAUAAUGCUAUGCUUUUACUUUAAUAUGAAAAUACAUUUUUAAUUAAUAUACACAUGAUUCGUUUCUACAUAUGCAGCAUUUCAAUUUCCAAGUUGGUCAGUCAACAAUCCGUUCUCUUGUGAUCCACAUUUUCAUAAAGUACUUUGCAGACAUUUGGUAAUUGCUUUUGUCUCUACAAAACUUUUUAUUCAUGGAAAUUAGAACUGGGCAGAACUUUUUUGUGAAAAUUUUAAGUAAUUUAUUGAAAUAUUUUAAGAGCUUGAUUGCUACUCCAACCUACUAAUAAUCGGUUCUUCCUUGAAUUGAUGGAUUUAAUUAUUUAUCUCCCCUAAUAGCUAAAUUUUACAACAUAAUUAAUGACCGUACCUUUAAUCAAAAUAUAUAAUAUGUUGUCAUAAUUUAAGAUUUUGAAGUUUUAGAUAUUAUAAUAUUACUUGUUAAAUACAGUAAUUAUUGUUAAAUAAAUUUCACUGUCUUUCAUUAUCGUGUUACCUUGCUUGCAUUUCCCUGUUAUCUGAUUUAGAUUCAUUUCAACCAAGUGGUAGAUCCAUGGCGGAAGCAAUUCCAUACGGGACAAUCAGUAACAUCUUGUCCAAGUUGGUGUGGCUUGUUGGGGAAGAGCUUGGCUUGGCUUCCGUCUGGGACGAGGAGCUGGAGAAGCUUCUAGAGACUCUCAACACAAUAAACGCCGUCCUUCUUGAUGCUGAGGAGAAGCAGGAGAGUAACCGGGCCUUGAAGAACUGCAUAAGUCGGCUAGGAGAUGUUGUCUAUGAUGCAGACGACUUAUUGGAUGAAGUCGACUAUGAAAUCCAACACCAGAAGGUACAUGCUCGGGGAAAAGUAUCCGAGGUUCAUGUUUGGGAACAUGUACGCAAUUUCUUUUCACCCUCGAACCCUCUAGUCAUUGGUCUUAACAUGGGUCAUAGAAUUAAGGAGAUUAGAGGGAGGCUGGACGCAGUUGCAGCAGAUAUGUCUAAGUUUAACUUGAGGGAGAUAGUUGGAGAACUGGGUAAGAAAGCUAAGGAUACUGGCAGGGAGACUGCCUCAAAGGUGAGAUCGGAAUUAAUAAUAGGGAGAGAGAAAGAUAAAGAGCUUAUUAUAGAAUCAUUGUUGAAGAAGCAAAAAGAUGAUCAUGGUGACAUCAUCCCCAUUGUUGCCAUUGUUGGGUUUGGAGGUUUGGGAAAGACCUCGCUGGCCCAGUUGGUGUAUGUCGAUGCAAAAGUAAAAAGCUCUUUCGACCAACAGAUAUGGGUAUGUGUUUCUGAAGACUUUAAUAUAUGUAUGAUUUUUAAGGAAAUCUUGAAGUCUUUGGACAACACGGUCAAAGUGGAUAACUUGAAUCUAGAUCAAGUCCUAACAGAACUUGAAGAAAAAUUAAGAGGGAAGAGAUAUUUAUUGGUGUUGGAUGAUGUGUGGAAUGAAAACAAUUUAAAGUGGGAUGAUUUUUCAAAUUAUCUAGUCUGUUAUGGUGCUCCUGGAAGCAAAAUUCUUGUGACAACUCGUAGUAAGAUAGUUGCAUCAGCUAUGGGGAUACGCGAUUCUUACCUUCUAGAAGGUCUCAAUGAGGAUCAAUCUUGGGCUUUGUUUAAGCAGGUGGCAUUUAAAGGACAAGGCCAAAUCGAUACAGACCUUAGAGUAAUUGGAGAAGAUGUUGCACGAAGAUGCAAAGGAGUUCCUCUUGCUCUCAAAUGUUUGGGAGGAUUGAUGAGACAAAAGCCUAGUAAAAAUUAUUGGUCGUCUGUCCAAGAAAAUGGAAUCUGGAAGUCACUCGAAAAGGAUGGUAAUACUUCCCUGGUGUUAAGAUUGAGUUAUGAUCACUUACCAAGUCAUUUAAAACAAUGUUUUGUUUUUUGUUCGGUUUUCCCAAAAGACUUCAAGAUAUCUAAAGACAACUUGAUCCAAUCAUGGCGAGCACAAGGUUACAUUCAAUUAGAGGAAAAUGAGAAUAUACAAGACCUUGGUGAUGAAUACUUUAAUGAUUUGCUAUUAAGAUCAUUUUUUCAAGAGGAGGAGAAAGAUAUGUAUGGGAAUAUCAUCUGUUGUAAAAUGCAUGACCUUAUCCAUGAUCUUGCAUUAUCAUUAAAAGGUCGUCAUUUUCAUUGGAUGAAAGAUGAAAAAGAAAGAAUUUCAAAAGGAGUUCGACAUGUGUCAUUAGAAAACAAUUCCAAAGGAGUUGUUUUGACUUUGUUGGAAACAAAAGAGAUAAGAACUAUAUUUUUUCGGAUACACAUUUUUGAGGAUUUAUUUAUUCAAAAUGUAACUUUUUCAAGCUUCAAUUGUUUACGAAUGUUGAAUUUGAGUAAGAUGGGCAUUGUCACUUUGCCAGAUUCAAUUGGUGAAUUGAAGCACUUGAGAUAUCUUGAUCUUUCUGUUAAUAAGGAGAUGAAAGUGCUUCCAGAUGCAAUAACCAAAUUGCACCAUUUGCAAACUCUAUUACUAUAUCAUUGCAUCACUCUUGAAGAGUUACCAAGGGAUAUACAACACUUGAUUAGUUUGGAAUAUCUCAAGAUUGAUGAUUGCCAUGCCCUAAAGUACUUGCCAAAAGGGUUAGGGGAAUUGACUUCGUUACAAAGAUUGGACAGAUUUAUUCUGAACAGUGUUGAAGAAAGUUUCUCAACUGCAGCCACGUUGAAUGAGUUGAGGGACCUAGAUGACCUUGGAAACAGCUUAACAAUUGAACACUUAGAAAAGGUGAGGAAUGUGGAGUUAGAAUCGAAAGAGGCAUUAAAGAAAAAGAAACGGCUUCAUUCUUUGCAAUUGUGCUGGAGACCCUUGAACUGGCGGAGGACUUCCUCUUCAGAACGAGUGGGCAAUGAAAAGGAUGAGUCAUUGUUAAACAAUCUUGAGCCACACCUGAAUUUGAAGGGGCUGAAGUUAUCCGAUUAUGGCGGAGCAAGGUUUUCGAGUUGGCUAUCUUCAUUAACUAAUUUAGUCCAACUUGAAAUAAAACAUUUUUGUAAUUGCCAACAUCUACCACCCUUGGAUCAUCUUUCAUCUCUCAAAUCUCUUUCUCUUGAGUAUUCCAAUGUUUUAGAACACCUGCCACCCUUGGGUCAUCUUUCAUCUCUCGAGUCUCUUGAUCUUUGUGGGUUAGAUGUGUUAGAAUACGUGGCAGAUUCUUUCCCUUUGCCUUGUUCCACGUCAAGAGAAUCAUUCUUCCCGUGCCUUAAGAAACUUUCAAUCUGGCGCUGUCCCAAUCUCAAAGGAUGGUGGAAGACAAAGAAUGAGAACCAAGGAUCAAUCGCUGAGCUGCCUUGCUUUCCUUGCCUUUCCGAGUUAUAUAUCGGCAAGUGUCCAAACUUAACCUCCAUGCCGUUGUUUCCAUCUCUUGACCAAAGAUUCUCUUUGAAUGAUACUAGUGUAAGUCUUUUGCAACAAACAUUGGAGAUGAAGAUGACAUCAGAAGAAGCAUCAUCAUCAUUAGGGAGCGCUUGUCAUUCAUAUUCUUCAACUACCCUUCCUCUCUCCAAUUUGAAGCGUCUGAGUCUUGUUGACAUUAAGGAUUUAGAAGUUCUACCCUUCCUACAAAAUCUCACUUCUCUUGAGUACUUAUUGUUGAGAGACUGCCCUAAAUUGGAAUUGCUACUGCCGGAAAAGAUGAGCUGCGUCGUCCCUAUAAAAAAAUUGUGUGUUUCGAAUUGCCCUAAUUUGAGGGCCUUGCCGGACUGGAGACUCAAUCUCACUUCUCUUAAAACAAUUAAAAUUGAGAAGUGUCUUAAAUUACGGCACAUUCCAGAAGGGACGUUUGAUCUUACAUCUUUAUAAGAAUUAUCUGUUCAGAAUCAUACUCAAUCUCACUUCCCUUGAAACACUAGGAAUUUGGGAGUGCCUUCAAUUACAGCACAUGCCAAAAGGGACGUAUCGGCUUUCCUCUUUGAAAGAAUUGCGGGUUUGGAAAUGCCCUAAUCUGAGGGCUUUGCCCGACUGGAUACUCAAUCUCACUUCCCUCAAGGACCUUUAUAUAUGCGAGUGCCAUCAAUCACUGUACUUGCAAGAAGGGAUGCAAAGCCUCACCUCUUUAGAACGAUUGAUGGUUGAUUAUUGCCCUAAUCUCAAUUCUUCCACACAUUCUCUCAAAGCACUUCUAAUUCGGGGGUGCCCUAAUUUAAGCUUCUGGAGAACAAGGCAUUCCCUCUCCACUUUAGAAGAAUUGAAUGUUCAAAAUUACCCUAAUCUGGAGGAUUUGCUGAAUCGCAUAUCAUUUUUUAUCCCUCUCCUCAAAACACUAAAGAUUUGUAAGUGCCCUCAAUUACAAGACUUGCCAGAAAGGAUGGAUGGCCUUACCUCUUUGCAAGUAUUGUCAAUCAGUGAAUGUCCCCGUUUGUCAGAAAGAUGUGAAAAGGACACCGGAAUCCUGUGGCCUCGCAUUGCCUGCAUCCUUUCUAUUACAAUUAAUGGGCGACAGAUUCAAUGAUGAUCAUACCAUAUAGGUAACCGCCUUUUUCUUCACCUCUAUUUAUAUUUUCUCCCUUUACUUGAUAAUUCUUUUUGUUUUCUUGCUGGAUUUGGAUGAUACGUAAUUUGUUGUAUGCAUGUAAUCCAAGUCGACUAUGCAAAAGUGGAUUUAAUCCAUUCUCUGCUACUUCUUUCUAAGUGGACUAACAAUAUUGAUUUCUUUUUUCUUUUCUUACUUUGAAUUUUAUUUUUGUUAAGUUAAAUAUUACUAAUAUGAAAUGUGACCAAAACUUGAUAUCAAAACUCUGCCAGUAUUUCACUGCAAUAGGGAACUUUUUCCUUGUUUCAAUCUCUCAUUCUUCAAUUAAAAUCCUAAAUUUGAAGUAUUUAGGAUCUCACUAACUCUUGAUGGAACCCUUAUGCAGAUAGCAUAUUUAUAGUCAAAGCAUUAAAUUUUAUAGCAUAUUUACAGCAGUAUGAAUGUACUCAGUUACCAAAUUAUUCUGACUUUUCGCUUUGUUAUAUCUAAAUGUCUCUUUUCACCUAUUUCAAUGAUGUUAAUCUGUGUUUAGGUUGACCAAAAGUUUGGGAUUUUUGUAAAAAGUUGUCAAAAGCUUUUUGUACAGUGUUGAUGUAAUUGUUCAGUUAUCUUAUCAGUAGAGUUAGAAUGCCAAAAAGAGUCUUUAACUGAUUAGAUCAUAGGCUUUUGAUCUGAUAAUAUCAAUAAAAUCAAAACUUUUCAAAAAAUAGAAAAAAAAUAAGCAUAAAAUGGAGUUAUGGACAGAUUAUUGUCAGUUGUUUUACUUCCCCUGUUUUUGUACAUUGAUCAAUGCCAAAUCAUCUCUUAUACAAUGAGGCAACAUUGGAUGUAUGUGUUGUAUCUUUUCAGAGGCAAAACCAAAAUUAAAUGGAAAUGGAUUGCAAGACAUAUUGCUUCUAUCACAGAGAAUCUAAGUAAUUGAAACACUGGUGAAAUAAGCUGAGAUGUGGGAGUGAGUAUCCCUGAAAAUUUGCGACUACAAGUUUGUUAGACGGCCAAUAUCCAGUCAAGACUCCUGAGCUGAAAGCUAGUAAUAAUAGAAACUAAUGUGAAAGUCUGCUCGUACAUUUCCUGCUGUGUUUAUCGUGAUGAGGAGAUAUUGCUAUAGGUAAUGUUUCUGCCUCUUUUUCUUGAUGUAGGCACUUGCUUUUGUAAAGAAUAUAUUAACAUCAGUUCUUUCCUUUUUGUACAUGUUUAUAAUGGGAUGAUGACAUUUUUUCAUUGUUUGAAGCAGGAUGAUUUGAUCUUGCUAAUUUCCUUCCAGAGCAGACUGUUGUUAAAUUGAAACCAAGAGAAAUUUCUAUUGGUAAAAUUUACCACUUAUUUGGUUUGUUUUAUCAAUUUCAUUUACUUUCUAUAAGGAAUCCAUUAACACCCAACUUCUUACUUCUUUCUGAAUGUCUUUAUUGGGAUUGCGGACUUUUUCUUAUAGAUUGAGAGAGUACGUAUUGAUUUCAACUUACCAAUGCCAUUGUGAAGAAGAGCACUACAAUCCAUGGAUUGGAAGCUUUACUAUCAACAGUGUCAUCACUAUCUAUGUUACAAUUUGAUGGCAAUUCUAUGUGAGAGUUAAAUUUACUUUGAGUAUUUGAAUUCAAUAAAGGCUAGCUCAUGAAAAUAAUUUAACAGCUUGACUUCUGGUGUCCUUUUAGAUUACAACGAUUGCACAGCAUGCAACUCUUUCACCUUUCCUUCCCAAGAAGUGAGCCUUGGUCUAACAAACUUGAAUUUAAGGUAAAUUAGCUUAUCACUUAUUGCUCUAAUAAAAUUUACUGUGUGUAGAAUGUUGAAUAUUUUUUCGCUGCUAUAACGUUAUAAGAUUUUCAUUUUCCAUAGAAAAAUAAGAGGUGUCAUGACUUGCUCACCAACUCCCUUUUGAGGCAUUCUGGAAAUGCAGGUAUAUUCUCGAAGCAUAUCUAUUGCAAAAGUGAUGACUAUUUAUUAUAGUUUCUUUAGUUUUUGUUCUUGAUUUUUGGCAUAUCUUGUUCCUCAAUGCUUGCUUAUAACAACGGAUUUUUAGGCUAGUUAUCUGUGAAUGCAGGCAAACAACACUUGUUAAGUAGUGGCUUGAGUGAUUGGGAGAAUAUUCUGGAGCUGAGCUGGUUGGAAAACCCCUUUGCUUCUUUCAAAAUCAAUGUCAAUUGUUCCAUGAUGGCCAUUCUUGGAGGUCUUUAAACAGUGGCUUCAAUUCUAGUCUGUAGGGCUCUACUUAAUUAAUCCAAACUGUUAAGGGGACCUAAAUACAAAUGUUCUUUCCAAUGUAUAUGGAGAAGACUUUUGGGAUACUGUACUGGGAUUUACUAUUUGCUACAUUUUGGUGCUGCAAAGUGUCAAAGAAUUGUCAAUCAAAGAAUGUCCCCAGUUGUCGGAAAGAUGUAAAAAGGAGACCGAAAUCUAAUGGCCUCACAUUGCUCUCAUCCUGACUAUUUAUAUUGAUGGCCAACAAAUUCAAUGAUGAUCAUACAAUACAGGUAACCAUAUUUUUCUUCGCCUCUAUUUAUAUUUUCUCUCUUUAUCUGAUAGUUCUUUCUUCAUUUUUUUUCUUCCUGGAUUUGAAUGAUUUGUACUUUGUUCUAUACAUGUAAUCCAAGUUGGUAUACUGAUUUGCCUAUACUUUGUACAGAUAGCAUACUUAUUGUGAAAGCAUUAAAUUUUAUACUGUUGUACAGAUAAAUUUAAAAAAACAGUAUUAUAAACAUACUUUAGUUACUUAAUUAUUCUGAUUUUUUAGUUGUUAUAUCAAUUCCUAACUUCUGCUUAACAUAAGCAUAAAAUAGUAUUAAAUUUUUUAGUUGUUAUUCUGCUUAAUUAUUGUCAUACAAUAUAUAGGUAACCAUAUUUUUCUUCUUGGAUUUGAAUGAUUAAUCAGUCUGAUUUAUAGUUAUUCUGAUUUUUCAUUUUGUUAUAUCAAUUCCUAACUUCUUCGGUUUAACAUAGGUAUAACAUGGAGCUAUGGACAGAUUAUUGUCGGUUGUUUCACUUCCCCUGCUUUUGUGCAUUGAUCAAUGCAAAAUCAUCUCUUAUACAAUGAGGCAACAUUGGAUGUUUGUGUCGUAUCUUUUCAGAAGCAAAACCAAAAUUAAAUGGAAAAGGAUCAAGAGACAGAUUGCUUCUGUCACAGAGAUUCUAAAUAAUUGAACCACUAGUGAAAUAAGCUGAGAUGUGAGAGUGAGUAUCCCUGAAAAUUUACAACUAUAAGUUUGUUAGGGGGCCUAUAUCCUGUCAAGACUCUGGAGCUGAAAGCUAGUAAUAAUAGAAACUAAUGUGAAAGUCUGCUUGUACAUUUCCUGCUGUGUUUGUCGUGAUGAGGAGAUAUUGCUAUAGGUAAUGUUUCUGCCUCUUCUUCUUGAUGUAGGCACUUGCUUUUGUAAAGAAUAUAUCAACAUUAGUUCCUUCUUUUUGUAGGUGUUUAUAAUGGGAUGAUGACAUGUUUUCAUUGUUUGAAGCAGGAUGAUUUCAUCUUGCUAAUUUCCUUCCAGAGCACACAGUUGUUGAAUUGAAACCAAGAGAAAUUUGUAUUGGUAAAAUUUACCACUUAUUCAGUUUGUCUUACCAAUGUCAUUUGCUUUCUAUAAGGAAUCUAUUAACACCUGACUUCAUGCUUCUUUUUGCAUGUCUUUAUUGGGAUUAUGGACAUUUCCUGAUAGUUUGAGAGAGUACAUAUGGAUUUCAACUUGCCAAUGCCAUUGUGAAGUAGAGUCCUAGAAUCGAUGGAUCGGAAGCUUUACUCUCAACAGCAUCAUAACUAUCUAUGUUAUAGUUUGAUGGCAAUUCUAUGUAAGAGUUGAAUUUUGCUCUGAGUAUUUGAAUUCAAUAAAGACUAAAUGAUGAAACUAAUUGAACAACUUGACCUCUGGUUUCUUUUUAGAUAGCAAUGACUGCACAGCAUGCAACUUUUUCACCUUUUCGUCCUAAGAAGUGAGCCUUUGGUCUAGCGAUAGUGAAUUCAAGGUUAAUUGGCUUUUCAUUUAUUGCUAUAUUAUAUAUGAAGAAUAUGCUGUGUAUAGAAUCCUCAAUAUUUUUGCAUUGCUCUAACAUUUAAGUUUUUUGUUUUCCAUAGAAAAAGAAGAGGUGUCAAUGACUUGAUCGCCAACUCCCUUCCAGCCAUUUUUGAAAUUUAGGUAUUCUCAAAGCAUUAUCUAUUGCAUACAUGAUUCUAUAUGUUAAAGUUUCUUUAGUUUCUGUUCUUAUUUUUUGGCAUAUCUUGUCAAUGCUUCUUUAUAACAAUGGUUUUUUUUUUACUAGUUACCUGUGAAUGGAGUCUAGCAACAUUUGCUAAGUACUGGCUCGAGUGAUUGGGAGAAGUGCCUGGAGAGCUAAGCUGGUUGGAAAACCCCUUUGCUUCUUUCAAAAAUCAUUGUCAAUGGGUCCAUCUUGGCGAUUCUUGGAAGUUUUUGAGCAGUGGCGUCAAUUCUAGUCUUUAGGGCUUUACUUAAAUAACCCAAACUGUUAAAAGGACCUAAAUACAAAGGUUCUUUCAUAAUGUACAUAUGGAGAAGACUUUUGGGAUACUAUUCUAGGAUUUACAAUUUGCUAAAUUUGGGCGCUGCAGCUACUGUAACCUCCUGCAUCAUAGUAAAAUCUCUUUCACCCUUUGACCGUGGAUGUAGGCUAUUAAGCCGAAUCACGUAAUUUCUCGUGUGUUUUUUUAUAUUAAAUUGUUCGCUUGCUAAUUAUUAUUGAAUUCAGUUUGGUUUCGCAUUUAUUUUUUUUAUUACAUUAUCUGUCAAAAAUAUUGCUUUUUCGACAAGAUAAUGUUAAGGAGUUGUCUUAAAAUCUCGUCAAUCCUCUCGCAAUGACUAUAGGUUAAGAUAAAUUAUGUAAAUUUUUUUGUAUUUUUGUUAUACAUGAUUGUUUGUUUUGUUAUUUAGUAUCAAAUAUGGAUUGCUUCGUAUCUGUAUUUAUAAUUUUCAUUAUAUUAUUAUAAAAGGCAUUGAUUUAUCCCAAAAUGUAUCAAGUGAAAAUAUAGUAAAUGUUUCAAUUUUAGUUGAUUAAGAAAAGUUAUAAAAUUGAAGUUACUCAUUUCCAAAAUAGAUUAUUUUUUGGAUAAAUGUCACUACAACUUUGCAAAUGGCGUUCAUUAGAAAUAUUUUACUUAAAAUUUGCCAUUAGUCAUCAAAACACGAAAAGUAGAUAAUACUCAAUCACACGUUUAAUUUAUAUAACCUGACAUAAGGCAUAAAUCCAUAAAUAUAAUUUUGAUAUAAAUAGUAAUUUAUUAACACAGCAAUGAAAACAUAUAAAAACAGUAAUUCAUCCUUCAAGCAAGAUCAAAUCUGUCAAUUUUUACAGAUUCAGAUCUCCCUUUCUCUCUUCCUAAUUUUCAUGGAUAUAAGCUUUUGAUAGAAUAAAGUGCAAAUCUCUGUUUGCCGUAUUCAGAUGUACUGGAAAAUGAAAAGCAUUACGUGCUGCUGCCUUGCUAUGAUUUUAUUUCUACCGGAACAUGAUGACCAGCAUUGAUCUUCUGAAUGGUAGUAACAUGAGUUUUAAAGCCUUUGGCUAGGACAUCAUCAUCAAUGCCAGUGGCAAAAACACUGGAUGGAAUACAAACUGUUCCAGCAUUUUACACUGCCAAAGGCAGAAACAGCCAUGGCAGGUUGAUCAGAGCUAGAAUUGUAUUGGUAACAAACCAGUGCUUUCGGAAACAAAACUAGAAAUAAACUGAGAAGUCUCUUUAUUGUUAGCGUUGCUUCUAAACUAGAGCAACUAUUUCGGGGAUGAAGAGAAAUAAUAGUGCUCUGUACUGUCACUGAUUUAGGAGCAAACACGUAAGGUCAAUUUUGCGUUAGUUAGAAUUUCAUUUAUUCAAAAGAAACAAGUGAAGCCCCAUGAAAUUCAAUGAUGUUCGGUCCCUUGUCUUACACUUACGUCCUUGCAAGUCCCAUCCUCUUGCCGUAACACUUCCUGGAAAGCCAACCAGGGUCCUUAACAGAGCAUCUGACAGAGACUUGGUCAAAAUACUUCUUCCUUGAGAAUUCAGUCUCUAUUAAUGGUGGUAAGUGCCUUACCGUCCAACAACUAAAAGGUAAAAGUAGUGGACAUUUACGAAAAUUUGUCCAUGAUGAUUUAGCCAGGCAACAAUCAGGUAGGUCAUUACUCAUUACUAUAAGAAAAUUUACCAAAUAAUGCUUAAUUGCAAAAGAAUCAUAAAUAGGGAUCUAAUUGUUUGCCCUUAAUGAAAUAAUAAUAGUAAUUUUUACUUACAAUGAGAAUCAGAUGCUUUCCAUGUAAAUCAACAAAAAAGGUAAGAAAUAAAUACAUAAAAAUAAUUGAAAAAUGAUAAAAAUAAAGAGAUCAAUAAUUCAAAAGUUCAUCAACGAUUUCAUAUCCCAUUUUGGUAGGAGCACAAAGAAAAAAAAAUUGAAAGUGUGAAAUUAAUUUCAUUUUGAAUAAUGGUAAAUUUUGUUUAGGGUUCUUUUAAAAAAAAAAUUGUUUAGGGAAAAAUAAUGCUUCAUUUAAGUAAUUCAAUUUCUUAAAAAUCUUAUGGAGAAGAUAUUAUAUUAUGUUUAAGGUCACAAACAUAAAGUCAAUUUUACAGAAUUAAAAUUAUCUUCAAUAGAGUACCUCUGUCCUUUAUCUUUUUCUUUGAGAGAGAAUUUAGUUAAUAAUACUUCUUUGAUGACAUUGUAAUCUCCAUUAAUGGAGGUAAUAAUAUUGUGUUCAAUUUAAUCAUGAAUAAAAUAUUAUGCUUAAUGAGGCUACAAAUGACCAAAGUUUUCCCCAUCACAAGGAAAAAACAAUUGACUGCACUUUGUUCAACAUUUUUUAGCUUAGUUUUUGCAAAAUAUUUGGUUUUCUGCAACUUACCGUUGCCUACAAAACAUCAUGGAGGCAGAAUGAAAUAAAGAUAUGGAUUAUUGAAUUAAUUAAAUAAACAUUAUGGAGGACUGCAUUGAAUUAAUUAAAAGUGCUAAUGGCCAGAUUUCUUAUUGUGCAAGAGAGAAGAACCAAGCAGCCCAUCAAAUCGCGCAAGAAGCUAAGCAAAUACAGAAGAACCCACAGAAGAACUACCCUUGCCUUGAGUUCCUUGGUCUGUGUUUUGAACCCACAGAAGAACCUGCAGAGUUUCAUGUCUUCCAUUUUUUCCUGAAAGCAUAUGGCUGAGAAUAUAAUGUUCAAAGAAAUUAAAUUCACAUCGGCCUAUUUGUUUCCUAGUAGGUUGCGCUAGGUCAAAUAAUCAACAAAGUACAGCAGGAUGAAAGUUAUUGGAAAAGAAUUAACAUGAAAACAAGAAUCUAAUCAGCCAUAAAUUUAAUAAAAACUCUGUUCCUAAAAUUAAAAAUCAAAAUUUGGGGAAUACUACUAGAAUUCCAUUUUCCACUAGNCAAUGUGAAUGAAGACUAUUUAAAACUAAAAAAUCAACUACAAAGGAAAUCACUGUUUUUCUACAUAAAAUUGGCUAACAACCAAUUAACCAAGUAAAUGCCCUUUUUCUAUUUCACUAUCAUCUAUGUAUAUAUGGGUGAGAUUAGGCUGCUACUUGACAAAGUGUGAAAUGAAAUCAAUUUGAUUAUUAAUAAUGAUGUUGUUCAUCUGCCAAGAUUUUGAUUUUCAUGGAAGUUGUGAAAUGAAAGGAUCUCUAACAAUGUUUUGAUUAUAGCUGGAAAACAAUAAAUAAAACAAACUUUCUCAAUGUAUGGAAGUCGCUUUCUCAGUGGGACGACGUCGAGCCAAGUUGCUAAUAUAUUUCCAAAUGUCCUACCCCUACUCUUAUUAAUAACCAAUUCAUUAUUAAUCACCAAGUUGCCAAUAUAUUUCCAUUGUUCCUAAUUUAAAUAUUAUUGUUCCAAAUUUCCUAUUCCUACUCUCGUCGUAUUGUAGCUGGUUAUUAUCAAAGAAAAGAGAAUAAUAUUUGUUUAUUAAUUAGUUGGGAAACUCACAAGUCACAUGGGACGUCUUUGAAUCAAGUUGCCAAUAUGUUUUCCUUUUUCCUAUACCUGCUCUUAUUACUUUGUUGUCAUAGAGUUUCCAUUUGAGCAUCUUCUGCUAUCAUCUCUACUAUCCCAAGAGUUUGUUUGUUUUGUGCCUUGCUCUUCUUUUAACUCAACAAAAGCUACUCUUCCAUUUUAUUUUCCUUCGUUUUCCCACUUUUCUUUUAACUCCGAGAACAAAAGCAUCUCUGUUGUUUAACUCUGCAAAGUCAUGUAAAUAGUUCCAUCUUGGCCAUUCUCGGAGGUCUUUGAGCAGUGGCUUCAAUUCUAAUCUUUAGCCCUUUACUUAAUUAACCCAAACUGUUAAGGGAACCUAAAUACAAAGGUUCUUUCAUAUUGUGCAUGGAGAAGACUUUCGAGAUACUGUUUUGGGAUUUACUAUUUGCUACAUUUGGGUGCUAACCUCAUCUUCCUACAUUGUUGUAAAAUCUCUUCUACUCUUUAUCUUAGUGGAUGUAAACAAUUAAGUUGAACUACGUUAAUUCUUGUGUAUUUGAUUAUGUUGGAUCCUUUGCUUGCUAGUUAUCAUCAAAUUUGGUUUUUUUUUAUAUAUUUUAUAGUCUUUACUAGGUUUUUCUUUUUUUUUCAAUUGGAGGAGGGGAUUUGAACCCUUCUCUUUAGACAAGAGAUCAUUUUUUAUAUUUUAUAGUCUUUACUAGGUUUUUUCUUUUUUUUCAAUUGGAGGAGGGGAUUUGAACCAUUCUCUUUAGACAAGAGAUCAUGCAACAACCAAUGAGCCAAAUGCUUAACUGCUUAUAGUUUUGACUAAGUUAUUUGUCAAAGGUAAAACUAUUAGGUGGAACCUAUUUUCAUAUUUUAGCUAACAAAUAUUUUAAAAUAACUUAUUAAAUUUACUAUAUUAAAUAAUAUUUUCAAUCAAUAUAUUGAAAAUCUUAUAUUGAAAUAGUAUCUUGACAGGUAUUUUUAAGACAAUAGUUAAUAAAAUAUAUUAUUUAUUUAUUUAUUUGGAAGAUAAAACUCUAAUUGUUUUUUUUUAAGGAAUUCUAAUUGUUAGUAUUUCAACCUUGACUCAAUCCAAAACUUUGGCACUUUCACUCAUUGUUUGCCACUACCUAGAUUUCCAAGUCUAAGAUUAAUUAUGAACGCACACCUUUGCAAUUUGCAUUGCACAUUCCUACCAAAAUUUAAUUCGUUUAUAUAUAAACUAAAAUGAUCCAUUUUGUUAUUUAGAAUAUUUUACAUAUAUAUAUUUAAUUUAUCAAAAACUUAUUUUAUUUUAUUCAAACAUGCUUUUAUUUUUUAUUUUUAAAAAUAAAAAUAUAUAGUAAAAGUAACAAGUGAAUAGAGUCUUAUAAAUUCGUUUAUAACUAAGAAGAUACAAAAAUCAAUCUAGCUAUAGUUGUUGAUUAUUGGUGAUCAAUAAAAAUUCCGUUCCUAGCAGAAAAAAGACAAAUUUCCUUGGGAAUUAAGUUUAAAAUCCAAUUUCUUGGACUCUUUUGAAAAUCAGCAUUGGUCAGUAGCCUUUGUCUGUAUGUUUCUUGACCGAGAAAUCAAUUCAUGAUUAACUCAAGAGAAGGCGCAAAAUGCUGUUAGUUUCCAGCUAUUUCGAUGUUAUCAUUUACAAAGAGAAGUUCAACAUCAUAUUCUAUAUGAUAAAAUUCCUUCGGCAACAAGAACUUUGUACUUUCCAUUAGCCCCUCCUGUUUCAUGGCCUGUUUUACGUGGAUACCUAUGCUAUAAUUAAGAAUUUCUCACCAAUCCAAACUUGAUUCAAUCUGAUUUGAUUUAAAAAACUCGACUACUUAAAAUGGUGUAGACUUGAAAUUAUCUGAAUAUACUUCUAACUCGAACGAUCCAAAAAAAUUAACUCGAAAAAAAUGUAUUUUAUUUCCUAACAUCAUUUUCCAUAUUUAAUAUAGUAUAUCAUAUUUAAGGUUAUUGGAUUAAUUAACAACCCUGAUCACAAUUGGUGACUAGUCUCAUCGUAUUAUAGCUGGUUAUAAUCAAAGAAAAGAGUAUAAUAUUUGUUUAUUAAUUAGUGGGGAAAUCUUUGAGCCAAGUUGCGAAUGUAUUUCCAUUUAUCCUAUACCUACUCUUAUUAAUUUCUCGUCAUAGAGUUUCCACUUAAGCAUCUUCUUCUAUCAUCUCUAUUAUUCCAAGAGUUUGUUUGAUUCCUGCCUUGCUCUUCUUUUAACUCAACAAAGCCUACUCUUCCAUUUUAUUUUCCUUCAUUUUCCCACUUUUCUUUUAACUCAAAGAACAAAAGCAUCUCUUUCAUUUAACUCUGAAAAGAAAAAAAAAAACAGUACUUGAUCUCUUAAAUUACUUUUGUCUAAUCCUUGUUAGCUUCCUUAAAUUGAGGUAAGUUUCAAUAAAACAUAUUAUAUUCACCAUAUAUAAUUUUUUUAUAUGCUCAAUUUCUCUUAUCAUUUAUGAAUUUGACUUCUUAUUUUUUAAGUUGGCAAAUAAAAUUAAUUAAUUUCUACUUUGCUUCUUAAUCCUAUGAAUAUUUAAUAAUACAUUAUGUGUAGCAUUUUUGUACGAAAUCAUUUUAAUGUUAUGACUUUAAAAUAUGUAAAAAUAUAUCAAUAAGCAUAUGUUGAAAUUUCAUUCUGAAUUUUUCAAUUUAUCAUAAAUUUUCAUAAUUUUUUCCAUUUUUAUUGUCAUUUAUGGAUAUUUUGGGAAAGUAUUUUAUAGAAUGAUGAUAGUAUGCUUUUACUUUAAUAAGAAAAUAUAUUUUUAAGUAUUAUACAUAUGACCAGUGACAAGAAUUUCUACAUCUGCAGCAUUUUCAAUUUCCAAGUUGGUCGGUCAACUAUUCGUUCUCUUGUGAUCGAUAUUUUCAUAAAGGUAUUGCUUAAAAAAUAACGUACUUUGAAACAUUUGGUAAUUGUUUUUGUCUCUCCACAAAACUUUUUACUCAUCGAAAUUAAAACUAGGUAGAUUUUUAUUUUAUGAAGGUUCCAAGUGAUCUUUCAUUAGAAUAUAUAACAUGUCUUGAUAAUUUAAGAUUUUGAAGUUUGAGAUAUUAAUGUUACUUGUUAAUAACAGUAAUUUUUUUAUAAGAAAAUAAAGAAAAGAAAACAAAAAGGUGAGGCCAAUAGUUUCAUAAGGCAAAAGAUUUGGACUCUUGUAUUCCACUAAGGAUUUGACAUUGAAUCAGAAAAAGGACUUAUAUUUGAUGUACUAACCGCUCAUAGUUUUUAUACACUGUCAGUUUAUCAAAUGAUACUAUGUCAUUAACAAAUAAAUAUAAAAAUUUAAGGUCUUUAAAAUAAAUAUUAGAAGAAAUUUAAUAACUAAUUAAAGAAAUAUCAUGGAGGCAGAAUCAAAUAACAAUAUAAAUUAUUGCAAUGGUAGCCCAUUUUUGGUGCUUCAAUUUUUGUCCUUGAUCUUCUGAACACACAAUCUAAAACUUCCUCCAAUAGCUAGAUUUUCAAGUCCACUAAGUCUUUCAUUAUCGUGUUAGUUUGCUUAAGUUCCCUUGUCAUCUGCUUCAGAUUUAUUUCAACCAAUUGGUAGAUCCAUGGCGGAAUCAAUAACAUCUUGUCCAAGUUGGUGUUAAGUGCUAGACAAGAUCUUGGCUUGAUUUUCGGGCUGAUAAAGGAACUAGAAAAGCUUCGAGGGACUCUCAGCACCAUAAACGCUGUCCUCCUUGAUGCUGAGGAGAAGCAGGAGAGUAGCCAUACCUUGAAGAACUGGAUGAGUCAGCCGGAAGAUGUUGUCUACUAUGCAAUCCUGCGCCAAAAGGUGCUUGCUCGGAGACAGGUACCUAAGUUCUUUUCAUCCUCGAGCCCUCUAGCAUUUGGUCUUAAGAUGGGUCCUAGAAUUAAAGAGUUUACAGAGAGGCUAGACUCAGUUGCAGCAGAUAUAUCUAAGUUUAACUUGAGUCCGAGAGUUGUAAAAGAUAUGAAAGCUAAGCAUACUGACACGACGACUGCCUCAAAGGUGAGACCAGAAAUGAUCGGAAGAGAGAAAGAUAAAAAGCACAUUAUAGAAUCAUUGUUUCAAGAGCAAAAUGAUCGUCACGGUGACAACAUUUUCAAUAUUGUUGCCAUUGUUGGGUUUGGAGGUUUAGGAAAGACCAUACUCGCUCAGUUGGUGUAUAAUGAUGCAGAAGUAGAAAACUUCUUCAAUCCACGUAUAUGGGUGUGUGUUUCUGAAGAAUUUGAUGUCUAUAUAAUUUUUAAGAUAAUCUUAGAGUCGCUAGGAAAUAGUAAAGUGAUGACUUGGAUCUAGAUAUUUACUUGAAGAAGCUUGAAGAAAAUUUGAGAGGGAAGAGAUAUUCACUUGUGUUGGAUGAUGUAUGGAAUGAAAACAAUUUAAAGUGGGAUAAUUUUUCAAAGCAUCUUGUGUUUGGUGCCCCAGGAAGCAAAAUUCUUAUGACAGCUCGUAGUAAGAAAGUUGCAACUAUUAUGGGGGUGAACCAUCCUUACCUUUUAGAAUGUCUCAAUGAGGAUCAAUCUUGCGCUUUAUUUGAGAAAGUGGCAUUUGCAGGACAAUGUCAAACCAAUCCAAAGCUUAGAGAAAUUGGACAGGAUGUUGCACGAAGAUACAAAGGAGUUCCUCUUGCAAUCAAAUGUUUGGGAAGUUUGAUGAGACAAAAGCUUAAUGAAAAGUACUGGUUGUCCGUCCAAGAAAAUGAAAUUUGAAAGUUACUUGAAAAAGAUGAUGGUGUUAUCCUGGUGUUAAAGAUUGAGUUACAUUCACUUACCAAGUCAUUUAAAACAAUGCUUUGCUUUUUGUUCACUUUUUCCAAAAGAUUCUAAGAUAUAUAAAGACGAGUUGAUCCAUUCAUGGGGAGCAUAGGGUUACAUUCAAUUACAGGAGGAAAAUGAGAACACAGAAGAUAUUGGUGAUGAAUAAUUUAAUGAUUUGUUGUCAAGGUCACUUUUCAAGAGGAUAAAGAUUAUUUAGGGAGAAUUUUUUGUAAAAUGCAUGACCUUGUCCAUGAUCCUGCAAAAACAGUUGCAAGUCGUCAUUUUCAUUGGAUGAAAGAUGAAAAAGAAAAAAUUUCAAAAGGAGUUCACCACAUGUCAGUAGAAAUAAAUUUCGAAAAAGUUGUUUUGACUUUGUCGAAAAUGAAAGGGAUGAGGACUAUGUUUUUACAUAGACACAUUUUCUAUUAUUUUUUCAUUUCAAAUGCAACUUUUUUGAGCUUCAAUUGUUUACGCAUGUUAAAUUUGAGUUGGAUGAGAAUUGUCAUUUUGCCAGACUCAAUUGGUGAAUUGAAGCACUUGAGAUAUCUUAAUCUUUCUGAUAAUGAGGAGAUGGAAGUGCUGCCAAAUGCUAUAGCCAAAUUGCACAAUUUGCAAACUCUAUUACUCAAUAAUUGUACUCUACUUAAAAAGUUACCAAGGGAUAUAUGACAAUUGAUUAGUUUGGAAUAUUUCAAUAUUGAUGGUUGCAAAGGCCUGACGUGCUUGCCAAAAGGUUUAGGUGAAUUGACUUCGCUCCAAAGAUUGGACAGAUUUAUUGUGAACAGAGUUAAAAAGAGUUUCUCAAAUGCAGCCACGUUGAAUGAGUUGAGGGAUCUAAAUUACCUUGGAAACUGCUUAGGAAUUGAACACUUAAAACUUGGUGGAAUUAGAAUUUAUGGAGGCAAUUUUAAAGAAAAAGAAACGGCUUCAGUCUUUGCGAUUAUACUGGAGAUCCUUGGAGUGGAGUGCUUUCUCUUCAGAAAGAGUGGACAGUGAAAAGGAUGAGUCGUUGUCAAAUAUUCUUGAGCCACACCCGAAUUUGAAAAGGCUGAUGGUAUCCGAUUAUGGAGGAACAAGGUUUCCGAGUUGGCUAUCUUCAUUGACUAAUUAAGUCGAACUUGAUAUAGACACAUUUAGGAAUUGCCGAGACCUGCCACCCUUGGAUCAUCUUUCAUCUCUCGAGUCUCUUACUCUUGUGGGGUUAUGGGCUUUAGAACACGUCACAGAUUCUUUCCCCUUGCCUUGUUCUACGCCAAGAAAACCAUUCUUCCCAUCACUUAAGAAACUUGAGAUCAAGUAUUGUCACAAUCUCAAAGGAUAGUGGAGGACAAAGAAUGAGAACGAGGGAUCAACAACUGAGCUGCUUUGCUUUCCUUGCCUUUCCGAGUUACAUAUGGAGAAGUGUCCAAACUUAACCUCCAUGCUGCUGUUUCCAUCUCUACACCAAGAUCUGACUUUGAUUGAUACUAGCACAAGGCCUUUGCAACAAACAUUGAAGUUGAAGAUGAAGAUGACCGAGGCUAGCAUGACAUCAGAAGAAGCAUCAUCAUCAUCUUCAGGGAGCACGUCCUUCUUACUAUUCAACUGCCCUUCCUCUAUGCAAUUUGAAGUGUUUGACUCUUAUGAAAAUUCAUGAUCUAGAAGCUGUCAGAAGAGUUCCUACAAAAUCUCACUUCUCUUGCACUCUUAACAUUGAAAGACUGGCCUAAAUUGGAAUCGUUGUUGUUGAAAGAGAUGAGCUGUUAUAUGUUAUGAAGUACCAUAAUUUGAGGGUUUUGUUAGACUGGAUACCCAAUCUCAUCACUUCCUCAUAGGUCUUCACAUUUGCGAGUGCCUUGAAUUACCGGACUUGCAAUAAAGGAUGCAUAGCCUUACCUCUUUAAAAUGGUUGUUGAUUUACAAUUGCACUAAACUAAGUUCUUCGGGAUUGGGUUAUGUCAGUAUUCCCAAAACACUUGUAAUUCAGGCACGCCCUGAUCUACAUUCCUUGCCACUAAUGGUAUGGCUGGACAUCAUGCCUAAUCUCACUUCUCUCAAAACACUUAAGAUUUGUAAGUGCUCUGAAUUACAGGACUUGCAAGGGAUGGAUCACCUUACCUCUUUAGAAAUAUUGUCAAUCACUAAAUGUCCCCAAUUAUCGGAAAGAUUUCAAAAGGAGACUGGAAUCCUAUGGCCUCACAUCGCUCACAUCCCAUCUAUUAUAAUUGACGGGCAGCGGAUUCAAUGAUGAUCGUACAAUAUAGGUAACUAUAUUUUGCUUCACCUCUAUUUAUAUUUUCUCCCUUUACCUAAUAAUUCUUUUUUUUCCUGCAUUUGGAUUUGAUCUAAUAAUAUUGAUAUUUUUUCUUUUCGUACUUUGAAUUUUCAAAUUUUAAUAAUAUUUAAACUGUCACCCUAUAACUUGAUGUUAAGGCUCUGCCAGUAUUUAACAGCAAUUGGGAACUUUUUCCUUGUUUCAAUCUCACACUUUUCAUUUACAAUCUUAAUUUUUAAGCAUUUAGGAUCUCACUAGCUCUAGAUGGAACCCUUGUACAGAUAGCAUACUUAUACUCAAAGCAUUAAAUUCUAUACUCUUGUGCAUACAAUCUUUUUUUAAAAUGCAACAGUAUAAAUGUGCCCAAGUUAUCAAUUUAUUCUGAUUUUUCACCUUGUUAUAUCAAUUCCUGACAAUCUUUUAGAUGUUUCCUCUCACCUUUUUCAGUAAUGCUAAUCUGUGUCUCGAAGAGAGUGAUGCGACUCAGAUAUUCUCAAUAGUUAAACUUCUUCUGUUUAACAUACGCAAAAAUGGAGUUCAUGAACAAAUUAUUGUAAGUAGUUUCACUUCCCCCGGUCUUAUAUGUUGAUCAGUACAGUAUCAUCUCUUAUACAAUGGGACAACUUUGGAUGUUGUUGCCAUACCCUUUCAGGAGCAAAACCAGAAUUAAAUGGACAAGGAUCAUGAGACAGAUUGCUUCUAUAUAUAUUUAUAUAUAUAAACCAGAGAAUUGAAUCUGGAGAUGUGAUGCAAAUGGGAUAUGCUAUCAUUCAACAAUACCGAGAAGCUAACGUAUUGGUGGCAAAUGGUGAAGAUGGUCAGGGGCGGAGCCUCCUAAUGUGAUGGGAGGUCAUGUCCCCCCCCCCAAAACUUUUAAAUUUUUUUUCAUAACAUAUAAAAAUUUUAAAUUUUUUAUAUAUUCUAUUACUAACUCCCUCUAAAUAAUGUUUUAUUUAAUAAUUAAUAUAAAUAAAAAAUAAUAAAAUGAUUUCACUUAUCUCACUCAACUUUAAUUUUUUAAUUUAUAUUAUUAUUUUUAUUAUAUUUGUUCAUAUGUUAUAAGUUUUUAUAAAUAUUCUUUUCCAAAUUUUUACAAACCAUUAACCAUAUUCUUUUUUUUUUCUUUUUUAUUAUGUAAUAUAUGGUAUCUACCUUCUACUUGCCAUGUUCUUCUUUUUUAUGUUACAUAAAUUUUAUUUUUUAUGAUUUUAAUUUUUAAAAACUAAUAAAUUAUUAUAUAGUUCUCAAAUAUAAGUUAUAGUAUUACAUUGUUACUUAAAAUUUCAUCAACGUAUCAUUUUUUUAUUUAUCUUGAUUAUGUAAGAGGAAACUAAAUUGAGUAUAUACUUUUAUAUGCUUUACAUUUUAUAUUUAGUUAAAAUAAAAUUCUCUCGUAUAUAUAUUAUUUACAUAAUUCUGAUUAUAUAAGAAAAAAUUAUUAAUCUUACAUAUCAUUUGUAACUAUUUAUAUUUUUCAAAUUUUAAUUUUAUAUUUAGUUUCAUAUUUCUAUUGUCAAUAUUUUUAUUGUUGAUUGAAUUUAACAUAUUAAUUUUUUAAAAUUUUAAACUCUUAUUCAACUAUGUUUGGCCCUCCCAAUAAAAUUUGGCUAGCUUCGCCCCUGAAGAUGGUGUUAUGAGUUUGAGCUUGGACAUGUUGAUGAGAAUGCAGGGGAAUCAGCUAUAGUCUGACGCGGUUGUAUUUGAUUUUAACGGUGCAAAAUUUAUUGUAGCUGGUUUUAUUGUCUGCAAUGAUGAUGGAGAUGUUUUCUUAGCUGGUGCUAAUUGUCAAAUCUAUGGUUCCAGUGUAGAGGAGGCAGAGCUCAUGGCCCUGGCAUGGUUCCUGUCAUGUUGCGUUUCAGAAAAUGUUAAGAGUCCAUCAUGUGUUGACAGAUUGUCUAAAUGUGGUUAAUUGGAUACGUACCAACAGAGUAAGUGGUGGAUUAGGGAACAUUAUAGAGGACUGCAUUGAAUUAAUCAAAAGUGCUACUGGCCAGAUUUCUUAUUGUCCAAGAGGGAAGAACCAAGCAGCCCAUCAAAUUGCACAAGAAGCUAAGGAAAUACAACAGAGUAAAGUGCUUUGGAGGAGCAUCCAGAUUUAAUCCGAAUUGAUUUAGCUCAAGUAUUAAGUUUAAUUUAAUUUGGGGUACUAGGCAAGGUAUAUAUGUAUUUGUGUAAUUGGGAAGGCACUCAUUUUUCCUCUUCCAUGGUUUUCUCCCACUGGUUUUUCCCAUGACAAGGUUUUUAAUGAGACUUUCUCGGUUAUAUAAGGGGUUAUAAAAUAUGUGGUUGAGUGAGUGAAUUUAUAAUGAAAUGCAUUCUUUUCAAAAAAAAAAAAACUACCCUUGCCUUGAGUUCCCUGGUCUGUGUUUUGAACCCACAGAAGAACCUGCAGAGUUUCAUGUCUUCUAUUUUUUGCUGAAAGCAUAUGGCUGAGAAUAUAAUGUUCAAAGAAAUUAAAUUCACAUCGGCCUAUUUGUUUCCUAGUAGGUUGCGCUAGGUCAAAUAAUCAACAAAGUACAGCAGGAUGAAAGUUAUUGGAAAAGAAUUAACAUGAAAACAAGAAUCUAAUCAGUCAUAAAAUUAAUAAAAACUCUGUUCCUAUAAUUAAAAAUCAAAAGUUGGGGAAUACUAGUAGAAUUCCAUGUUUCACUAGUUUUUGUUUGAUUUCAACAAUGUAAAUAUAUUUUCUGUUUAUUAAUUAAUUGACGAUUAUUCAUACUUCAUUUAGGAGCUCAUGUCCUCUAACCAUUGUAUAUAAUUUUUUAUAAAAGAAAAAUAAGUAAAAAAAAAAUUCAAAUUCAAUUUCAUUAUGAAUUAUUUAUUUGUGAAACUUUUUGAAGGUAAGUAAUAAUUGGAUGGAGACAACAUAAAGCAAUCACUCGAUGUGAAAUCACUGUUUUUCUACAUAAAGUUGGCUAACAAUCAAUUAACCCAGUAAAUGACCUUGUUUUAUUUCAAUAUCAUGUAUAUGGGUGAGAUUAGGAUACUACUUCUUAAACAAAGUGUUAAAUGAAAUCAAUUAAUUGUUAGAAUAAAAAAAUUAAAUUUUUUUGAAUAAUUUAUGAGUUUUUUUAAGUAUUAUGUGUAGUUAAAAUUAAGUAAUAAAAAAAUAAUCUUAAUUUCUACAAGAAAGAAAAGCAAUUUUGAUUAGUUAAAAUUUGCAGUUCACUUUCUCUGAAAUAAUUAACUAUAUAUAUCAUGGCAUUGAUUAAUUUUUGUUGAGCAACCAAUUUACCAAGAAGAGAUCAAAGGAUGACUAGAAUAAUAGAUUCAGGUAAAUGCAAAAGUCUCCAUCAAGUUGGCCAACAAUCCAUUGACCAAGUAAAUGCCCUUGUUUUCUUAAACAAAGUGCGGAAUGAAAUCAAUUUGCUUAUUGAUAAGACAAAGUUGAAGAAAUAAUGAUUGCAAAAUGACAAAAAUAUAAAAGAAAAUAAUAGAAGGAUCAGACGCCAAUCUUUCCAAUAUAUUUCUGAAUGUCCUACACCUACUUUUAUUAGCAAUCAAUUCAUUAUUAUUAAUCAUCAAGUUGCCAAUAUAUUUCCGUUGUUCCUAAUUUAAAUGUUAUUGUUCCAAAUUUCCUAUACCUACUCACAUGUGACGUCUUUGACCCAAGUUGCCAAUAUUUUUGUAUUUAUCCUGUACCUUCUCUUAUUACUUUCUCGUCUUCUUCUAUCAUCUCUACCAUCCCAAGAGUUUGUUUGAUUUCUGCAUUACUCUUCUUUUAACUCAAACAAAACCUACUCUUCCAUUUUAUUUUCCUUCAUUUUCCCACUUUUCUUUUAACUCAAAGAACAAAAGCAUCUCUGUUAUCUAACUCUGAAAAAAAAAAAAAGAGAACAGUUCUCUUAAAUUGCUUUUGUUUGAUCCUUGUUAACUACUUUUCCUUUCCUUAAUUUUGGUUUCCCGAUCUCUGGAGUUGGUGAAGUAAUUUCAUCUCAAUCGAGGUAAGGUUCAAUCAAACAUAUUAUAUUCUCCAUAAUUUAUUUUUUUUAUGUUCUCAAUUUCUCUUAUCAUUUAUGAAUUUGCCUUCUUAUUUUUUAAGUUGGCAAAUAAAAUUAAUUAAUUAAUUUGUACUUUACUUAUUUACUUCUUAAUCCUAUGAAUAUUUAAUAAUAUACUAUGUGCAGCAUUUUAGUAUGAAAUAAUUUUAAUAUUAUGACUUUAAAAUAUGUAAAAUAUAUGAAUAAACAUAUGCCUGACUUUUUUUUCCAUCCAUAGUUUGACUUUUUAUGCCACUAGAAACCUUUCAUCAACAAGAUUCAAGACUUGUUAUGGCAUGCAAACUUUUGGAAUUAAUAAAAUUUCUACUUUUCAAAAAAAAAAACAUAUGUUAAAAUUUCAUUAUAGAUUUUUUAAUUUAUGAUAAUUUUUUUUUUCAUUUUUACCGACAUUUAUGGAUAUUUUGAGAAAGUAUUUUAUAGAAUGAUGAUACUAUGCUUUUACUUUAAUAUGACAAUAUAUUAUUAAUUAAUAUACACAUGACUAGUGUCACGAAUUUUUACAUUUGCAGUAUUUUCAAUUUCCAAGUUAGUCGGUCAACAAUCCGUUCAAUUGUGAUCCACAUUUUCAAGUAAGAUCCUUUGCAAACAUUUAGUAAUCGUUUUUGUCUUUCUGUAAAACAUUUUACGCAUUGAUAUUAAAAUUAGUUAGAUUUAUAUUUUAUAAAAGUUCUAAGUGAAUUUUAAUUAAAAAAUAUUGCAUGUUUUAAUAAUUUAAGACUUUGGAAUUUGAGAUAUUAAUAUUACUUGUUAAUAACAGUAAAGUUUUUAUAAAAAGAAAAAAGAAAAGAUGAGGCCAAUAGUACUAUAAUGUAAAAGAUUUGAGCCAGCAUCUUGUACGAAGGAUUUGAAAUUGAAUAAGAAAAAGUAUUUAUAUUGGUGUACUAACCACGCUUAGUUUUUAUACCUUUAGUUUACCAAAUGAUAUUAUAUCAUUAACAAACAAAUAUAAAAAUUUAUAAAGCUUUUAAAAUAAAUAUUAAAAAAAUUUUAAUAACUAAUUAGAGAAAUAUUGUGGAGGCAUAAUCUAAUAAAAAUAUGAAUUAUUGCAAUGGUAGCCCAUUUUUGGUGCUCCAAUUUUUGACCUUGAUCUUCUGAACACACAAUCCAAAACAAUUCCAGUAAAUAGAUUAAUUAUGAUGUACACACAUCUUUGCAAUUUGCAUUGCACAUUCCUACCAAACAUAUUGAAAUUAUUCUUAAGCUUCCUUUCAUCGUUUUUUUUGUUUUUACUUUUUUUUACAACUAGUUAUAAAUUAAGUGAGAAAUAAAUGACAAAAAAGUGAAAGCAUAAUUAAUUAAAAAUUAGCAAAUGACUACGGUAAAAAAAAUAAAUAAAUGGUAAAAUUAUAUUAAAACCAUUUCAUUAUUUAGAAUAUUAUAUAUAUAUUUAAUUUAUCAAAAACUUAUUUUGAUUUACUCAAACAUGCUUAUCAGGUCAAGUCCACUAAGUCUUUCAUUACCAUGUUAGUUUGCUUAUAUUUCCCUGUUAUCUGCUUUAGAUUCUUUUCAACCAAGUUGUAGAUCCAUGGCAGAAGCAAUUCCAUAUGGAACGGUCAGUAACAUCUUGUCCAAGUUGGUGUGGCUUGCUGGGCAAGAGCUUGGCUUUAUUUUCGGGCUGAAUACUGAUCUGGAGAAGCUUCAAGAGACUCUCAGCACCAUAAACGCCGUCCUUCGUGAUGCUGAGGAGAAACAGGAGAGCAACCAUGCCGUGGACAACUGGAUAAUUCGGCUGCAAGAUGUUGUCUUUGAUGCAGAGGACUUGCUGGACGAAUUUGACUAUGCGAUCCUGCGCCAGAAGGUGCGUCCUCGGGGACAGGUAUACAAGUUCUUUUCAUCCUCCAACCCUCUAGUAUUUCGUCUUAAGAUGGGUCAUAGAUUUAAGGAGAUUAGAGAGAGGCUGGAUGCGGUUGCAGCAGAUAUUUUUAAGUUUAACUUGAGUCGGAGAGUUGUAGUGCUGGAUAGUCAAGCUAAGAAAAUUGACAGGGAGACUGCCUCAAAGGUGAGAUCGGAAUUAAUAAUAGGGAGAGAGAAAGAGAAAGAGCAGAUUAUAGAAUCAUUGUUGAAGGAGCAAAAUCAUGGUGACAGCAUCUCCAAUAUUGUUGCCAUUGUUGGGUUUGGAGGUUUAGGAAAGACCUCACUUGCUCGGUUGGUGUAUAAUGAUGCAAGAGUAACAAACUUCUCCAAACGGAUAUGGGUGUGUGUUUCUGAAGAAUUUAAUAUUUAUAUAAUUUUUAAGAAAAUUUUGAAGUCUUUGGUAGAUGACAAAGUGGAUGAUUUGGAUCUAGAUAAAGUGCAAAGAAAACUUGAAGAAAAUUUAGAAGGGGAGAGAUAUUUACUUGUAUUGGAUGAUGUGUGGAAUGAAGACGCUUCAAAGUGGAAUGAUUUUUUGCAGUAUCUGGUGUUUGGUGCUCCCGGAAGUAAAAUUCUUGUGACAACUCGUAGCAAGACAGUUGCAUCUACAAUGGGGGUCCAACUACCUUACCUUUUAAAAGGUCUCAAUGACAAUCAAUCUUGGGCUUUGUUUGAGCAAGUGGCAUUUCUAGGACAACGCCAAAUCGAUCCAAAGCUCAGAGAAAUUGGAAAAGAUGUUGCACAAAGGUGCAAAGGAGUUCCUCUUGCUAUCAAAUGUUUGGGAGGUUUGAUGAGACAGAAGCCUAAUGAAAAGUAUUGGUUGUCUGUUAAAGAAAAUGAAAUGUGGAAGUUACUUAAAGAAGAUGAUGGUGUUUUCCCAGUUUUAAGAUUAAGUUACAUUCACUUACCUAAUCAUUUAAAACAAUGUUUUGCCUUCUGUUCAAUUUUUCCAAAAGAUUGCAGGAUAUCUAAGGACAUGUUAAUCCAUUUAUGGGGAGCUCAAGGUUACAUUCAAUGGAUGGAAAAUGAGCGUAUACAAGACAUUGGUGAUGAAUACUUUAAUGAUUUAUUCUCAAGAUCAUUUUUUCAAGAGGAAAAGAGAGAUGAGACAGGCAAUAUUGUUAGUUGUAAAAUGCAUGACCUUAUCCAUGAUCUUGCAUUAUUAGUUGCAAAAUGUAGUUUUUAUUUGCUGAAGGUUGAAAAAGAAAAAAUUCCAAAAGGAGUACGUCAUGUGUCACUUGAAUGCAAACCUUCUGAGAUGUUUUUGACGCGCUUGUCGAAAGCAAAGGGGAUAAGGACUAUGUAUUUUCGGGAAUACACUCUCCAGGAUUUAUUCAUUCGAAAUACAAUUUUUUCAAGGUUCAAUUAUUUACGUAUGUUGAAUUUGUGUAAGAUAGACAUUGACAUUUUGCCAAAUUCAAUUGGAAAAUUAAAACACUUGAGAUACCUUGAUCUUUCUUGUAAUUAUCAGAUGGAAGUGCUCCCGGAUGCAAUAGUCAAAUUGCACAAGUUGCAAACUCUAUUACUCUAUGAUUGCAGGAAGCUUAAAGAGUUACCAAGAGAUAUACGACAAUUGAUUAGUUUGGAAUAUCUCAAUAUUGAUCAGUGCAAUGGACUACAGUACUUGCCAAAAGGGUUAGGGGAAUUGACUUCGCUACAAACAUUGCAUAGAUUUAUUGUGAAUAGUUUCUCAACUGCAGCCACGUUGAAUGAGUUGAGGGACCUAGAUGACCUUGGAAACUACUUAAGCAUUGAAAACUUAGAUGAUGUGAAGAAUGUGGAAUUAGAAUCUAUGGAGGCAAAUUUAAAGACAAAGAAGCGGCUUCAGUCUUUGAAAUUAGAUUGGUGGACCUAUCCACGAGGGGACGAUAAAAAGGACGAGUUGUUGUUGGAUAAUCUUCAGCCACAUCCUAAUUUGAAAAAGCUGGAGGUAUUGAGGUAUGAAGGGGCAAAGUUUUCGGCUUGGCUAUCUUCCCUGAAUAAUUUAGUCAAACUUCAAAUUUGCAUUAGUUACAAUUGCCAACACCUGCCACCCUUGCAUCAUCUUUCAUCUCUCCAGUGUCUUAUUCUUGAGUAUUUGAAAGUUUUAGAACACGUGGCAGAUGAUGGCAAGGAAGAUAACCAUUCUUUCCCCGUGCCUUGUUCCACUCCAAGAACAUCAUUCUUCCCAUCACUUAAGAUUCUUAAGAUCCGAGGAUGUCCCAAACUCCAAGGAUGGUGGAGGACAAAGAAUGAGAACCAAGGAUCAACCGCUGAGUUGCCUUGCUUUCCUUGCCUUUCCAAGUUAGAAAUCGAGGACUGCCAAAACUUAACCUCCAUGCCGCUCUUUCCAUUUCUCGACGACGAUUUGACUUUGAAAGGUACUAGUGUAAGGCCUUUGCAACAAACAUUGAAGAUGAAGAUGACCAAGGCUAGCAUGACAUCAGAAGCAUCAUCAUCGAGAAGCACAUGUCAUUCUUAUUCCUAUUCUUCGACUGCCCUUCCUCUCUCCAAUUUGAAGCGCUUGACUCUUGAUUCCAUUAAUGGUCUAGAAGGUCUAUCAGAGGAGUUUCUGCAAAAUCUCACUUCGCUUGUCUACUUACAAUUUAAAUAUGAUUGUCAAUUGCUGCCGCAAAAGAUGAACAGCCUCACCUCUUUACAAGAAUUGCAUAUUGAGUAUUGUCCUGAUCUGAGGGUUUUACCGGACUGGAUACCAAAUCUCACUUCUCUCAUAACACUUACAAUUUGGUAUUGCCCUGAAUUACAAUACUUGCCAGAAGGGAUGCAUCGCCUUGCCUCUUUACAACGAUUGUCUAUUCGAGGAUGUCCCCAAUUGUCAAAAAGAUGUAAAAAGGAGACCGGAAUCCAUUGGCCUCACAUUGCUCACAUCCCAUCUAUUGUAAUUGAUGGGCGAUGAAUUCAAUGUUGAUCAUACUGUAUAGGUAACCAUAUUUUUCUUCACAUUUGUUUACAUUUUCUCCCUUUACCUGAAAAUCCCUUAUUCAAUGUUGAUCAUUUGUUUAGACUGAAUUCAAUGUCUAUUCAUAUUGAAAUGGCAAUUGGUGCCGAAUAUAGGUAAUCAUAUUUUUCUUCACCUCUGUUUAUAUUUUCUCCCUUUAUCUGAUAAUUUCCUUUUUUUUCGUGCAUUUGGAUGGUUAAUACUUUGUUCUAUGCAUGUAACCCAAGCCGAAUAAUGAUUCGCCAAUGCAAAAGUGGAUUUAAUCUAGACUCUGCUACUUCUUUCUAAUUAUGUGGACUAACAAUAUUGAUUUUUUUUUUCUUACUUUGAAUUUUCCUUUCCUAAGUUAAAUAUUAUUAAUCCUUGAGUGAAAGGACUUUGAACUGUGACCAGAACUUGAUGUCAAUGUUCUGCCAGUAUUUCACAGCAAUUGGGAACUUUUUUUUUCUUGUUUCAAUCUCACAUUCUUCAAUCAUAAACUUAAAUUUUAAGGAUUUAGAAUCCCACUAGCUCUAGAUGGAACCCUUGUAAAGAUAACGUACUGACAAAUUUGAAAAAAAAAAACUGCAGUAUAUGUACACAACUUAUCAAAUUAUUCUGAUUUUUCACUUUGUUAUAUCAAUUCCUAACAAUCUUUUAAAUGUUUCCUUUCAGUUUUUCCAGUGAUGGUGAGGACCUGGAGGAGAUAGAUGUGACGUGAAUAUUCUCAUGGAGUUGAUGAAUAGAUUAUUGUCAGUAGUUUCACUUCCCCUGUUUUUAUGCAUGGAUCAAUGCAAAGUCAUCUCAUAUACAAUGAGACAACAUUGGAUUUUCGUGUCAUAUCUUUUCAGAAGCUAAACCAAAAAUAAAUGGAAAACGAUCGUGAGACAGAUUGCUGCUGUCACAGAGAUUCUAAGUAAUUGAAACACUGGUGAAAUGUGAGAAUCUUUUUUUUUUACAGAUUUAUAUAUUUCUUCAUUUUUCUAUCUUGUCUUCAAGAAAGUGACUAAUACUGUGACCUCUUCCUUUCAACAAGCAGAUGGAAUGAAGUAUUAACCUCAGAAUAUUGUUUUUUCCCCAGUUUCCCUGAGGAUUUGCAACUACAAGUUUGUUAGAGGGCUUAUCUCCACUCAAGACUCUUGAGCUGAAAGCUAGAAAUAAUAGAAAACAAUGUGAAAGUCUACUUGUACAUGUCCCGUUGUAUCCUUUGUGACGAGGAGAUUUUGCUAUGGGUAAUGUUUCCUACUCUUCCAGUUGUAGGAACUUGCUCUUGUAAAGAAUAUAUUGACAUCAUUUUUGUCUUUUUUUUUUUUAAUGUGUUUAUAAUGGGAUGUGACAUUUUUUUUUCAUUGUUUGAAGGAGGAUGAUCUGAUCUUGUUAAUUUCCUUUCAUAGCACUAUGGCAGAACAAUUGUUGAUUUUGCUGUAUAGGUAGUUAUCCUGUUUGAGCCACCAAUUCCUUUCGGUGUGGCUGAACGUUGGCAAUUGUGCAGGUUUAUGCUCAAGCCAAUCUGUUUAUGCCAUUGGGAGUCUUAAGACGAUGACUAAAGACUACCUAAGGAAUGCUGGCUUUGAAGCAAUUUAAUAAAUCACCUUUCAAAAAAAAAAAUUUGUUGAACUGAAACCAGGGGAAAUUUCUAAUGGUAAACUUGAUUACUUAUUUGGUUUGUCUUAUCAGUUUCAUUUGCUUUCAAUAGGGAAACCAUUAACACCCAACUUCAUACUUCUUUCUGCAUGUCUUUGUUGGGUUUAUGAACUUUAUCUGAUAGUUUGAGAGAGUACGUGCAGAUUUCAACUUACCAAUGCCUAUGUGAAGAAGAGUACUACAAUCUGUGGAUUGGAAGCUUUACUCUCAACAGCGUUUAUCACAUCAUAGUUUUAAGGAGUGACUAUGUAUGUUACAGUUUCAAUGCAAUUCUAUGUGAGAGUUAAAUUUUGCUGUGUGUUUAACUUCAGUAAAGACUAGGUGAUGAAAAUAAUUGAACAGCUUGACCUCUGGUUUCAUUUAGAUAACAACAACUGCACAGCAUGCGACUCUUUCACCUUUUCUUCCAAGAAGUAAGCCUUGGUCUAACGAUCUUGAAUUUAAGGUAAAUUAGCUUAUCAAUUAUGACUAUGCAUUGUAGUUUCUUUAGUUUUUGUUCUUUGAUUUUUUUUCAUAUCUUUUUCCUCAAUGCUUCUUUAUGACAAUGGUUUUUUUUACUAGUUAUCUGUGAAAGGAGGCAAGCAACACUUGCUAGGUAGUGGCUCGAGUGAUUGGGAGAAGUGCCUGGAUCAGCUAAACUGGUUGGAAAACCCUUUUGCUUCUUUCAAAAUCAAUAAUGCUUCCAUCUCGGUCAUUCUUGGAGGUCUUUGUGCAGUGGCUUCAAUCCUAGUCUUUAGACCUUUACUACAUUAACCCAAACUGUGAAGGGACCUAAAUACAAAGGUUCUUUCACAAUAUAUAUGGAGAAGACUUUUGGGAUAGUGUUCCGAAACACUACAAAAAAAUUGAAUUUUAAUCACAUUUGUUUAGACAGACAGUUUUUUUGUAUGGUAAAAUUUUAAAAAAGUGCAACUACUUAAACUUUUAGCUUCACUUUUUUCACAUUUAGUGGCAAUAUAAAAAAAAUGCAAUCUUUGUAAGUGUAUGCAAUUUCUAUCGUUACAAUUUAUUCAUAAUACAUCUAAAAAUUUAUAUAAUGAAAUUAGAUCUACAAAAAUGUUCUAAAAAACAUAAAGACUAACAUGAAAUCAGAAGCAUCAUCAUCCUUGUCAUCCACGAGCACUUGUCAUCCUUAUUCGUAUUCAUCAACUUCCCUUCAUCUCUCCAAUUUAAAGCGUUUGAUUCUCCAAUUUCUCUUUACAGCAAUUGUCAAUUCGUGAAUGUCCCCAGUUGUCGAAAAGAUGUGAAAAGGGAACCGGAAUCCAGUGGCCUCACAUUGCUCACAUCACAUCUAUUGUAAUUGAUGGGCGAUGACUUCAAUGUUGAUCAUACUGUAUAGGUAAGCAUAUUUUCCUUCACAUUUGUUUACAUUUUCUCCCUUUACCUGAAAAUUCCUUAUUCAUUUUUUUUUCUUCCUGGAUUUGGAUAAUUCAUACUUUGUUCUAUGCAUGUAAUCCAAGUCGGUAUACCGAUUCACUUAUGCAAAAGUGGAUUUAAUCUAGACUCUGUUACUUCUUUCUAGCUACGUGAAGUAAUAAUAUAAAUUUUAUUUUUCUUUUCUUACAUUGAAUUUUCCUUUCCUAAGUUAAAUGUUAUUAAUAAUUGAGAGAAAGGGCUUUGAACUGACACCAUAACUUGAUGUCAAAGCUCAACCAGUAUUUCACAACAAUUGGGAAUUUUUUCCUCGUUUAAAUCUCUCAUUCUUCAUUUAUAAGUUUAAGCAUUUAGGAUCUUGCUAGCUCUAGAUGGGAGCAUUGUACUGAUAGCAAACUUAAACUAUGAGCAUUAAAUUUUAUACUCCUAUACAAACAAAUUUGAAAAAAAAAAUACAGCAGCAUAAAUGUAUUCAAUUUUAUUUUGAUUACUGUCAAUAGUUUCACUUCUCCUGUUUUGAUGCAUUGAUCAAUGCAAAAUCAUCUCUUACCAAUUUUAUUCACUUUCUAUAAAAAAACCAUUAACAUCCAACUUCAUACUUCGUUCUGCAUGUCUUAAUUGGGAUUAUGGACUUUUUCUGACAGUUUGAGAGAGUACAUACGGAUUUCAACUUGCCAAUGCCAUUGUGAAGAAGUGUACUAGAAUCUGUGGAUUGGAAGCUUUACUCUCAACAGCAUCAUCGUAUUAUAAUUUGAAGGACUGAGUAUCUAUGUUACAGUUUAAUGACAAUUCUAUGUGAGAGUUAAAUUUUGCUUUGAGUAUUUAAAUUCAAUAAAGGCUAGCAGAUGAAAAUAGUUUAACAGCUUGAACUCUGGUUUCCUUUUAGAUAACAACGACUGCACAGCAUGCGACUCUCUCACCAUUUCUUCCCAAGAUGUGAGCUUGGUCUAACGGUCUUGAAUUCAAGGUAAAUUGGUUUUUCAUUUAUUGCCCUAUUAUAUAUGAGGAAUUUGCUGUGUAUAGAAUCUGCAAUAAUUUUCCAUUGCUCUAAUGUUUAAGAUUUCCAUUUUCCAUCGAAAAUAAUGUUUAAGAUUUUCAUUUAUUAUGAAUUGUUUGCUUGCUAAUUAUCAUUAUAUUCAGUUUGAUUCAGCAUCUAUAUUUUUCACUACAGUAUUUGUCAAAGGUAUUCCUCUUUUGACAAGAUAAUGUUAAUAGACCUGAAGUAAAUCUCAUUUACCCUCUCACCAUGAAUGUAGGCUAUGAAGAUAAUUUUUGUAAAUUUUUUUUUGUUUUUAUCAUACUCAAUUGUUUACUUUGCUAUUUAUCAUUAAAUUUGGGUUCGGCUAGCAGUUGGGUUCUAUAUUUAUAAUUUUCACUAUGUUAUUAUAAAAGGCAUUAGUAUAUCCCAAAAUGCAUCAAGUGAAACUAUCAUAAAUGUUUCAAUUGUAAUAGUGUAAGAAAGAUUAUUAAAUUGAAAUUUCUCAAUUUCAAGAUGGAUUAAUUUUUUAUAAAUGUCCCUACAACUAGGUAAUUGGCAUUAAUUAGAAAUAUUUCCUACUUAAAAUUUGCCAUUAAUUAUAAAUAUUUUGUUUUAAAAAAACACAAAAUGUGGAUAAUACUCAAUCGUACUCUUAAUUUAUAUAAUUUGACAUAAGCCAGAGAUCCAUAAAUAUAAUUUUGUAUAAACAGUAUAUGGAAACAGUGCCAGCAUUUGCACUGCCAAAGGAAGAAACAGCCAUGGUUGGUUGAUCAGAGCUAGGAUUGUAUUGGUAACGAACCAGUCCUUUAGGAAACAAAACUAGAAAUAAACUGAGAAGUCUCUGUAUCGUUAGUGUUGCUCUGCCAAAACUGGAAAUAAUCACAGUUAAAGGUGCUUCUAAACUAAAGCAAUUAUUUGGGGAUGAAGAGAAAUAACAGUGCUCCGUACUAUUACUGAUUUAGGAGCAAACUCUCAUCACAGGUCAAUUUUGCAUUAGAGAGAAUUUCAUUUAUUCAAAAGAAAAAAGUGAAGCUCCAUGAAAUUUUUGGUCCCUUGCCUUACACUUGCGUCCUCGCAAGUCCCAUCUUUUGCCAUAACACUUCGUGGAAAGCCAACCGGGGUCCUUAACAGAGCAUCUGACAGAGACUUAGUCAAAAUACUUCUUCCCUUAGAAUACGGUCUCUAUUAAUGGUGGUGAAUGCCUUGCUGUCCAACUAGUAUAAAGUAAAAGUAGCGGAGUCAGAUUUGGGGCCUUGUCUUCCACUAAGGAUUAAAAAUUGAAUAAGAACAGUAGGAACAAUAAAAUAGAAACAGAUUUCAAAGAAAAUAAGUCUUUGCUGAAACUUUUUCUGUAACUUCAGUUGGUCACUAGGAUUUGAAGCAGAUUUAAAGCUAAAGUAUCUAUAAAAAGGAGCUCAAAUCUAUAACAAAUAGAUCCAUCAAAUGGACUGACAACAGGUUUCUUAGGCACCCCCUAAAUCAUCAUAACUAGAUUUCAUCCAAAUCCAAUUUGACUUAUCUGUCUUCCUUUCUUUUAUCUUUUAUUUUUAAAAACAAAACGCGUAUUCAACUAAUUGUACAGUAUUUGGAUAUGAAAGUUGGUGGUGUUAUGUUACUUCGAAGAAAAACAAUAGUUCAAAAGUGCUCAUGAUUCCAUGUCCCACUAGAAAUUGUGGGUAGUUGGAAAAUUUCCUAUAGAAUUACAUCCUCUUGCCAUAACACUUCCUGGAAACACAAGCAGGGUCCUUAACAGAAAAUCAGAGAGAGAAUCAUCAAAGUUUAUUAAUUUUCUAUACCUACUCUUAUUACAAAAUUUUUUACUCAUUGAGAGAAAAAAAUGCUUGGGUGAGUCUUUAGUUUCCUAGAGAAGACUAACCCAAGCAUACAUUCAUCCUGAUCUGUACACUUAAGCAUCACAGACGGGUUCACCUGUGAACAAAAAAUAGGCCAUCUGGUGUGUAUAUUUUCUAUUCCUAUCUUGUAAUUUACAAUUCACCCAUUACAUCCCCAUAAACAAAAAAGGCAGGGGCUUGAGGCCACCCUGACCAAAAGAGAAGACAUUAUUAUGUUUAAGAUCACAAAAAUGAAGCCAAUUUUACAUUAGUUAGAAUUUCCUUUAAUAGAGUGUCUUUGUUCAUGGUGGCAUUAAUAUUGUGUUCAAUGUAACCAUGAAUCAAAUAUAUCUGGAAAGAUUUCGAGAAUCUCCUCUUUACUUUGGUAUAUUUGAUUUCCGCAUUACACUUAAUUCACUCCACAUAAGAGUCAUAAAGCAAAAGAUGUUUGGGUCCAUUGUUAUUUGAAUAAAAAAAAUAACAAUAAAAAAGAGACUCGGAAAUAAAUCUAUAACUCAAAACUGCUCAUGAUUCUGUGUCCCUCUAGUAGAAAAGGGAGAGAAGCAUUGUUUGGGUGGCAUUUAUAUCUAUAACUAGAGUGCAAUGCAGAUGAGAUUGGGAAUAAGGUAAAACCAACAACAUUUACCUACAAUUUUCAAAGUGUGGACCCACUAUCACAUGUUCUUUGGGGAAGAAUUAGAGAAGGAGGUGGAGAAGGGGGAUUCAUUUUCGUUCAAACUCCCAAUCAAAAAAUGAGACAGAUACACUUGAAUUAGUCUUUCUAAGAGAGAAUUAGUCAAUCACAAGGCAAAAGAUGUUGGGGCCCUUGUCUUCCACUAAGGAUUUGAAUAAGAAAAAUAGUAAAAAUAAAAACAAAAAGAGAUUCCAGAGAAAACAAGUCUUUGCCUUAGAGUUUCUACUUUAAUUUCUGCUGUUUUCCUGGCCUUCUGCAUGCAAAGUUGAUUUCUACUUCAGUUUUCUUUGAACUCAAAAACAAUAAGAAAAAAACCUUCACUAACAGCGUUAGUGCUUGUAAUAUUUUAUGGCUGGAUCAGAAUAGAAGCUGUCUUUUACAAUCAAAUUUAAUACUUUCAUUUAGGAAAAUAUCUGUCUGUCAAUAAAAGACUGAAAUUUGUCGAUAACUUAAAUUAUCAACAGAAUACCAACGAAAAGUUUUGUCGGUGUUUAAUCGGAAAUAUUGCUAUCGAUAAAGCUGAUUCCGUUGAUAAUUGAAGUUUUUAUCACCAAUUUUUUGAUGAAAUAUUUCGUCGAACAUUCGAUCAGCAAAGCAUCUAAUUCAUCGAUAGCAUGACUAGUUGGUAUUGAUUGGUUUUUGUCGAUAGCUUCUGUCGGUAAUUUUCCUUUUGUGCUUUAUUUGUCUUGGUUCGACAUUUGAGUAGAUAUUUGCAAGUUUAGAUGCAUUGACACAUAUUUGCUAUUUUCAAAUUACGUUAUUCUUUCAUCUUAGCUUGACAGAUAUUUGAAUUUCCCCCUUUGCAGUAUUUUAUGGUCCUUAAUAAUUAGUUGUAGUAGUUCCUUCUUAAUAUAAAAUAGCUUCACGGAAGUUUUUUCUUAGUUAUGAUUAUUUGAAGGAAGACAAUAUGGAGUCAUUUUCUUUAUUGUGUUUUCUUUUUCUAGAAGAUUAUAAUAUUAAUAUUGAGUUGUUGAUUACAUGUAGAAUUGGUUAGGGAUUUUUUUUUUAUAUUAACUUCAUUGAAGACUUAAGGGGGGGAAUUGAUCUAGCAUUAUGAAAACUCCAAAACUUUGAUUUGUUAUUGGAAAGUGUUUAUGAAACUUUUAUAAGAAUGCAUGAUAUGGUUUGUGAUUUUGUUAUUGCAGACUUCUUAAUUUUAGUUUUUGAAAAGAAAACUUUGAGAAAGUUCUGAGAAUCUCCUUUUUACUCUAAUAAAAUUGGCUUCCGCAUUAGACUUAAUUUUUCUAAAGCAAGAAUAAAAAAAAUCCUUUCAUAUUGAUACUUUUUUAUUAACUUAGAAGCAAAGAUAAUCAAUUAGGCGACAAACGACCAAAGUUUUCCAAUUGCAAGAAAAAAACAAUUGACAAAACUCUCUUAAAUAAUUUUUGGCUUAGCUUUUCUUGAUGUUGGCCAUUUUUUUAAUUAAAAUUUCUCCAAGAGAUGAUGGAUAUAAUUUUCUAUUUCCCUUUAAUAAUCACUUUUUAUGGUAACCAAAAUUUAUAAUUUAACAUUCAUCAACACAUCUAUCGUGUUUUAAUAAUUUAAAAUUUGGAAGUGAGAUUUUAUUAUUUGUUAAAUAAUAAUUUUUAAUGAAAAAAGAAAUGAAAAAGUGAGGCCAAUAAUUCCAUAAAUCAAAAGAUAUUUGGAUAAUUAAAGUCUUAAAUUUAAGGUUCUUGGAUUAAUUAACAACCCUGAUCACAACCACUGACUUGUAAUUAUUGGGAGAAACCAUUACUUCUCCAAGGCUACCACCUAAAAGAACGAGUAUAAAGGAAAAAGUUUUCUUUUUCUCUUUGAAAAGUAAAUUUGUCAUAAAUUAAUGAUGACAUUAAUUUAUAAUGCUAUUCAAGACUUUAACUUUAUAAGGUAAAGGACUUAUUUCAAUCGUAAUGAUUAAAAGUUGAUUAAUUAAUUGUUAUAAUUUUUUUAACUAAGCAACCAGUUGAUAAAAAAAGUUCAAAAAAGUGAGUAGAAUGAUACAUGAGCAGAAGAUUUUUUUUUUUUUUUGUUCACUAAAAUUUGUCCAUGAUGAUUUAGCCAGGCAACAAUGAAGUCAUUCUUCAUUGCUAGAAAACCAUUAAUUCAAAGGUGCUCCUGAGUCCAUGUCUCACUAGUAAAAAGGGACAACAAUCCGUGAAAAAGCUCCGGAAAUCUCCCUGUACUAAAGUAAAUGGACCUCGAAGGGAAAAAUAAUUGCAAAACGACAAAAAUGCGGAGGACAAUAAUAAUGAGAUCACAUCAAUUACUCAAAAAAGCUUUUAAAAGUAGGUCAUUACUCAUUAUGAGAAGAGAAUUAACCAAGUAAUACUUAAUUACAGUAUAAUCAUAAAUAGAGAUAAUCAAGUGUUUACUCUUACAGACAUUUAUGAAAUAAUAAUAAUAGUUUUUAUUUUCAAAGAUUGUCAAGUGUUUUUCAUGUAAAUCAACCAAGUCAGUCAAAAAUUAAUACUGAAAAGUAAGUGAAAAAUGAUAAAAAUAAAUAAAUAAAUCAAAAGCGCAUCAAUGAUUCCAUGUCCCAUUGCGUAGGAGCACAAAGAAAAAAAAAUAAUUGUCUUUCGAAUAAUGGUAAAUUUUACAUUAUUAUGUUUAGGAUCACAAAUAUGAAGUUAAUUUUACAUUAAUUAGUUAAAAUUGCCUUUUAACAGAGCAUAUCCAUCAUUAUUUUUUCUAGAGAGAGAAUUAGUCAAAAAUACUUCUUCAAUGACAAUACACUCUCCAUUAAUGGUGGCAUUAAUAUUGUAUUCAAUUUAAUCAUGAAUAAAAAAUACCUAGAAAAUUUUCAAAAAUCUCCCUUUUUGUUUGGUAAAUUCGAUUUCCGCAUUAGGCUUAAUUCGUUUGAGUAAGAGUCAUAAAGCAAAAGAUAUUCGGAUUUAUUAUUAUUUGAAUAAAAGAAAUAAACCAUAAUUCACAAGUGCUCAUGAUUUUCAAAGUGUGGACCCACUAUCACAUGUUUUGGGAAGAAUAGAAAGGGGGAUUCAUUUUCAAAAGGUUCCUAUACACUGACAUCCUCGCAAGUCCCAUCCCCUUUCCCUAACACUUCCUGGAAACACAAGCAGAACAUUUGAGACAAAAUUUGUUUAAUUUUAUUAAAAUGGACUAAUCCAAAGUAAAAGCUAGAGACUUGGCACUAAGCAAAAAAUUUGUUUGCGGUCCAAGAAUAAACAUUACAAUGUUGUUUUUGAACCUUUGUCUAAUUCGAAAAGAAUUUUAUUUUAAUAUAUUUGGACAAUUAAAGUCUUGAAUUUAAGGUUCUUAAAUUAAUUAACAACCCUGAUGACAAUUGAUGACCAGUAAUUAUUGGAAGAAGCCAUUACUACUCCAAGGUCACCACCUCAAAAACCAAGUAUAAAGGAAAAAGUUUAGUGAUAAAAAAGUUAGAAGGAGCAUCAACUAUAUAAACGAUAAAAAAGGUUUUGGCACCUGUUUUUUUAUGAUAUUUUCUUUUAAUUUUUAUUUGAUUUCAAUAAUAUAAAUAUAUUUUCUCUGCUUUGUUAAUUAAUUAAUUGACCAUUAUUCAUACUUAAUCCAUUUGCUCAUGUCCUCUAGCCAUUGAAUAUCAUUUAAAAAAAUAAUCCAAAAAAACAAUUUGAAAUCAAUUUUACUUACAUAUUAUCUAUUUGUCGAAACUUUUGAAGUUAAGUGUGAAAGGAAAUCAAUUUGAUUAUUACUAAAACAAAGCUGAAGAAAUAAUUAUGUUGUUCAGCUGCCAAGCUUUUGCAUUGCGUGGAAGUUGUGAAACGAAAACAAUAAAUAAAUAAAAAAUAACUUUCUCAAAGUAUGGAAGUAGCUUUGGCAUUGUAGCUUUCUCAAUGGGACGACGUUGAGAUUUCAUUUAUUGCCAAUAUUGUCAGUUGUUUCGGAGUUCAUGAAUAGAUUAUUGCCAAUAUGGGGUUGGGAUUGAGAAAAGGCUUCUUAGUGACAUCCUCGUCAUAACUGUAAGUCAUCCAAAUCCAAAUUUGGCUGAUCCAUCUUCCAUUCCUUCAUUAUUCUUUUCUUAAGCAAAAAGUGUAUUUUACUUAGUAAAGUCGGUUACCGCAUAAGACUUAAUUCUUUUAAGACAAGAGCCAAGAAAAGUCCUAAUUUCACAUUGAUGUUUCUUUGUAACUUUAAAGUAGAGAUAAUAAAUUAAUUGACUAAUAACCAAAGUUUUCUCACAAAACUUUCCCAAACAUUUUUUUAGCUUAGCUUUUCCCAAUGCCGGUCAUUUUUUCAAUUUGAAAUUUCUCCUAGGGAUAAUGGAUGUCAUUAUCUAUCUCCCUUUACUAAUCUAAUAAGCACAACACAUAUAACCUGUUUUAAUAAUUUAAGAUUUUAGAGUGAAAUAUUAUUACUUGCAAAAUAAUUUAAAAAAAAAAAAAAAAAAGAAGUGAGGCUAAUAAUUUCAUAAAACUAAAGAUGUUCGGGUCCAUUGUUAUUUGAAUAAAAGAAAAUAACAAUUAAAGAAAUACUUAGAAGAAUACCAAGUCCUUGCUGCAAUUAUUUUUGAAUAAUAAAAUAAAAAACAUUCAAAAGUGAAUCAAUAAUUCCAUGUUACACUAGACAAAGUUGUGAGGAUUGGGAUUAUUGCAUUUAGAAAAGGAAAAUGCUGCGUAGAUUUGAUAGAAUUAAAAAUCAAAAGUUGUGGAAUACAAAGAGGCAUUUCAGGUCAAGGGUCUUCCACUUUCAACUAACCCAACAACGUAAGAAGAAUAUAUUUGCUGAUUAGAGUCAUAAAAGGGUCCCUAAAUUUAAUUAAAAUCUAUGUCAGUGCUUGGUCACGUCAUGUCGGUACUACUAUUACAUCAUUCGUGAAAUACCACAUCACCAUUGCCAUAUCAUCAGAUUCAAUGCCACAUCAACAAAAAAAUGUCACGUCAACACAACCAAACACCAUAUCAAAUAGAUAAUAGAAAAUUUCUAACACAUUAGACUGGGGUACUGGGCAAGGUAUAUAUGUAUUUGUAUAAUUAGGGAGGUACUCUUUUUUCCUAUUCCAUAGGUUUUGUCCCACUAGGUUUUCCCAUGAGGAGGUUUUUAACAAGGCUUUCCCAUUAUACAAGAGGUAUAAAAUAUGUGGUUGAGUGAGUGAAUUUAUAAUGAUAUUUUUUUUAGCUCAUAUGCAAUCAUUAUGUAUUUCUGAUUAAUGAAAUGCAUUCUUUUCAAAAAAAAAAAAAAAACUACCCUUCCCUUGAGUUCCCUGGUCUGUGUUUUGAACCCACAGAAGAACCUGCAGAGUUUCAUGUCUUCCAUUUUUUGCUGAAAGCAUAUGGCUGAGAAUAUAAUGUUCAAAGAAAUUAAAUUCACAUUAAUUGGUCUAUUUGUUUCCUAGCAGGCUGCAUUAGGUAAGAUCCCCUUCGUGGUCAACAAAGUACAGCGGGAUGAAAGUUAUUGGAAAAGAGUUAAUAUAAAAACAAGAAUCUAAUCAGUCAUAAAAUUAAUAAAAAUUCUGUUCCUAAAAUUAAAAAUCAAAAGUUGGGAAAUACUAUUAGAAUUUCAUGUUCCACUAGUUUUUAUUAGAUUUCAACAAUGUAAAUAUAUUUUCUCUGCUUUUUUAAUUCAUGAACAAUUAUCAAUACUUCAUCCACAAGUUCAUGUCCUCUAACCAUUGAAUACAUUUUUUAUAAAAGAAAUUAACUCAAAAAAGAAAACAAUUCAAAAUCAAUUUCAUUUACGUAUUACCUUUUUGUGGAAAUCUUUGAAGUUAAGUACUAAUUGGAUGGAAACAACGUACAGCAAUGACUCAAUGUGAAUGAAGACUAUUGAAAACUAAAAAUCAACUACAAAGGAAAUCAUUGUUUUUCUACAUAAAGUUGGCUAACAAUCAAUUAUCCAAGUAAAUGCCCUUUUUUAUUUCAUUAUCAUGUGUGUAUAUAUAUAUAUAGGUGAGAUUAGGCUACUACUUGACAAAGCGUGAAAUGAAAUUAAUUUGAUUAUUAAUAAUGAUGUUGUUCAUCUGCCAAGCUUUUGCUUUGCAUGGAAGUUGUGAAAUGAAAUGAUCUCUAACAAUGUUUUGGAUUAUAGCUGGAAAACAAUAAAUAAAACAAACUUUCUCAAUGUAUGGAACUAGCUUUCUCAAUGGGACGACGUCGAGUCAAGUUUCUAAUAUAUUUCUCAAUGUAUGAAAUCAAUUCAUUAUUAAUCACCAAGUUGCCAUUUUAUUUCCAUCGUUCCUAAUUUAAAUAUUAUUGUUCCAAAUUUUCUAUACCUACUCUCGGCGUAUUGUAGCUGGUUAUUAUCAAAGAAAAGAGCAUAAUAUUUGUUUAUUAAUGAGUUGGGAAACUCACAAGUCACAUGGGACGUCUUUGACCCAAGUUGCCAAUAUUUUCCCAUUUUUAUUAUGACUAUACUCUUAUUGCUUUGUCGUCAUAGAGUUUCUAUUUGAGCAUCUUCUUCUAUCAUCUCUACUAUCCCUAGAGCUUGUUUGAUUUCUGCCUUGCUUUUCUUUUAACUCAACAAAGCCUACUCUUCCAUUUUAUUUUCCUUCAUUUUCCCACUUUUCUUUUAACUCAAAGAACAAAAACAUCUCUGUUGUUCAACUCUGCAAAAAAAAAGAAAAAACAUAGUUGAUCUCUUAAAUUACUUUUGUUUGAUCCUUGUUUGCUACUUUUCGUUUUCUUAAUUUUGGUUUCCCGAUCUCCAAAGUUGAAGUAAUUCCAUCCCAAUUGAGGUAAGCUUCAAUAAAACAUAUUAUAUUCUCCAUAUUUUUUUUUUUUAUGUGCUCAAUUUCUCUUAUCAUUUAUGAAUUCGACUUCUUACUUGUUAAGUUGGCAAAUAAAAUUAAUUAAUUUGUAGUACUUAAUUUACUUCUUUACAUCUUAACCCUAUCAAUAUUUAGUAAUAUACUAUGUGUAGCCUUUUAGUAUGAAUUGGUUUUAAUAUUAUGACUUUAAAAUAUGUAAAAAUAUAUCAACAAACCUGUGCUGAAAUUUCAUUCUAAAUUUUUUAAUUUAUUUUAAAUAUUCAUAUUUUUUUUAUUUUUACCAACAUUUAUGGAUAUUUUGGGAAAGCAUUUUAUAGAAUGAUGAUACUAUGCUUUUACUUUAAUAUAAAAAUAUAUUUUUAAUUAAUAUGUACAUGAUUGGUGAUAAGAAUUUCAUACAUCUGCAGCAUUUUCAAUUUCCAAGUUGGUCGGUCAACAAUCUAUUCUCUUGCAAUCCACAUUUUCAUAAAGGUAAGGUACUUUGCAAAUAUUUUGUAAUUGUUUUUUUUUCUCUGUAAACCUUUUUACUUAUGAAAAUUAAAAUCAAACAAUUUUUUAUUUUAUGAAAGUUUCAAGUGAUUUUUAAUUAAAAUAUAUAACAUAUUUUAAUAAUUUAAGAUUUGGAGUUUGAGAUAUUAAUAUUACUUGUUAAUAAUAGUAAUUUUUUUAUUAAAAAAAAGGUGAGGCCAAUAGUUCCAUAAGGUAAAUGAUUUGAGCCCUUCUCCUCCACUAAGGAUUUGAAAUUGAAUGAGAAAAAGUAUUUGUAUUUGAUGUACUAAAUAUGCAUAGUUUUUAAAAUAAAUAUUAAAAAAAUAUUGAUAACUAAUUAGAGAAAUACCACGGAGGUAAAAUAAAAUAAAAAUAUGAAUUAUUGCAAUGGUACCCAUUUUUGGUGCUUCACUUUUUGGCCUUGAUCUUCUGAACACACUAUCCAAAACAUAUUCCAGUUGAUAGAUUUUCAAGUCUAAGAUUAAUUAUGAACACACCCCUUUGCAAUUUGCAUUGAACAUUCGUACCAAAAAUAUUAAAAAAAUAUUCUUAAGCUUCUUUUUAUUGUUUCUUUUGAUUUUGUUUUUACAUUUUUUUGGUACAGUUAUUUGUUUUUUAUUUCUUAAAAAGUUAAGUCAGAAAUAAAUGACAAAAAAGUGAAAUCAUAAUUAACUAAAAAAGAGUAAAUGAGUAAGGUAAAAAAGUAAAUAAAUGAUAAAAUUAUAUUAAACCUAAAAAGAUCCAUUUUAUUAUUGAGAAUAUUAUAUAUAUAAUUUAUGAAAAACUUAUUUUGAUUUAUUCAUUCAAACGUGCUAAUCAGGCCAAGUCCACUAAGUCUUUCAUUAUCGUGUUGAUUUGCUUACAUUUCCCUGUUAUCUGCUUCAGAUUCAUUUUAACCAAGUUGUAGAUCCAUGGCGGAAUCAUUUUUAUAUGAGAUGCUCAGUAACAUGUUGUUCGAUUUCGUGUCCGAUUUCGUGUCCAAUAUUGUAUCAAGUGCUGGGCAACAGCUUCGCUUGAUUUUCAAGCGAGAUGAGGAUCUGGAGAAGAUUCGGCAAACUCUCACCACUGUAAAAGACUUCAUUCUUGAUGCUGAGGAGAAGCAGGAGAGCGAUCUUGCCUUGAAAGAGUGGAUAAUUCAGGUGGAAGACGUUGUUUACGAUGCAGACGACUUACUGGAUGAAAUUGACCAUGAAAUCCUGGGCGAGAAGGUGCGUGCUCAGGGACAGGAACCCGGGGUGCAUACUCGGAAAAAGGUACGCAAAUUAAUUUCGUCUUUUGAGAUGGGCCCUAGAAUUAAGAAAAUUAGAGGGAGGCUGGACAAGGCUGCAGCAGACAUUUCUACGUUCAACUUGAGGAAGAGAGUUGUAGAACAGGAUAAGAAAGCUAAGCAUAUUUACAGGGAGACUGCCUCAAAGGUGAGAUCGGAAUUAAUAAUAGGGAGAGAGAAAGAUAAAGAGCUUAUUAUAGAAUCAUUGUUGAAGAAGCAAAAUGAUCGUCAUGGCGACAUCAUCCCCAUUGUUGCCAUUGUUGGGUUUGGAGGUUUGGGAAAGACCUCGCUCGCCCAGUUGGUGUAUAAUGAUGCAAAAGUAGAAAGUUACUUUCAGAGACGAAUAUGGGUGUGUGUUUCUGAAGAAUUUAAUGUUGGUAUAAUUUUUAAAAAAAUCUUGGAGUCUCUUGAAGGUGAUAAAGUGAAUGACUUGUGUCUAGAUAUUUAUGUAGACAAGCUUCAAGAAAAAUUAAAAGGGAAGAAAUAUUUACUUGUGUUAGAUGAUGUGUGGAACGAAAAUAAUUUAGAGUGGGAUAAAUUUUCACAGUAUCUAGUGUUUGGUGCUUCCGGAAGCAAAAUUCUUGUGACGACUCGAAAUAAGACAGUUUCAUCUACUAUGGGGGUGCAUGAUCCUUACCUUUUAAAAGGUCUCAAUGAGGAUCAAUCUUGGGCUUUGUUUAACCGGGUGGCAUUUCAAGGACAAGAUCAAAUCGAUUCAGACCUUAGAGUAAUUGGAGAAGAUGUUGCACGAAAAUGCAAAGGAGUUCCUCUUGCUCUCAAAUGUUUAGGAGGUUUGAUGAGACAAAAGCCUAAUAAAAAUUAUUGGUUGUCUGUCCAAGAAAAUGGAAUCUGGAAGAUACUUGAAAAAGAUGAUAGUAUUUUCCCAGUGUUACAAUUGAGUUACAUUCACUUACCAAGACAUUUAAAACAAUGUUUUGUUUUUUGUUCACUAUUCCCAAAAGACUUCAAGAUAUCUAAAGCCAAGUUGAUCCAAUCAUGGCGAGCACAAGGUUACAUUCAAUUAAUGGAAAAUGAGAAUGUACAAGACAUUGGUGAUGAAUACUUUAAUGAUUUGCUGUCAAGAUCAUUUUUUCAAGAGGAGGAGAAAGAUGCAUAUGGGAAUAUCAUCUGUUGUAAAAUGCAUGACCUUAUCCAUGAUCUUGCAUUAUUAGUUAAAGGUCAUCAUUUUCAUUGGAUGAAAGACGAAAAAGAAAAAAUUUCAAAAAGAGCUCGACAUGUGUCAUCAAAAACAAAUUCCAAAGAAGUUGUUUUGACUUUAUUGAAAACAAAAGAGAUAAGGACUAUAUUUUUUCGGGCACACAUUGUCGAGGAUUUAUUUCUUCAAAAUGUAACUUUUUCGAGCUUUAAUUGUUUACGAAUGUUGAAUUUGAGUAAGAUGCGCAUUGAUAUUUUACCAGAUUCAAUUGGUGAAUUGAAGCAUUUGAGAUAUCUUGAUCUUUGUUCUAAUAACAAGAUGAAAGUGCUCCCAGAUACAAUAACCAAAUUGCACCAUUUGCAAACUCUAUUACUCAAAUAUUGCACCCGUCUUGAAGAAUUACCAAGAGAUAUACAACACUUGAUUAGUUUGGAAUAUCUCAAUGUUGAUGAUUGUCAAGCCCUAAAGUACUUGUCAAAAGGGUUAGGGGAAUUGACUUUGUUACAAAGAUUGGACAGAUUUAUUGUGAACAGUGUUGAAGAAAGUUUCUCAACUGCAGCCACGUUGAAUGAGUUGAGGGACUUAAAUGGCCUUAGAAAUAGCUUAACAAUUGAACACUUAGGAAAGGUGAGGAAUGUGGAGUUAGAAUCUAAGGAGGUGAAUUUAAAGAGAAAAAAACGGCUUCAGUCUUUGAAAUUAUGUUGGAGAUCUUCCUUGCAUUGGAGCCCUUCCUCUCCAGCAACAGUGGCAAGUGAAAAGGAUGAGUCGUUGUUAAAUAAUCUUGAGCCGCACCCGAAUUUGAAAGAGCUGAAGGUAUUCGAUUAUGGAGGAGCAAGGUUUUCGAGUUGGCUAUCUUCGUUGACUAAUUUAGUCAAACUUACAAUAGCAUGUUUUUGGAAUUGCCAACGUCUACCACCCUUGGAUCAUUUUUCAUCUCUCAAGUCUCUCACUCUUUACCGUUCCAAUGCUUUUAAACACCUGCCAACUUUGGAUCAUCUUUCAUCUCUUGAGUCUCUUUCUCUUACAGGGUUACGUGCUUUAGAACACCUGCCACUCUUGGAUCAUCUUUCAUCUCUAAAGUAUCUUGUACUUGAGGAGUUAAAUGCUUUAGAAUAUGUGGCAGAUUCUUUCCCUUUGCCCUGUUCCACGUCAAGAAAACCAUUCUUCCCAUCGCUUAAGAAACUUAAGAUCGAAUUCUGUGACAAUCUCAAAGGAUGGUGGAGGACAAAGAAUGAGAACCAAGGAUCAACCGCUCAGCUGCCUUGCUUUCCUUGCCUUUCCAAGAUAGAUAUAUCCAAGUGUCCAAACUUAACCUCCAUGCCGCUGUUUCCUUCUCUCGACCAAGAUUUGACUUUGUGGGGUACUAGUGUAAGGCCUUUGCAGCAAACAUUGAAGAUGAACAUGACUGAGGCUAGCAUGACAUCAGAAAAAGCAUCAUCAUCAUCAGGGAGCACUUGUCAUUCAUAUUUUUCAACUACCCUUCCUCUCUCCAAUUUGAAGCAUCUGAGUCUUAUUGACAUUAAGGAUUUAGAAGUUCUGUCAGAAGAGUUCCUACUGGCGUACUACCCUAAAUUGGAAUCGCGGCAGCUACAAAAGAUGAGCUGCCUCACCUCUUUACAAGAAUUGUGGGUCAAAAAUUACCCUAAUCUGAUGGCUUUGUCGAACUGGAUACUCAAUCUUACCUCCCUUGAAACACUUCGAAUUAGGGGGUGCCUUGAAUUACAGUACAUGCCAGAAGGGACCCCUCAGCUUACAUCUUUAGAAGAAUUAUCAGUUCAGAACUGUCUUAAUCUGGUGGCUUUGCCUGACUGGAUACUCAAUCUCACUUCCCUUAGAAGUCUUCAAAUUGAGGAGUGCCUUGAUUUACAGUACAUACCAGAAGGGACGCAUCAGCUUACCUCUUUAAAAGAAUUGUUCGUAGGGAAAUGCCCUAAUCUGAGGGCUUUGCCAGACUGGAUACUCAAUCUCACUUCCCUUAAAACACUUCGAAUUCAAGGGUGC
rnacentral:lncRNA from 1 species